GCGGGUGCCCAAGGGGGGAGGGUGGGCGCCCUGCCCCGGGCCCGCUCGGCCUCCCGUUCGUUCCCGUGGCUUCUGGAGUCUUCUAGAUGAUAGAAAAUUGCGCGGCAUGUUAAUAUCUCUAUGUAAACCCGACAUGUGGGCCUUUUCUCCAUAUUUCCUAAUAACCCCCUGCAGAAAUAAACAAACACCAAAACUCGUGGAAUUCUGUCAGAUAAAACCCUAAGUCUGGGUGUUGGUUGCAUUUGGAUCCUUUUCUUUAUUUAUUUGAAGAUUGUAUUUGGUACUUAAGGACCGUCAACAAACUCCCCCAAGCUUACCUCUUGCUCGUCCAUGAGCAAGGAUGGACUCAAGAGUUUCUGCAGUGGUUUCAUGCCUUAAAAGUACACAUGCGUUCAAGAAAGAUCUCAUCUCUGAGUUAGAGUAAACUGUUAAAAUUUAAAACUUACUCAUUUUACUUUUUACCAUGGGGCUUGCAACCGUCACUCGUGUCUUGAGCAAUUAAAAGAUAGAACAGUCUAGUCAAGCGCCAUGUCUCUUGUUCUCUGAUCAGCUAUAGCUCUGGAGUUUUUGCAGAUUUUCAAAUAAAACUCAGAGAUUACUUGUAUGACUCUCUCAAAUCUCUCUUUUGUGGUAUUUCUAGAUCCUUUCCAAGGUAGUAAUGGUAUAUGCCUUUUCUCAAAGUAUGUGGUAUUUUUGGUAUGAGGCAUAGCAAUAUUGCCUUCUCUCUCACCCUACUCUAAUAAGGUUUUGAUAUCUAGAGCUCAUAGGUGGGAGACAAAUAAUACAUACUUACAAGACAUUUAUUUCAUAGUCAAACCAUGGAUCCAGAAGAACAAGUCAAUAAAUCAAAUCAAGAUGUGCAUGUGUGGCGAGUGGAUGGUGUAUGGUGAUGAUGGUGAUAACAAUGGUGAAAGUCUAAUUCUACUUUUGCUCUUUUAAGGGGAUACAUACCUUUCUUGCACUUUGAAGCUUUUUGAGGAGAAUGAGAUGCUCUAUAUUUUCUUUUUCUUUCCUCUCAGGUGGGUAUCUUGUACCCCUAAUUCUACUAUCGGACACUUGUCCAUUUUUACCUCUCGUCUCACUUUUUCUAUUCUUUCGAGGUUUCGGGCACUUGCCCCUUUUUAUUUCCUCGUAUUUUUUUCUUUUCUUUUUUUUUCAGAGCACUCACCCUCCUAGAAUAAUGUAGCAAGUGGUAGUAACCAAGAUAACUCGAGCAUUUAUUUCACAGGGAAAAACAAAAAUAGGAGAAUGUUUUUGGCUAGUCUCUUCCGGAUUAGGAGUAGAAUACUUUUAGGUGAAUCUAGAGAUGGAAUUGAGUGGAUGUAUGUUGAUGCGUACUUUCGGAGUAGAAGCAGCAUGUGUGAGUGAACAUGCAAGUGAAUCUUGAUUUUAACCGCAUGACAAGCUCCAAAGGGUCUACACAGCUUGACGACACUCAAUGCUCAUAAGCAAUAAAAAGUAAAUGUAUGGUUCAUAGUCUAGCAAGCAUGUAUAUAUGGCUGUGGUAGGAAUAUAAACUCUCAUCAUACAGGAACUCAUCAUGUGUUAUUUUAAAGAUUUCAAAGAUAAAAUUCUCGAGAAUUCUAGUAUCUCUAGGAACAGAUAAACAACAGCUCAACCUUCCCAUAUCAUAUCCGUUAACAACUUAGACUUCAGAUCAAGUACUCUUCCCGCAAGUUUAGGUUUAGAGCAGGUUUAAAUUAUAACAGUUAUGCCUAAACUUGAGAGAGAGCUCAAACUUGAAAUCUAGGUACAUGGUAGAGCAACUAUUUAUCAUAUCCAUGUAAGAGCUUAUCAUUUAAGUUCAGUUUGGCCUAGACACUUUAUUUAUUUAUUUAGCAAACUAAGAAAAGAUAUAUAUAAGCACAAAAUUUUUAUUUGGGUUUUCAUGAUUAUGCAUCUUUUUAUUAUUUGAGUACGCGAGUAGAAACACUUAGCUGGAUAAAUGGGGGUGCUCUCCCCCAAGCUGGAUUUCGAUGUAAUUUCUUCUGAUGUAGCUAGCAGGUGACGGAGGUGUAUUUGAAUGUCGGUAGCACCCUGACAGCGAUUACUAUGUCCUCCGCCGGCUAGUCUUCUUUGAUCCUUGAAUUUUGUGGAGCUCAAAUAGACAACAAAUCAUUGUGGAACUGGUUAAGUGUUAGCAUAAAUUCUCUUAGUCUUUAUCAUAUUGAGAUUCCUCCUAAUAAAUUUUAUUUAUUUAGCAGGAUCAUGCACUUUAUAUUUUUAUUGUAAGACAAAAACAUAUUUAUUUUAUGCCACCACAGUCAAUAUAACUAUGGAUUUUAAACCACAAGUCUACUCACAUGGGGCUUUAGAUUUUAUGAUGCAGUGCAACGAACAAAUAUUUUUGUUUUCUUUUCUAGUGGUAAUGUGGAAAAGUAAAUAUGCUAAUGCAAGUGAUGGAAUAAAAAGGAAAAGGAAUGCAAAAAAGAUAAAUAUGGAUAAAUAUCGAUUUUACCUUCUGGCAAGGAUCCAAUGUUUUAACUCUUCUGGACAAGACUUCUCACCGUGUACAUCCUUUAGGUGCAUCAUUUGAUUAGGUGUGGGCCUUGACAUCUGCACCUCUUGAUACGGUGUCACCCAUAUUCUUCGUUUGUCCUGCAGUUCGGGGUGCGGCAUUGGCAGCAUCUUGCUCAGUGUGUUUGUGCUCGUAGAUCCAAGUCCUUCACUUGGUAGAGUCUGGGAGUUGAAAAAUCCUCCAUGUUUCUCAAAUUGUGUCCUGCUCAUAGAGACAAGGCAGAGAUCAAGUGCAUGGGUCCUGUUGGUGGAAAACACCAACAGAACCAAAAGUAUAUUUAUUCUUCUCUAUCCUUAAGCAUAGGGAGCAAGACAAAGUUGAUGGGUGAUAAGUUCAUGAGUGUAGCAUUUAAAACAUUUGUCAGAUCAGAUCGCUUGACCUAAUGGAAAGAUAAUCUAUCUAUAUUUACGGUUUUUUAUAUCUUCCAAAUAUUGAAUGUGCAACAUUUUAGCUUAUAUGAUUAGGAGUGUGGGAUCACGAAGGUAGUAGUAAGAACAAAGAUUAAAGGACUAAACAUGUUGAAUUAAUUGGGUUGGUUAAUUUAUGUUUGUCUCUUUAUUCUUGUGAACGCCAGAACCAAGGAGAAGCUUAUAAAAGUGAUAGUCACAUAUCUUAAGAUGUUACCUUAAUUGAAGAGUGAUGGUACAGUAUCACCUUGUGGAAGCUUUCCUUUCUUAGUGGUGGUGCACCGUGUUUGUGGCACUCUUUGUCUCGUUCCAUGGAUCAUCUCUCUAUGAUGAAUGAGCUAUGUCUUCCUUAUGCAAAUCGUUACACUUCAUGUGUCUCCUUUGUCUCCAAUGUGAGUUUGUAUCUCAGGACUUCCCAGGUUGAUAUUGAAAGUUUUCCUGCUGGGGUUAGUCCGACAAAAUAUACCAAUGUCUAAUCAAGCAGUUUUUAGUUCAAUAACCGAACUAGACUCCAUGUCUAAUCAGAUUAAGGAAUGUUGUUUAACCUAAGCACCAUGCUUAAUUUAAUAGCCAAUAGAAGUAUGUGCAGUACUUCCAAACUAACACUUACUAGGAUAAACAAAGGUAGCGUGAUGGCUUUUAUAGAGAUCUACUCAAGUGGAGAUGAAGUAGUGUGAUUAGUAUUUAACAAAUUGAGCAUAUCUCAAAGGUUAGGACAACCAACAUAGCAACAUGGCAAAGGAUGUUCUUAUGUAAGGUAUUUCCACCAAGCUUGAAUUUUGCAAAAUUCAAGAUUGGAUGAAUUUAAUUCAAUGUUGCAUGAUGAUUGGUUGGGCAUACCUUGCGCUUGUCAUUCCUCGGAUCUUCUUGCUCCAAUUCUAGAAAGGUUAGUGACUCGAAUACCCGAAGGAAUAUUUCUACAAUUAUCUUUAUAUGCUCAAUACACAAGGCAAUGUUGCAAAUAAUUAAAAGUUCAUGUUACGAUCUGAUAAGUGCUUGUUUUAGGACACUAAGCUUGUCCUUGGGAAACCAUCAAAUUAUGUUGGUGAAGUGGUUUCCCCUCCAACACCAACCUAAGCAUGCCUAUAUCAAGAUCGACUCUACGAUAUCUGCAAUAUUUAUUAUAGACAUAUGCAUUGAUAACCACCCCUUUAAAGUUUUUUAUAAAUAGAAAGGAAGAGGGAUUGGAGAUCUCAAAUGUGGUAAGGUUGGAGAGACCAAUUGAUUGGGGAGAUUUUUUAUAUGAGCAAGGACUUGGUGAGGUAUUUACGAAAUAACUUCCAUGCUCACUGUUGUUUCUCUCAUUCUGAAACUCCAAGGGUGAUUCUUCAUAAAUGCUUAAAAUUCCUCUAGGAUUGUCUCUCAAGUUUGUUUUAUCCAUCCAUUCAAUGGUGAUAGCACAUGGAUUUUUAAUGCCCUCUAGGCAUUGAUGUUGCUCUACUCGAUCCUCCUUGUGGUCUUGGUGACUCUUCUGCAUGGGAUGUCUAGAGAGAUUCAUAGGAUCAUCGGGAGGUUCAAGAGGAAGAGCAUAGUAGAAAUUAUUAGGCUCAAGGAUGGGUUUAAAAAUAGGUUCAAAUGAGUCAUCAAAAGUGGGCGUAGAAGGGGAGAAGAUGAGAUUUUCUUCUAAAUGGCUUCGCUCUCCUUCUAGUGCAUCACUUAAGAUGCCAUCCUUGAGUCUUUCUAGAUGUCCAUCAAAGGGAUUGGAUUUGAGAUGCUUUCUAAGAGAUCCCUUCUUAGGAAGGUUCAGACCAUAUGCACUCAAAAGUCUCUUAUGAAGCAGGAAGUUUAAGCUCAUCCCAAAAUGAAUUUCCAAAGGUAAAAUUUCUUCUUCUCUUAGAUGAUUUUGGAGCACUACUAGUUUGGGUUGGAUAGCCGAAUCAUGGGAUUGAAAUGUUUGGAAAUCGGCUAUUGAAACUUCCUUUCCUCGUCUAGGAGAUGAUUCCUUCUCUAUCUCUAGGAUUUUUUUUAUGAAGACUAGUGCAAGAAGGAUGUCCACAAAUGAAGACAUACCUUGCUUUACAAACAGAUAAAGAAAGAAAAACUCUACCAAAAGUUAUAUGAUCAAGACCAAUGUGAAAAUAUCGAGGAAAAACAUGGUCUUGUAGGGCUAGGUCUAAACUAGAAAUUAUAGAAAGAUUAAAAGAUUCCCUAGGUGUAGCUAAAUGUUCAUUAUCUUCUUGAUUAAAAGAUAGGACCUCGGCUAUAGAAAAGGGUUGGUUUUGACCUAUUGCAAUCAACUCCGGACACAGAUCAUAAUUAGGGGCAAAGAAAGGACUCGUUGACUCCCAUGGUCUAUGGCUGGUCUUCAAAGGUGCAAAAAAUUCAAUAAUAGGUGUGGAAUUUGAGUUAUCUAAAAGGAUGGAAAAAUAAAAAGAUAAAAGAAUAAAAGUAUAAAAGUAUAAUACAAGAUAAUAGUAAGACUAAAAGUUAUCUCAGUAAACCAUCUUUCUCCCUGACAACGGCGCCAGAAAUGCUUGUUGAUAUUUGUUAAUGCCAUCAGGAAAUGAUCCUCAAGUGCACGGAUAUCGGUGAGCACUUCACCCAGGAGGUUAUCCAGAGUAUCGUAUUUAUAUUUUUACCACUCGGAGAAAGCGUGCAUCUGACUAACUAAAUCUAUUGCUACUACCCUUUAGGCUACAAACAAUGUGAUUCGAUGUGAGCGAUGUAUAGAGAAGACUACAACCGUACUCUCGUUCUAACCUUGGUAAGGAUGAUCUACGGUUCUAUUGGGGAGGCUCACGGAAUCUAGACACCACAAAGGAUGUUUGACCCACACCUAUAAACCCUAUCAAUCCUGCUAACGGGAUAUGAGCUACAAAGGUAACUCGGAAAUGUCACGUUCCUCACUACUACCACGGUCCGGCUAGACAGGGGAUAUCUAUGAGUACCCUAGCCCAAACACCACAUUUACGCUAGCAAUGAUUACUCUAAACCCAACCGGAAGAGAUUAAAGUAGACUCAUAAACCAAAGAACAAUAAGAACAAAGAACUUACUAGAAUUUAGAAGUCGAAAUACUAAAGAAUCCUAGGAGCAAGCCUCGGGUUAGGAGACUUGAUCCUAUAGGUACAACCUCGGAGUAGACACCGACAGUCCAGGCUUCCUCCGAUCUAUACCUCCACUCUAUCUCUCUCAAUCUAGAAGAACUUAGAAGGACUAAUUCUACUCUCACAAUGGAUGCUAAGCCCUAUGAGGUUGGAUCCCUAGAGGGACCUCUCUCUCUGAAUCCUUUCUAGAAAAUAUGCUAAUGAAUAAUGGGAUUGCUCUCCUCCAGGGGCCAGGGGGCCUGCUUAUAUAGUCCUCUCAAGUGAACGUGGGCCGUCGGAUCAAACCAACAUUGAUUGAAUGGUUCUCCUUGAUCCUUUAGUUCGGUGGAGCAUAAUCCGCAAGAUUGAACGUGAUUGGUGGAAAUACCUCGGCGGGCGCCCAAGGGGGGAGGGCGGGCGCCCUCCCCCGGGCCUGCUCGGCCUCCUGUUCGUUCCCGAGGCUUCUAGAGUCUUCUAGCUGAUAGAAAAUUGCACGGCACGUUAAUAUCUCUAUGUAAACCUGACAUGUGGGCCUUUCCUCCAUAUUUCCUGAUAAACCCCUGCAGAAAUAGACAAACACCAAAACUCAUGGAAUUCUGUCAGAUAAUACCCUAAGUCUGGGUGUUGGUUGCAUUUGGAUCCUUUUCUUUAUUUAUUUGAUGAUUGUAUUUGGUACUUAAGGACCGUGAACAAACAUUCAGCACAAAGAUGUCGUCUUGACUCUAGAUUUUCAUAUCUUUGAUGACAUAGGCUUCGAUGUGCUGAUCGGGGACCCCCUGGAGACAUUCUUUUACGAUGCUCCAACUUAGGGGAAUUAGAUGUAAAGAUAGGGAGGAAUAAAUUUUUGAUCCCAUUCUCUCGAGCUUAUUCUAUGCCCGAGGAGGUUAUGUCGGUAAUGCCAUUCAAAACACCUGAGAUGUCCUUAGAAAAUGGCUCUAACUUCUUUAUAGAAGAAGAGGACGACACAGGAGAAAUCCUCGAACUUCCUAAGGAGGAAGUGCCGACUCCACCUCCAGUUGAGCUAAAAACCCUACCCGUAGGAUUAAGAUAUGCUUUUCUUCACGGUGACGAAAACACGCCCGUCAUCAUUAGCGAUAAGCAUUCUGAUGACGAAACCUCUCGACUCAUCAUCAUUUUAGAAAAGCGUAGGUCGGUCUUUGGGUAUUCCUCACAAGACCUCAAGGGGGUUAGCCCAACAUUCUGUACCCAUCGUAUACCUGUUGACCCUACAAGCACGGCCACACAUGAACCACAGCCCAGGCUCAAUAAUGCGAUGAGGGAAGUCCUUAAACUUUUUCACGCCGAGAUUAUUUAUCCCAUACCACAUAGCGACUGGGUUAGUCCCGUCCAAGUGGUUCCAAAAAAAGGAGGAAUGACGGCAGUUAAGAACGCUAAGAACGAGCUUAUCCCUCAGCGUACCGUCACGGGAUGGAGAAUGUGUAUUGAUAAUAGAAAACUUAACUCGGCAACGAAAAAGGAUCAUUUCCCAUUGCCCUUCAUCGAUGAGAUGUUGGAACGAUUGGCGAAACACUCAUAUUUCUGUUUCCUUGAUGGGUAUUUUGGUUAUCACCAAAUUCCCAUCCAUCCCGAUGAUCAAAGCAAAACCACAUUCACAUGCCCAUAUGGAACGUAUGCAUAUAGAAGAAUGUCGUUCGGGUUGUGCAAUGCACCCGCCUCAUUCCAAAGAUGCAUGAUGUCCAUUUUCUCGGAAAUGAUUGAGGAGAUCAUGGAAGUUUUCAUGGACGAAUUUUCGGUCUAUGGAAAAACUUUUGAUCAUUGCCUUGAAAAUUUGGACCAAGUUUUGCAAAGAUGCCAAGAGAAGGACCUGGGACUUAAUUGGGAAAAAUGCCACUUUAUGGUCCGAGAAGGCAUUGUUUUGGGACACUUAGUGUCUGAAUGGGGAAUUGAGGUAGAUAAAGCAAAAAUAGAAGUCAUAGAACAACUACCUCCCCCUGUGAAUGUCAACGGAAUUCACAGCUUCCUAGGCUAUGCUGGGUUUUAUAGACGAUUUAUCAAAGAUUUUUCACAAAUCACCCGGGCGCUGACAGCCCUUUUAGCAUAAGACGUUUCCUUUGAGUUCACAGAUGAGUGCUUAAGAGCUUUCAAAACCAUAAAGAAGGCACUCAUCUCAACGCCCAUUAUCCAACCUCUGGAUUGGUCGCUACCCUUUGAGAUCAUGCGUGAUGCCAGCGAUUAUGCUGUAGGGGUGGUCCUCGGCUAAACCUAGGACAAAAAGCAUCACACGAUCGCUUACACUAGCAAGACUUUGACAGGACCUCAGCUUAACUACGCCACUACUAAAAAAGAGUUCCUCGCUAUAGUCUUUGCUAUCGAUAAAUUUAGAACCUAUUUGGUGGGAGCAAAGAUAAUUGUUCAUACGGAUCAUGCUGCUCUCAAAUAUUUGCUCACCAAAAAGGAUGCUAAACCUCGUCUACUCCGAUGGAUCUUGUUGUUACAAGAGUUUGAUAUUCAGAUAAAAGAUAAGAAAGGAGUAGAAAAUACUGUUGCAAAUCAUCUUUCGCGUAUGCAAUUCACUAACAUGCAGGAACAGGAGAUUAACGACUUCCUACACGACGACAUGAUCCUGAUGAUCAACGACACGAACCCUUGGUAUGCAAAUAUUGUUAACUUUAUGGUUUCAGGGUACGUAGCCACAGGCGAAUCAAAGAAGAAGCUUGAAUAUGAAAGUCGACGCCACCUGUGGGAUGACCCCUACAUAUACCAGGACUGUGCUGACGGACUGCUACGAAGAUGUGUGCCCACCUCAGAGGGUGCACAAAUCAUCGAGAAGUGUCACGCCUGACCAUACGGAGGUCACUAUGGAGUAUUUCGCACACAGUCCAAAAUCUGGACGUGCGGCUUCUACUGGCCUACAAUGUAUCAAGACACGAAGAAGUUCAUCCACAGAUGCCGUCAGUCCCUGCUACAAGGCAACAUCAGUGCAUGCAAUGCCAUGCCACUUCACUUCAAUCUCCAAGUCGAAAUUUUUGAUGUCUAGGGAAUUGACUUUAUGGGGCCAUUCAAGAAAUAUGGCGACUGCGAGCACAUCCUUGUAGCAGUUGACUACAUAUCAAAAUGGGUAGAAGCAUUACCGUGUCGAGCAGCAGAUGCCAAGCAUGCAAGAAAGAUGUUUCAUGAGAUCAUCUUUCCUUGUUUUGGGACACCAAGAAUGGUGAUAAGUGACGGAGGGUCGCACUUCAUUGAUAAAGCCUUCAGAACAUUUUUGCGAGAUUUGGUCACCCGUCACAAUGUUGCUACUCCUUAUCAUCCCCAAACCAGCGGGCAGGCCGAAACUUCCAAUAAGCAGAUCAAGAUCAUACUCCAGAAAAUGGUGAAUGAAAUGGGAACGGGCUAGAAAGAUAAGCUCCCUGAUGCACUCUGUACAUACAGGACAGCUUACAAAACUACCAUCGGUAUGUCACCUUAUCAGUUGGUCUAUGGCAAAAGCUAUCAUUUGCCUGUUGAGCUUGAACAUAGAGCUCGCUGGGCAAUCAAGACUUGGAAUAUCGACAUCAAGGCCGCUCGAAGAAACAGGCAAAGACAAGUCGCAGAAUUAGAAGAAUGGCGAGAAAAAGCCUAUAAUAGUGCCAAGGUCUACAAAGAAAGAACAAAAAGAUGUCACGAUAAAAAUAUCUUACAUAAAGAAUUCAAGAUCAGCGACAAAGUCCUGCUCUUCAACUCGAGAGUCAAAUUGUUCGGGAAAGGAAAGCUCAGGAGCAAAUGGGACGGACCUUACACAAUUAUUGAGGUGGCGCCGCACAGAACUGUCACAAUAAAGGACGACGGUGACAACAUCCAUAAGGUAAAUGGCCAACGUCUCAAGGUAUUUCUCGAACCUGAACCCCAUUCCUUUGAUGAAAUAAAUUUAGUUUCUUUUAAAUAAUACACCAAAGGAAUGUGUUAAAAAAUAAUAUAAUUGUUGUUGUAUUUAUUUUACUUUAAAUAAAGCCUCUUGAUUUAUGCAUUUAUGUUUUACCCAAAAUGCCCCUAUGAUAUUGUAUAUCUUGUUUAAAAUCUGUUUUGAUCAUAGCAUCUUCUCAUCAUAAAUGCAUGAUAGUGCAAUCUCUUAAGUUUUAGAAAGUUUUAUUCAAAAUUCAAAAAAUUAUUCUCGUUACCAUCCCGCCAAUACACUGCGAAUCAACAUUGAUCGUAAGUGGGAUCACGAUUAGGGAAACAAAUAAUGUGAGCUAAAAAACGGAGGCCGACUGGUGCCCUGGGGGUUUGGGUGCACCUGGGUGCGGCCGCACCCUUGGCCCAGCCAAUCAGCUCCAAUCUUUUUCGUACCUCCCUCUGAUCCCUCCAGUAUCGUGUUAAUGCCUACGAUCAAGUCUGAUUCCUUAUUUAGGUGCGUGGAAGAACCUACAUAAGCAGCCCCUAGGCCUCUCAAUUCUUCGCACCAAACCUUUCUCUUCUCCCUCUCACCAAUUGUGCUAAGCUCUCCCAAGAUCCAAGGCAAGAAUGUCUAGCUACGCCCUCUCCCUGAUCCAAGCCCCUGGCUCCUUCGCAAACCUAGACAUUGUCCCCUUUAGAGAGAGUUCCUUUGUGGAGGAAGAAGGACGGGCGGCAGUCGAGGCACCACUAGCCUUUCUCCCACCAAGCCAGGACUUUAGCCCAAGCCUGAAGUCGACUGCUCGCUCCCGCAUCAUCAAGGAUGGCGCCCAAAAGAAGAAGCCCACUACUGUUUGUCCAACCACCAGCGCACUAGGACCGAAGAAGAAGACUCUUGGUGGUGGUGGACUUAGCAAGUGAGCUACUGUCAUACCUUCGUCUUUCGAAGAGCCGUCUCUGUCGUCUCCCGUUUAUGAUAAUCGCUCAUAUAUAAUUAGAGGGAUACGCAAACCCGACGGAGGGUAUGCGAAGGGACUUUUCCAUAAGGACGAAGCUUCGGCUAGCAAAGCCAUGCCCUCAACAGAAACCUUAGGCGCUAAACGCAAGUUUGUUAGGACUCCCAUCAGGGGACAGCCUAAAGGUUUCUUCAGCGAUAGUGAGGAUGAGCAGCCGCCCAAAGGGCCAACCAUCACCUAACUCCGUGCAGGCAAAAGGAGCACCCACGCUAGUGUAGAGAGAGCUCAUGAUCGGAUAGACAAGGCUCAUCUUAGCGUCAAAGGACUUAAGGACGAAUUAGAUGAGAUGCGCCGCAGCUAUGGCGAUCAGCUGCACAGGAUCGCUAAGGCAGCAGGGGUCGAGCAUGUUCCUAAAAGUUUCUAAGAACCCCCUGCAAAUAAAAUAGGCACGCUUUCCCUUUUCUCAACCAUUUUCCCUUUUGAUGUAAUUGUGCCUAUUUAAGUUAUCAAUGAAAAUAUCUUUUCUUUUGAGCACUUGUUUUCUAGAAUGUAUAUAUUUUUCUGUGACUAAUCAAAGAUAGGAAAGAAAACAAGUGUGGGGAGAAGCACAUCAUCAUGAAAACUCGGUUUGUAUAAACGCUCCCCUCUUUUAAAUAUAAAAAAGUUUUAUAAAUAAAAGUUUAAAAUAUUGUACCUUCAUUCUCCAUCAACUUGUCUCCUUUGUUCAAUAUUUUUUGCAUCCCUUUUAGUUCUCGCUAAAAUUCUUGUGAAUUUAUGAACACUUUGUUAGGGACCCUAUUUUAACUAAGUAAUUGACGGAUGUAAUAUAGUAGGAUGACAUGAUGCUUCCUAGUAUUUGCAAAGUACUUGAGUUUUUAUUUUACAAAGUUAAAAAUUCAUAUAGCAAAUUCCUUGAAUGAUUAAGCUUUUACCUACCAAUGGCCAAAUAUAUCUCUUUAUGAUGAACCUUCUACAUAUGUUGCUUACUCUGUGUUGAGUUUGGUCAAAUUUUUGGACCGCUGUCGAGAGAUGUUUCAUGCCUCCAAGAUCAGAAUUCACUUGCACCCACCAAAUAAAGACAACUCUCACACUGAGAAGUUGCGCACAACAUGUUUUUUUCCAUCCACCCAAAAAUACGCCAACUCUUACACUGAGAGUUGUGCCCAUAUAUCCACCAAAUAAAAAUGCCAAUAUCUCACCCUGAGAAUUGCGCAUCUAGUUACAUUCCUUGCAUUCGUUACUAUGAGGCUCCCUUCCACUUGUUCUUUCGUCAGCAACAAAGGAAUGGCCUAUUCGAAAAAAAUGUAUAUAUAUAUAUAUAUGAGAAAAGCCAAAAGGCAAACGGGGAAAAUCCAUACCCAUUAAAAAAAGAUUUAUAGCCCAUUUCCUUCUCAGUUCCUCAUAUCAUUCAAAUAAAAGAGAGUCAUGUUGCAAGGAGUGACCCAGAAUAUUUAGAAUUAGGACUUCCACCAAAAAUUCCACACACAUGCACAUUCUGAUCUAAGGGUAUGGCGCACUCCCUCUAGUAUGGUCCUGGAUUUGACUCGAUAAUAUAUGCAGGGUAAGUAUGAUUCCACUAUUACCAUACCUACCCAAAACUCCAGAUAAGCCUUUAGAGGUAGGAUGAUCAAAGAGAAGGCAUCAAAUCCUUUUGCCUUGGUGAGGAACCACUUACAAAAUUUGAGCGAUUUGAGAAGAGUCAUUCAAGGAACAUACGCUAUCUUUCUUUUCAAAAAUUUGCAAAACCCCAAGUUUCUGUGUAGGGACUGUGUAAGUAGAUUUGAAUUCAAGUUGUUCCAUCUUUCAAUGACCCAAGAUGAUUUGGUAAGAUACUUUGAAGUUCAUAAAUCCGGGUGAAGCUUGAUAUAACUUGUAUGCAGAUUUCUUUGACAAGGAUGAUGAACCCUUUUGGUCCAUAGCACUUUACUCGAGGACGAGCAAAGGACCAAGUGUGGGGGAGUUUGUUGGCACUUCUUAUCUUAUAAUUAUAAACAUAAUUUUUAUAAAUAAAAUAAAUAGAUGAUAGUACUUUUAUCUAUCCUUUCCACAAGCUUUGUUGUAAAUAUCAAUUUCAGGUAUGACACGUGGAAAGGCGCAAAAGACACGAGAAAGCGCACUUCAUGAAAGCAUUUUCAGAAAACAUGCAAAUAAAGAUUAAAUGGAAAAGCCCACCAAAACACCGAACUGGAUCCAUCCGUAACCACGGAAAGGAUCAGGGCCUAGAGAUGAACCGACCACGCGAAGGCGGUGGCUAGGGGGGCCACCAGUGGUGCGGCCGCACCCUGGUGUGGGCGCACCCCCCGUGGCGGCAACUCGGUCCCACCUUUUUCAGGCGGUUGCAUGGCGGCAUGCAUAGGACGGUUUCACCUACCACCAAAUUUAGAUCACCCCGAACCAUCUUAUGGAGCUAUAAAUUGAGACCCCCACUCCUCCAUUUAAAUAUAUCAAGAUACAAGAAAAUAGAAGGAGUGGUGCUUUAUUUUUCCAUUAGUUUAGCUCCAGCUAUUCUAGACUUAGGCUAGAUAGAGAGGCAAGAGUUGAAGUGUAGAAGCGAGGUCGAAGCAAGUUCUACUCUAGGGUGGACGAAGUGCCGGACCUGUCGGCUCUCGCUCCUUCUUGAACCUCUACAUUCGUUCUUACUACUUGAAGUAAGAGGUUUGUGUUACAUUUCAGUUUUGAUUCAUUAAGUGAAUUACUUUCAUAAAGCUAUUUGCUUGUGGGAUCGUCACUUGUUCUUAGAACGAGUGCUCUAGUAAGAGGACUCCUGAUAAAGCCGGAUAAUCCUGCGCAUCGCUAGAGCAGUAGUCACCUUCGUAGGCGUGGUGUCUAAGUUGUGGGCUACCUUCAUGUGUGGUACGGCUUUCGGAAAAAGGGGUAGGUGUCAGUGUAGUGACAACAUCUGGCAUCCGUAGUAAUCCCCCACGAUCAGUCGUAGCAUAGUUGUGAUAUUGCGAUCACUUAGUUACUUAGGACUCUCAGUGGGCCUGAAGCAAGCAAGUAGUUGCAUGGUCUUUCCACUUAGUGGUUCAUCACUAUUGUAACAUCCUGGAUGUUACGGUUACUAAAAACGGAUCAUGUCAUCAUAAGCAUUGUAAAGCAUAAAUGUUAAAGCACAUUAGUAUGCAUCAACUUAAAAAUAAGUUUACUUUGAUUACUUGAGCUUAGGGAAGUAGAGUGUGCUUGUGUGGUUGCUAAAACCCUAGGGUGGAAGUUUUCCGAAGAGCUAAGGGGGGGGAAAACCCUGAUUUCUGGAUCCUAGAUUUGCCCCUUUUUGUAUAAUUCAAAAACUAAGCAAAAUUUGAGGUUGAGUUCAAAAGCAAAGUUGUAGAUCUUGGCAAGAUGUACAACUUUGGUGUUUUGAGUUUUUGAAGUUUCAAUACAAAAUUCAAAAUAAUUUUGAAAAUACAGAUUUCCAGAAAGUGUCCCCUUUUCCAACUUAAACCUCCAAUUCAAAAUCCAUUUGGAACUUUGAAAAGUGGUCAACAUGAAAGUUGUAAAGCAUAAAAAGUUGAGCAACUUUCAUGUUGGGAGUUUUUCAAGUUGCUAUACAAAAUCAAAAGUAAUUUUGGAAAUUCUGUUUUGCCCCAAUUCAAAAAUUUGGAAUUUCUUUGAUUUGAGUUUGAUUUUCAAACUGUUUGGCCAAAUUCACCCUGUUACACUCAAAAUCAGCUCUGGUCACCAAAACAUGUUUUGUAGCUUAUAAAAUUUGGAACAACUUUUGUUUUGGCACAAAUUUGACUCCAGUUCAAAUUUCGGCUGAAUUUCACAAAGUCCAGAAAAGAGGGGAUAAGGGUUGCUACAGUGACCCGAUAGGGAUCACCGGCUCCCUGUCCAGCGCGGCCGCCGUGCGCGCAGCACCGCGAGCGCCCGUGCGGGCACGCAGCUGCCUGCUUGCCUGCGUCGCCAGGCGACGUGGACGCCCCAGGCUCGUUCCCUUCUCCCCUUUGAGCACCAGCGUGGACGCCGCCGCGCGUUUCCUCCGUCCUGAGCCAGAGAACCCCGACGAGUUCCCCUCUUCAAUUCGCCAUAACCACUCCUUCCCGAGCCAAAUUGAGCAACCCAGCGUCUUCGUCACCUUCGUGCGGACCCAGUGCACCCCCAAGCUCCCUCUCUAACCCACCCAGUCGCCAGAACUUCUCUGCUCUUCUCCAACUCCGGCCGAGACCGCCGCCGCGGAGCUCUUCCCGUGGCCACGGUGUUCCAGUGAGUAUCACACCCCGCUGGCGACUGUUUCAAGUUCCUUCCGUGCCCUGGUUGCUCAUGCUCUCGCUCCUUCUCCUUGAAUGUGAGCAGGAUCGCCGGAACAAGCUUGCCGGAGCCAGAGCUCCCGCCCGACGACACUGCUUCCGUCGCCAGCGGCUUCAGCUGCUUCUCCGAGCCUUGCAGCGUGAGCACCACCCUCCCCAACCCCUAUGGAAGCUCGCUCGGCCGUCGGCUUGCACUCUAUCGGGCCCUAGCGGCUGGCCGAGGGUCGGCCAUGGCGGCUGCCCGCCCUUCUCGUGACCGAGGUGGAAGAAGUAGGGUAGAGCGUGGGUAGGGGGUGUCCACAGGGUCGCGGAGUUGAAGCGAAGCCGAUGCGCACGCGCACUCCGGCCGAGACCCUCGCCAACGGCGGCCGGAGCCGUGGCCGAACCGCCGUGCGCGGUGAGGACGCAGCUGACGGGUGGGGUCGCCCCGUCAGCGUCCCGCAGAGAGAGAGGGCCUGACGAGCGGGACCCGCUCGUCAGUGACCGCUCAGAGAGAGAGGGGCAGCGCGCGCAGCGCGGUUGUGGGCCGAGCGCGCAUGGGCCGGCCUGCAGGCCGAUUUCCCGGCCACUCGCUGCACAGUACUGUUUUUCUUUUUCUUUUUGUGCAGUUUUUGAGUUAUGUUUGAAAUUGUGUAAUAAUUCGUGUGCUAAUCCAAAAAUCGUGGAAAUUUUUGUGUAGGCUCUCUGAAGUAAGUAGAACCCAAGAAAAAUAUUAAGUUCUGUUUUCUGGUAGUUUACAUGUCUGUAAAAAUUAGCCCUUUUAAUCAGCAAAUAAAACUUUGAUGAAUUUUAGUAAUUUAUUAGGGUGUCCAAAAAUCACCAAAAAUUGUGGGGAGCCUCUGGAUGUUAUUCCCUGGCUCCACCCAAAAUUUGGUGGCAUUUAGAUAAUGUUUGUUUAAAAUAUUAAUAAACCCUUAUUUAGCACUUAAAUAAUAAUUCCAAAAUAAUUAAAUAGUGAUUAGUUAGAUCCUCAUAAUUAGGGUUGAGUGAUUUUGGAUUGUGUGAGAACCUAAGGUCAUUAACCCUAAUGACCUUUGGCAUUUGAUUAUUGUUUAGCCAUAAUGCUUAAUUACUGUCAUUAGUAAUUAAUUAAGAAUUAAUUAAGGUGAAUAGGUUUAAUAAUUACUUAAUUUAAGAUAAUUAUGAAUUAAGUAAAGUCUUAGUUUACAGAUGCAACCUCUGGGGUAAAAAUAUUAAGUUAUUAAGCAACUUUAUUUGGUGAUAAUUCUGUAUUGCAUUAAAAAGGCAAAUUGUACUUAAUUCGGUCCAUCUUGCAUAAUUGCCAUACGCAUAUCAUAAGCAUUCAUCAUUUUGCGUAUAGUGUCCGUGACCGAAGGAGCGCCCAUUGAACCGAACCCUGAGGUCGGUGCUCCAUUCGAGGAAGUCAAAUCCGAGACUUGGGAAGUCUCCGAGGGUCCCUCUCUGCCCUGCAACCAAGGCAAGCCCCGGAUGCAUUAACCCCUCCUUGGAUGUUUUAAAUCUUUUAUCACUUAUGAAUUGAAAAUGCUGCAUUAGGUAGUUGAGAAUUGGGUUAACCUACUUGCUGCAUUUACUACCUUGAUAUCUGUUACCCUGUCCUUGACACCUGUUUUAUUUUAAAACUGCGUAGCGAUGCUUAACCCUGCUACUAGAUAGGUUUUCAAACAAGAAAGUUUGAAGGGUUGUUGUGGGAUACACUUAUGAUCAAUAAUGUUUCAAUUUGAGACCGGUCGGUGGACUUGCUCUAAGAAUGGAGUCUUAAAGUAGUGUCUCCGACUGUGUUGAUUAAGGACCGUUCCGUUGAUGGCCUGCUGGGUUGAGAAUUUAUAGUACUAGCCACUUGCCUCCGGUAAGCCCAGUCUUGUGAUCCCUCGACGCGAACAGCUACUCGCGCACUGGGAGUGGAAAGAUGGCGAGAGUAGUGUGUACCCACCUUACGGAUCUGAGAUGACCGGCAAACAUCUAGAUCGGCUGUAGGAUGGUGGAGUACUGUGCUCUCGGGUGCCGCGAACCUGGUCAGAUUUGGGGAGAGCUUGAUUUGGGUUGACAUAUGCAAGAUUUAAUUCUACAUAUGUCGGGUGGUUAGGAACUCCAGCUGGAUUGCUAAGCGAUUCGAAUCGUCGUUGCUCCCCGAUUGGGAGACUCAAUUCCUUCGACCCUCAUCGUAGUUAAAUAUGCAACUAAGUGAUAAAAUGAGAAAGGGGAAAAUGUCUCAUGAGGUUCGGAUCCCAAUUCCCGGACUCAUAGCGACAUGAAGCUAUGGCCAUCGAUAAAUAAUACUUAAUGAUAGGACUAGGAACUCACGGAUUCGUCUGUGGGGAACAACUAGUUAGACUAUCCUCGAAUUCUUCUGCCUCUGCGAGGGAGGAAUUCAGGGUAAAAUUUGAAAAUAAGGAUGCACUACUAGUAAGCUUUUCCGCAAAACACUUUGGCUCCUUGCUCAGCCACCCCUUGUCUACCCUAAGCCUGCAUCCCUAAAUUCUCCUCUUUUCCCGUCGGAUAAGUCUUGUUGAGUACUCCCGUACUCAGGGUUCAAUACCCCUGUUGCAGGUGAAGCUCAGGAGCCGACUUGUUUCGGACCCUGUUGUGUGACCGUCGUCGAGGUUGACGACGAAGAAGAGUGAGCGUGACCCAUGGGCCGGGUCUGUAAAUUUAUUCUGUCUAUACUAAAGUUUCAGUUGCUCCGCUGGACCAGGCUUGUAAUAACACUCUACUAUUUGGAAGAACUCCUUUUGUAAAUUAAGUUAUGUAAUACUUCCGCUGUUUCACUCUGAAAUAUUAUUUUGGUCUUGUGUCGUUGAGUUACUGCUUUAUCUUCGCAACGAAUGAUCCUGGUGUUAAGGUGGCCACUUGCUAUCCUGUAAGGGCGAGAAGAAUCAGUUCUCGUUGAUUGACCAUUACCAGUGGUCAGGACGAGCCAACUUGGUACGCCACAGGUAGCAGUGGAAUGAGCGCCAGCAAUGCUCAUCGGACUUCUAAAGUGGGAGGACUCCCGGCAUCACCGUCAGAGGUCCUUAGGACAAUGGCAGGUGCCGGUGGGCCCAAACACUUAGGGGGUUCUGCCACAGCUGGUAUCAGAGCAUUCGUUGCUAAGAUGACUGCUGAAAUUUUGAAAAACUUCAAAAAUUCGUUUGAAACUAAUACUAUGAACCUGCCUAUUUUGAGUCCAAGUGCUUAGUCCUAACCUACCCCUGUCUAUAGGCUUUCUUAGAAUUUUUGAAGUGGUAUGGUGGAGCAACCUAAAGUAUUGCCCUAUGUUGUAAAAGUUUAGAGUGGUAUCGCUACGAAUUGUUAGUAGGAAUCGUAAGUUCGUGCAUGCAUCAUAAUGUAUUAAUUGAUUAAGUUCCUUCCUCCUUGUUGGGUUGGGCGAAUAGAAUCAAUCCUAUUCUUGCUAACCUUUAAGGUCUCUCUUACUAAUCUAAACUUACCCUCUGCAGGAUGGCUCGUCAGAAGCAGACCCCGCGUAAGCGGACCGGUCCAAAAGGAGUUCCCCGACAUCAGCUAGCUCCACGCAGUGAUCAAGCCAGUAGUAGCCGUACACCGCCUCAGCAGGAGGUGGACAGGUUGUCCGCCGAGUUGACUGAGGUGAUGAGAGAGAGAAUGUACAAUGUUAUGGAGAUUGGCAAACUUAAAGCUCAACUGGCCAAAGAAAAACGAGCCACAGAGAACUGUGAAGCUAUGUUGUCCCGGAUGGUGGAGGAGCGGAAUGCAGCCAUUGCCCGAGAGGAAGAAGCUAGGAGCAUCCAUAGGCAUGAGCUAACUAGGAUGAACGCAAAGUUGGGCAAGGCAAAGUAUCUUAAGGAUUUGUAUGUGAAGAUGGCGGCCACGGUCACCGCACAACGGGAUGUCGCGUGGCAACGAGAGGACCAGCUCCAGCUGGAGAAACUGGAGCUGGCAUAUCACUUAGAUACAGUCAAUGAUCUGGCUAUGCAAUAUCGUGAUAUUGCAUUUGAUCUGUAUCAUCAACUCCACCCACCUCCCGGCGAAGGAGAAAUGGAUACGGAUGGCGAGUUGGCAGAUGAUGGAGAACCCGAUCCCGGCUUCAGUGGUGAAGAGGAGUCCGACCCCGAUGACCACAACCCAGGGGGUAAUCAAGAUGAUGGCAACGACGACCCGGGCUACAGCUCUGGCCACACCGAUUAGUUCGGUGAAACCAAGGGCAACGUCGUUGUAGGGGUCUUAGCUUGCCGUAGUGGGGUUCGGGUUUGUAAUAUAAGUUUUCUUUCGGUUUGAGAAGUUGAACUUGCUUACUCUUGGUGUGUAUCUAACUAAUGUUUAAGAAGUGAAUGUAAGAUAUAUGCUGUGUUAUGAAUUCUACGUGGUAACAGGUAUCUACGAUUCUUGUAACAGAUGCCGAUGCGUACUCGCGGAUCCGAUGGAGCUGGGACAUCCCAGGGAGGGGAUGAUAUCCCCAACCCUCCACCUGCUCCACCUUCUUUGGCUGACGCCAUUGCUGUCCUGCUAAGUGCCACAACUGACAAUGCUCGCUUGUUGCGCGAGCUAGCACAGCGUCAAACACACCCUGCUUCAAACUUCAGGGCACCGCGCAACGGGGAUGGAGAGGCUCGGUAUGUGGAUUUUACCGAGACCAGGCCCCCGGUGUUCACUAAGGCCGAUGAGCCUUUAGAAGCGGAUGACUGGCUCCGAACUAUGGAGCAUAAGUUCAGUUUAAUUCAGUGUUCAGAAACUCAGAAACCCUUAUUUGCAGCCCAGCAGCUUCGGGGAGCUGCAGGUGCCUGGUGGGAGAACUUCUUAGCUAUUCAAGCUCCCGGACACCAAGUUACCUGGACCGAGUUUAGGGACGCGUUCCGCGCCCACUACAUCCCCGAAGGGCUCAUGGCCAUGAAGGCCGAAGAGUUUCUCGCCUUGCAGCAAGGCGACAAAAGUGUUAUGGAAUACGUGGCAAGGUUUAAUCAUCUUUCUCAAUAUGCCACGGAUCAUGUGGACACUGACAGAAAGAGGAAAGCCUGUUUCAUGCGUGGUCUAAAUACUAAACUUCAGACCAUGAUGACCACUUGCCAAAAUGCUACUUUCUAUGAGGCAGUAAAUAUUGCUAUCGCCUCAGAGGAAAAGAAUAGGAAACAUAAGGAAGCCAAGAAGAAGGCUGCUUCCUCUUCUUUCUCUGGUCGCGGUCAAAAGCGCCAGAGGAUCAUUUAUCAUCCACAGGGCCACGGACGUUUCCAAACGCCGAUACCUUAUCGUGGUCCUUUCUCCCCUCCACAGUACAGACCCGGACAGCAGGUAUAUUCUCGACCUACUGCCAUCGCUUUUGCACCACGCCAGCCGAACGCCCCGGGUGUUCGCCCUACUGCUCCGCCCAGCCACAAUUACCCUUGCUUCAAUUGUGGUAAGCCUGGGCAUUUCUCUAAAGAGUGCCCUUUUCCCCGUCAAACCAACCCUACCUUUCCAAGGCCACCUAUGGGCCAACCCCAGCCGGGUCAGUUUAGAACUGGGGUUCAAAAAGGGCAACAGGUACAGAAAGGUAGACCGGUAAAGAAGACAGGGCAAGUCUUCCAUACUGAAGUGGAGACAAUUCCAGAGGGUGAACCAGUGAUGAUGGGUACGUUUCCUGUUGCGAAGCAUCCUGCUUUAAUGCUUUUUGAUUCUGGUGCAUCCCAUACAUUUAUCAAUCGCACCUUUGUGUUAAAGCAUGGCAUACCCAUUGGGGAAACACAAGAUCAUUUUUAUAUACAGUCGCCAGGAGGACGGCUGAUGUCUAAAGAAAUGGUUCACCAAGUACCCAUCGAAUUUGGUGGGCACAAUUUUCCUACUAGUAUGAUUGUUCUUAAGGACCAAGAAAUUGAUGUCAUCUUAGGCAUGAACUGGAUGGCGCAACGAGGGGUUGUGCUAGACACUUUGUACCGAACCAUUAAAAUCCCAUUGCCCAAUGAGAGUUCUUAUUUGCUAAUCCAAUUAGUUACUCCCAAACGGACAAUUGGGCAAGUUCAUGCCGCUAAUGUGUCUGAAGUCAAAGAUAUCCCGGUAGUUCGAGAUUUCCCGGAUGUAUUUCCUGAAGACUUACCAGGUCUGCCUCCGGACCGGGAUGUACAAUUCAGUAUAGAAUUGAAACCAGGGACGGCCCCAAUAUCUCGAAGGGCCUACAGAAUGGCACCAAAAGAGCUGGCCGAAUUAAAAACCCAAUUACAAGAAUUGUUGCAGAAGGGUUUUAUUCAGCCUAGUUCUUCUCCAUGGGGUUGCCCAGCCUUGUUCGUGAAAAAGAAAGAUCACACGUUAAGGCUGUGUGUUGAUUAUCGUCCCCUAAAUGAGGUGACGAUUAAGAAUAAGUACCCAUUGCCCCGCAUUGACUUACUGUUUGACCAGCUAGCUGGGGCCAAAGUGUUCUCAAAAAUUGAUUUGAGAUCAGGGUACCAUCAAAUUAAGAUUAGGCCGGAAGAUGUACCCAAGACUGCUUUCACAACCCGUUACGGGUUGUAUGAAUACUUGGUAAUGUCCUUUGGGUUGACUAACGCACCGGCCCAUUUUAUGUAUCUGAUGAACUCUGUCUUCAUGCCAGAACUAGACAAAUUUGUGGUCGUCUUCAUCGAUGACAUCUUGAUUUACUCCAAAACUAAAAAGGAGCAUGCUGAACACUUGAGAAUCGUGCUGACCCGUCUCAGGGAGCAUCAGCUAUAUGCCAAGUUCAGCAAAUGUGAGUUCUGGCUGGACAAAGUUCAUUUCCUGGGUCAUGUGUUAUCAGCGGAAGGAGUCGCUGUAGACCCAGGCAAGGUAGAAGAUGUGUUGAAUUGGAAACCCCCGACUACGGUACAUGAGGUCCGUAGUUUUCUAGGCAUGGCGGGAUAUUACCGUCGUUUUAUCCCAGACUUUUCCAGAGUCGCCAAACCAAUCACAACCUUGCUCAAAAGUCAAACAAAAUUUGUUUGGUCACCCCAAUGUGAGCAGGCUUUUCAGACUCUGAAAAGGUUGUUGACAACUGCACCUGUCUUAGCCCAGCCAGAUAUUGAAAAACCCUUUGAUGUAUAUUGUGACGCAUCAGGAAUCGGGUUAGGCUGUGUGCUGAUGCAGGAGGGUCGCGUAAUUGCAUAUGCUUCUAGACAACUCAAACCUCAUGAAGAGAAUUACCCGACCCAUGAUCUCGAACUAGCCGCCGUGGUACAUGCAUUGAAGAUCUGGCGUCAUUAUUUGUUGGGAAACACGUGUCAUCUAUAUACAGAUCACAAAAGCUUGAAGUAUAUCUUUACUCAAGCCGAGCUUAAUAUGCGCCAGCGGAGGUGGCUAGAACUAAUUAAAGAUUACGACCUUGAGGUGCAUUAUCACCCUGGCAAGGCAAAUGUAGUAGCGGAUGCCCUCAGUCGUAAGGCUCACUGUAAUUGCUUAACAGUGAAGCCUAGGGAUAUAACUUUGUGCCAAGAGCUAGAGAACUUGGGAAUAGAAAUGAUUUCCCAAGGAAGCCUUUCCAAUUUAAAGAUUGAUUUCAAUCUCGAGGCUCAAAUCAUAAAGGCACAAAGAGAAAACAAAGGCAUGAGACAUCUUAAAGAGAAGAUUUCUAAUAGAGCACUCACAGACUUCGAGGUGGAUGAUGCGGGAGUAAUCUGGUUCAAGAACCGGUUAGUGGUUCCAAAGGUACCUGAGCUACGUCAGCAAAUCCUAGAUGAAGCUCAUACCACGAGGUAUUCUAUUCAUCCCGGAAGCAAUAAGAUAUAUCAGGACCUGAAGCAAAGGUUUUGGUGGACAAAAAUGAAGAUAGAAAUAGCUCGCUAUGUGGCCCAAUGUGACACCUGUCGAAAGGUCAAAGCCAUUCAUCUCAAAUCCGCUGGGGAGUUGCAACCUUUGCCUAUCCCCGCAUGGAAAUGGGAUGAUAUAAGUAUGGAUUUCAUAGUAGGAUUGCCCAAAACAGCCAAAGGCUUUGAUUCCAUUUGGGUCAUAGUAGAUCGUCUCACCAAAACAGCACAUUUUCUGCCGGUAAAGCUAUUAUAUCCUGCCUCCACCUAUGCUAAGAUUUAUUUCGACCGUAUCCUAAGUCUGCAUGGAGUGCCAAAGACAAUAGUGUCAGAUAGAGGCACACAAUUUGUCUCCCAAUUCUGGAAAUGUUUACAUGAGUCCUUGGGCACUAAGCUUUUAUACAGCACAGCCUACCACCCUCAAACUGGUGGGCAAACUGAAAGGGUAAAUCAAACCCUAGAAGAUCUAUUAAGAUCUUGUGCCCUGAAUUUUCCAGAUAAGUGGGAUGACUGCUUGCCUCUAGCAGAAUUUUCCUACAAUAAUAGCUAUCAAGAGAGUAUCAAAAUGGCUCCCUUUGAGGCACUGUAUGGUCGCCGAUGUCGAACUCCAUUACACUGGUCAGAACCUGGAGAAAGAUGGUUCUUCGGAGUUGACUUAGUGAAAGAGACUGAGAACAAAGUGAAACAAAUCCAAAAUAAUUUGAAAGUUGCUCAGUCCCGACAGAAAAGUUACGCUGAUAAAAGACGUCGACCAUUAAAGUUCGCCAAAGGUGAUCAUGUGUAUUUGAAAGUAUCCCCAAUGAAAGGAGUAAAUCGUUUUGGUGUUAAAGGCAAGUUAGCGCCUCGUUACAUUGGUCCAUUUCCAAUUAUUGACCGAUGUGGGCAAGUCGCUUACCGCCUUAAACUGCCCGAACGAUUAUCCGGGGUACAUAAUGUGUUCCAUGUGUCUCAACUGAAAAAGUGUCUUCGGGUACCAGAUCGAGUUCAAGAUAUUGAAGAUGUAGAGCUUGAACCAGAUCUAACUUAUUCGGAAUAUCCUAUCCGAGUACUGGAUCAAAAAGCUAGAAUUACUCGAAGGACAACCACCAAAUGGUAUAAAGUACAGUGGAGCCAGCACUCUGAAGAAGAAGCCACCUGGGAAUCUGAAGAUUACUUGCUAGAGAAUUUUCCGGAAUUCCAUGCUUCCCUUCAGGAUAGCAUAUGAUAACCAGAGAAUGUACUCCAGUGAAGAAAAAGAGUUACCAAAGCCAUGUACUUAAUGUACCUAUAUGCAUAUAAUGAAGUAUUUUUUUUCCCCCAACUCCUUGCCUUGUGGAAAAGUUGAAGAUGAAAGAGUUUUGACAAAUUUCCUUUUCCAUUACUUACCCUAAGGUUUUAAAUCUCGGGGACGAGAUUUCUUUAAGGGGGAAGGGCUGUAACAUCCUGGAUGUUACGGUUACUAAAAACGGAUCAUGUCAUCAUAAGCAUUGUAAAGCAUAAAUGUUAAAGCACAUUAGUAUGCAUCAACUUAAAAAUAAGUUUACUUUGAUUACUUGAGCUUAGGGAAGUAGAGUGUGCUUGUGUGGUUGCUAAAACCCUAGGGUGGAAGUUUUCCGAAGAGCUAAGGGGGGGGAAAACCCUGAUUUCUGGAUCCUAGAUUUGCCCCUUUUUGUAUAAUUCAAAAACUAAGCAAAAUUUGAGGUUGAGUUCAAAAGCAAAGUUGUAGAUCUUGGCAAGAUGUACAACUUUGGUGUUUUGAGUUUUUGAAGUUUCAAUACAAAAUUCAAAGUAAUUUUGAAAAUACAGAUUUCCAGAAAGUGUCCCCUUUUCCAACUUAAACCUCCAAUUCAAAAUCCAUUUGGAACUUUGAAAAGUGGUCAACAUGAAAGUUGUAAAGCAUAAAAAGUUGAGCAACUUUCAUGUUGGGAGUUUUUCAAGUUGCUAUACAAAAUCAAAAGUAAUUUUGGAAAUUCUGUUUUGCCCCAAUUCAAAAAUUUGGAAUUUCUUUGAUUUGAGUUUGAUUUUCAAACUGUUUGGCCAAAUUCACCCUGUUACACUCAAAAUCAGCUCUGGUCACCAAAACAUGUUUUGUAGCUUAUAAAAUUUGGAACAACUUUUGUUUUGGCACAAAUUUGACUCCAGUUCAAAUUUCGGCUGAAUUUCACAAAGUCCAGAAAAGAGGGGAUAAGGGUUGCUACAGUGACCCGAUAGGGAUCACCGGCUCCCUGUCCAGCGCGGCCGCCGUGCGCGCAGCACCGCGAGCGCCCGUGCGGGCACGCAGCUGCCUGCUUGCCUGCGUCGCCAGGCGACGUGGACGCCCCAGGCUCGUUCCCUUCUCCCCUUUGAGCACCAGCGUGGACGCCGCCGCGCGUUUCCUCCGUCCUGAGCCAGAGAACCCCGACGAGUUCCCCUCUUCAAUUCGCCAUAACCACUCCUUCCCGAGCCAAAUUGAGCAACCCAGCGUCUUCGUCACCUUCGUGCGGACCCAGUGCACCCCCAAGCUCCCUCUCUAACCCACCCAGUCGCCAGAACUUCUCUGCUCUUCUCCAACUCCGGCCGAGACCGCCGCCGCGGAGCUCUUCCCGUGGCCACGGUGUUCCAGUGAGUAUCACACCCCGCUGGCGACUGUUUCAAGUUCCUUCCGUGCCCUGGUUGCUCAUGCUCUCGCUCCUUCUCCUUGAAUGUGAGCAGGAUCGCCGGAACAAGCUUGCCGGAGCCAGAGCUCCCGCCCGACGACACUGCUUCCGUCGCCAGCGGCUUCAGCUGCUUCUCCGAGCCUUGCAGCGUGAGCACCACCCUCCCCAACCCCUAUGGAAGCUCGCUCGGCCGUCGGCUUGCACUCUAUCGGGCCCUAGCGGCUGGCCGAGGGUCGGCCAUGGCGGCUGCCCGCCCUUCUCGUGACCGAGGUGGAAGAAGUAGGGUAGAGCGUGGGUAGGGGGUGUCCACAGGGUCGCGGAGUUGAAGCGAAGCCGAUGCGCACGCGCACUCCGGCCGAGACCCUCGCCAACGGCGGCCGGAGCCGUGGCCGAACCGCCGUGCGCGGUGAGGACGCAGCUGACGGGUGGGGUCGCCCCGUCAGCGUCCCGCAGAGAGAGAGGGCCUGACGAGCGGGACCCGCUCGUCAGUGACCGCUCAGAGAGAGAGGGGCAGCGCGCGCAGCGCGGUUGUGGGCCGAGCGCGCAUGGGCCGGCCUGCAGGCCGAUUUCCCGGCCACUCGCUGCACAGUACUGUUUUUCUUUUUCUUUUUGUGCAGUUUUUGAGUUAUGUUUGAAAUUGUGUAAUAAUUCGUGUGCUAAUCCAAAAAUUGUGGAAAUUUUUGUGUAGGCUCUCUGAAGUAAGUAGAACCCAAGAAAAAUAUUAAGUUCUGUUUUCUGGUAGUUUACAUGUCUGUAAAAAUUAGCCCUUUUAAUUAGCAAAUAAAACUUUGAUGAAUUUUAGUAAUUUAUUAGGGUGUCCAAAAAUCACCAAAAAUUGUGGGGAGCCUCUGGAUGUUAUUCCCUGGCUCCACCCAAAAUUUGGUGGCAUUUGGAUAAUGUUUGUUUAAAAUAUUAAUAAACCCUUAUUUAGCACUUAAAUAAUAAUUCCAAAAUAAUUAAAUAGUGAUUAGUUAGAUCCUCAUAAUUAGGGUUGAGUGAUUUUGGAUUGUGUGAGAACCUAAGGUCAUUAACCCUAAUGACCUUUGGCAUUUGAUUAUUGUUUAGCCAUAAUGCUUAAUUACUGUCAUUAGUAAUUAAUUAAGAAUUAAUUAAGGUGAAUAGGUUUAAUAAUUACUUAAUUUAAGAUAAUUAUGAAUUAAGUAAAGUCUUAGUUUACAGAUGCAACCUCUGGGGUAAAAAUAUUAAGUUAUUAAGCAACUUUAUUUGGUGAUAAUUCUGUAUUGCAUUAAAAAGGCAAAUUGUACUUAAUUCGGUCCAUCUUGCAUAAUUGCCAUACGCAUAUCAUAAGCAUUCAUCAUUUUGCGUAUAGUGUCCGUGACCGAAGGAGCGCCCAUUGAACCGAACCCUGAGGUCGGUGCUCCAUUCGAGGAAGUCAAAUCCGAGACUUGGGAAGUCUCCGAGGGUCCCUCUCUGCCCUGCAACCAAGGCAAGCCCCGGAUGCAUUAACCCCUCCUUGGAUGUUUUAAAUCUUUUAUCACUUAUGAAUUGAAAAUGCUGCAUUAGGUAGUUGAGAAUUGGGUUAACCUACUUGCUGCAUUUACUACCUUGAUAUCUGUUACCCUGUCCUUGACACCUGUUUUAUUUUAAAACUGCGUAGCGAUGCUUAACCCUGCUACUAGAUAGGUUUUCAAACAAGAAAGUUUGAAGGGUUGUUGUGGGAUACACUUAUGAUCAAUAAUGUUUCAAUUUGAGACCGGUCGGUGGACUUGCUCUAAGAAUGGAGUCUUAAAGUAGUGUCUCCGACUGUGUUGAUUAAGGACCGUUCCGUUGAUGGCCUGCUGGGUUGAGAAUUUAUAGUACUAGCCACUUGCCUCCGGUAAGCCCAGUCUUGUGAUCCCUCGACGCGAACAGCUACUCGCGCACUGGGAGUGGAAAGAUGGCGAGAGUAGUGUGUACCCACCUUACGGAUCUGAGAUGACCGGCAAACAUCUAGAUCGGCUGUAGGAUGGUGGAGUACUGUGCUCUCGGGUGCCGCGAACCUGGUCAGAUUUGGGGAGAGCUUGAUUUGGGUUGACAUAUGCAAGAUUUAAUUCUACAUAUGUCGGGUGGUUAGGAACUCCAGCUGGAUUGCUAAGCGAUUCGAAUCGUCGUUGCUCCCCGAUUGGGAGACUCAAUUCCUUCGACCCUCAUCGUAGUUAAAUAUGCAACUAAGUGAUAAAAUGAGAAAGGGGAAAAUGUCUCAUGAGGUUCGGAUCCCAAUUCCCGGACUCAUAGCGACAUGAAGCUAUGGCCAUCGAUAAAUAAUACUUAAUGAUAGGACUAGGAACUCACGGAUUCGUCUGUGGGGAACAACUAGUUAGACUAUCCUCGAAUUCUUCUGCCUCUGCGAGGGAGGAAUUCAGGGUAAAAUUUGAAAAUAAGGAUGCACUACUAGUAAGCUUUUCCGCAAAACACUUUGGCUCCUUGCUCAGCCACCCCUUGUCUACCCUAAGCCUGCAUCCCUAAAUUCUCCUCUUUUCCCGUCGGAUAAGUCUUGUUGAGUACUCCCGUACUCAGGGUUCAAUACCCCUGUUGCAGGUGAAGCUCAGGAGCCGACUUGUUUCGGACCCUGUUGUGUGACCGUCGUCGAGGUUGACGACGAAGAAGAGUGAGCGUGACCCAUGGGCCGGGUCUGUAAAUUUAUUCUGUCUAUACUAAAGUUUCAGUUGCUCCGCUGGACCAGGCUUGUAAUAACACUCUACUAUUUGGAAGAACUCCUUUUGUAAAUUAAGUUAUGUAAUACUUCCGCUGUUUCACUCUGAAAUAUUAUUUUGGUCUUGUGUCGUUGAGUUACUGCUUUAUCUUCGCAACGAAUGAUCCUGGUGUUAAGGUGGCCACUUGCUAUCCUGUAAGGGCGAGAAGAAUCAGUUCUCGUUGAUUGACCAUUACCAGUGGUCAGGACGAGCCAACUUGGUACGCCACAGGUAGCAGUGGAAUGAGCGCCAGCAAUGCUCAUCGGACUUCUAAAGUGGGAGGACUCCCGGCAUCACCGUCAGAGGUCCUUAGGACAAUGGCAGGUGCCGGUGGGCCCAAACACUUAGGGGGUUCUGCCACAACUAUAGUGUAUUCUCUUAGCCGUGUUCUCCUCCCUACUAUCUUCUAGGGUGAUUAGUUUAGUGUCUAAGUGACGUUUUACCGUUUCCUGUGGAUAAAUAAUAGAAUACUUCCAGGUGAAGUGCUACAACGGUACUUCCGUGCACUUGCGGAUUUCUCUGUUGUCGCUAAGAAGCGCCAAUAGUAGGACGAGGUCACCCAUGUUCAGGUCUCUUUUGCAUACGUGCUUGUCGUGGUAGCAUCGAAGCUUCUACUGGUACCUUGCUGAGUUUAGGAGGGCCAUGUCUCGAGCUUCCUCGAGUUGGUCGACCGCGUUCUCCCGGGUUUCCUUGUUUGUUUGCUCGUUGUAGGCUUUGAGUCGAGGUGACCCAUACUCGAGGUCAGUUGGGAGCACAGCCUCGGAGCCAUAGACCAUGAAGAAUGGGGUAUAUUUCAUGGCUCUACUCGGCGUUGUUCUUAGACUCCAUAGGACCGAGGAGAGUUCCUCGACCCACUUUUUACUGAACUUCUUCAAUCGGUUAUAGAUUCUAGGCUUGAGCCCUUGCAAGAUCAUACUGUUGGCAUGUUCGACCUGGCCGUUGGUUCGAGGAUGAGCUACCGCUGACCAGUUCACACGGAUGUGGUGCCAGUCGUAGAAGUCCAAGAACUUUUUGCCGGUGAACUGUGUGCCGUUAUUGGUGAUGAUGACGUUGGGUAUCCCGAACCGGUGGAUUAUGUCGAUGAAGAAGAGGAUGGCCUGCUCGGAGCUGAUGUUUGUGAUGGGAUGAGCCUCGAUCCAUUUGGAGAACUUGUCGAUGGCCACCAGCAAAUGGGUGUAUCCACCCACUGCCCUUUGGAGUGGAGCCACAAGGUUGAGGACCCAUACCGCGAACGGCCAAGUGAUGGGGAUCAUUUGUAGAGCGCGAGCGGGGAGAUGAGUUUGCUUAGCGUAGAAUUGGCACCCAUGGCAUGAGCGUACGAGCUCGAUGGCCUCGAUGAUGGCGGUCGGCUCAUAGAAGCCUUGUCGGAAGGCGUUGCCUACGAGGGUUGUUGGAGCAGCAUGGUGGCUGCAAGCCCCCGAGUGUAGAUCCUCGAGGAGCUUUCGACCCUCCUCUAUGGUGAUGGAGCGCUGCAAGAUCCUGGUUGGGCUUCGUCAAUACAGUUCUUUACUCUCACCAUAGAUUACAUACGAUUUGGCCUGUCGAGCGAUACGACGCGCCUCAGCUCGAUCUUCUGACAAUUCACUGUUGGGUAUUUUAAACGCAAACAGAAAAAUCCGCAAGCACACGGAUACCGAUGUAGCUUUCACCCGGGAGUAUUCCAGAGUAUCGAUUUUCCACAAGGAACGUGAGUGUACUAAUUAAGAUUCAAGAUCGCCCAAGGAUAACUAUAUAAUUAUUUUUGGUGGGAAGAGAGGAAGUUUCCUGAGAGUUCUCUAGUUGAUCUAAGAAUCAAGAAUUACUUCAAGAUUAUCUAUUUCGGGACAUCAGAACACUAACCACAGAAAGAGAUGAGAAGGGGGCUAGGAAGCUCUGACUACGGUCCUACAAACACCGAUCCGAACGAGGUGGAAUACGUCGACCGUUAGGGCUGUCACUACCCUAGGGCUACUACAACAAUCCGCAGGAUUGGGUGCAAUUCCAGCUAAUUGCAAGACUAAACACCACGUCUAAUCUAUUAAUUACUACUCUAAUGUUUCAAAGAUUAGAGCACUUGAUGCAAGCGGGAAUCCAAUAAAUAACUUGAAUGUAAAUAAAAGUAAUUAAAGAACUCAGGAAUUAUGAAUUGAAGAACCUAGAGAACGAUGAAGAACGAACCAGUUGCUGCAAAAGUACAAUGUUGAGGAAGAUCCGACAGAUCCGGCUCCUCCUCCGCUCUCCUCUUCUCUCUCCCUAUUUUCUAGAUUACAACUAGAACUAACUAGAACUAGAACUAGAGGAACUAAAACUAGAACUAGAGGGAUCCUCUCUACUUGGAUGAAGAAUUGAAACCCUAGCUUUGAUUCUGUAGAAGAGGUAUGAUAUCCAGGGGCCAGGGGCCUUGCUUAUAUAGUCUUUUCAGAUGAAUCUGGGCCGUCGGAUCAAACCGACAUUGAUUGUACGGUUAUCCUGGAUCCUUUAGGUCGAUGGAGCAUGAUCCCCGAGUUGUACCCUGAUUGGGCAGAAUAGGAGGGCGGGCGCCCUGUCCCUGAGCCCUCUCGGCUUCCGCUUUGUUCCCGUGGCUUCUGGAGCCUUCUAAAUGAUAGAAAAUUGCGCGGCAUGUUAAUAUCUCUAUGUAAACCCGAUGUGUGGGCCUUUCUUCCAUAUUUCCUGAUAACCCCCUGCAGAAAUAGACAAACACCAAAACUCAUGGAAUUCUGUCAGAUAAAACCCUAAGUCUGGGUGUUGGUUGCAUAUAAGUCCUUUUCCAUGUUUAGUUGAUGGUUAAAUGUGAGCAUUAAGGACCGUCAACAAGCUCCCCCAAGCUUAACCUUUGCUCGUCCCUGAGCAAAGAUGGACUCAAGAGUUUCUGCAGUGGUUUCAUGCCUUAAAGGUACACAUGCGUUCAAACAAGAUCUCAUCUCUGGGUUAGGGUAAACUGUUAAGAUUCAAACUUACUCAUUUUACCUUCCACCAUGGGGCUUGCAACUGUCACUUGUGUCUUGGGCAGUUAAAAGAUAGAAUGGUCUAGUCAAGCGCCAUGUCUCUUGUUCUUUGAUUAACUAUAGCUCUGGAGUUUUUGCAUAUUUUCAAAUAAAACUCAGAGAUUCCUUGUAUGACUCUCACUAGUCUCUCUUUUGUUGUAUUUCUAGAUCCUUACGAAGGCAGUAAUGGUGUAUGCCUUCUCUCAAAAUAUGUGGUAUUUUUGGUAUGAGGCAUAGUGGCUUUGCCUUCUCUCUCACCCUACUCCAAUAAGGUUUUGAUAUCUGGAGCUCAUAGGUGGGAGACAGCUAAUACAUACUUACAAGAAAGUUAUUGCAUAGUGAAACCAUGGAUCCAGACAAACAAGUCAAUAUGUCAAAUCAAGAUGUGCAUGUGUGGCGAAUAAAUGGUGUAUGGUGAUGAUGGUGAUAACAAUGGUGAAAGUCUAAUUCUACUUGUGCUCUUUUGAGGAAUACAUACCUUUCUUGCUCUUUUGAAACUUUUUGAGGAGAAUGAGAUGCUCUAUAUUUUUUUUUUCUUUUCUCUCAGGUGGGUAUCUUGUACCCCUAAUUCUACUGUCGGACACUUGUCCAUUUUUACCUCUCGUCUCACUUUUUCUUUUCUUUUGAGGUUCUGGGCACUUGCCCCUUUUUAUUUCCUCGUAUUCUUUCUUUUUUCUCUCUUUUUUUAGAGCACUCAUCUCCUGAAAUAAUAUAGCAAGUGGUAGUAACCAAGAUAACUUGAGCAUUUAUUUCACAGGGAAAAACAAAAAUGUUUUUGGCUAUUCUCUCCCAGAUUAGGAGUAGAAUAUUUUUAGGUGAUUCUGGAGAUGGAAACGGGUGGAUAUAUGUGGAUGCGUACUUCCGGAGUAGAAGCAGCAUGUGUGAGUGAACGUGCAAUUGAAUCUUGACUUAACCACACGACAAGCUCCUAAGGGUCUACACAGCUUGACCACACUCAGUGCUCAUAAGCAGUAAAAAAAAUAAAUGUGUGGCUCAAAGUCUAGCAAACAUGUAUAUAUGGCUGUGGUAGAAAUUUAAACUCUCAUCAUACAGGAACUCUUCAUGUGAUAUUUUAAAGAUUUUCAAAGAUAAAAUUCUCGAGAAUUCUAGCAUCUCUAAGAACAGAUAAACAGCAGCUCAACCUUCCCAUAUCAUAUCCGUUAACGACAUAGACUUCAGAUCAAGUACUCUUCCCACAAGUUCAGGUUUAGAGCAAAUCUUAAUUAAUAACAGUCAGGCCUAAACUUGAGAGAGAUUUCAAUUUUGAGAACUAGUCAUGACAGAGCAACUAUUCAUCAUUUCCAUGUGAGAGCUUAUCAUGAGGGUUCAUAGCAAACUUUAUUUAUUUAUUUAUUUAGCAAACUAAGCAAAGAUAUAUAUAUAAGCACAAAAUCUUUAUUUGGGUUUUUAUGAUUAUGCAUCUUUUUAUUAUUUGAGUAAAGUAUAAAUGCCAAUAGAACAGUUACCUGGAUAAAUGGGGGUGUUCUCCCCCAUGCUGGAUUUUGACGUAAUUUCUUUUGAUGUAGCUUGCAGGUGCUAAAGAGUCAAGUACGAUCCACCCGUCAUCCUUGGGAGAUAGUUCCUCAGCACCGUUAAAACAAUCAUCUACAUUGGAACCGGAGAUGUCCACAUGAACUUCCCCUCUGAGAAGGUACGCCGCUAUUUUACUGACCCUAACUAUAUAGUUGAAGACUCUAAGCAGGUCAGGACAAGAAGGAGACGAUGCAACUGCAACCAGAGAAGGCAAAUUAUCAAGGACGGAUGGGCGGAUUAUGAAGGAGAAGUGGUACGGUCUGAAGACAUACAACUUGAACAGAACUGUCCUGAGGAGACCAUAGCACCGAGUCAGGUGUGGAGAGAGAAGAUAGUUGUACAUGAAGAGGAGGCGCUGCCGGAACCACCGACUACGCCAUCCAGCGAAUCCCAGGACGAUUGAGAAAACAGAUUAGGCAGUCGAGGAAGGGGGUGCACCAGUCGAAUGGUCGAUCGGGGCGUUGAGGGAUUUGGUCGACCUCCAUUACUUCUGCCGCCGUCAGCAGGGCCUCGAUUGCGUUGGCGGGCUCGGGAGUGGAAGUUUUGGUGCUAGCCCCCGCGCCUAGGUCGACGGAUGGUUCGAGCAAGUCCCUUGAAAACGCAUCUGGUGGGACAGUGCCUCGAGUCGACGCAAUCUUGGCGAGCUCGUCGGCCGCUUCAUUGUAUCGUCGUGCGAUGUGAAUGAGCUCGAGGCCGUGGAACUUGUCCUCGAGCUUGCUAACUUCCUUGUAGUAAGCCUCCAUCUUUGGGUCAUGGCAGCUCGAGGCUUUCAUGACCUGGUCAAUGACCAGCUGAGAGUCGCCUCGAACCUCAAGAUGCUAAACUCCUAGCUCGAUGGCGAUCCUUAGUCCGUUGACGAGGGCUUCAUAUUCUACAAUGUUGUUAGACGCGGCGAAGGGUAUUCUGAUGACAUACCUCAUAUGGACGUCGAGAGGUGAGAUGAAACAGCAGGCCUGCCCCAGCUCCUGUCUUCAUGAGGGUUCCAUCGAAGUACAUUGUACAUAGUUCUACUUGAACUUGAGCUGGGGAAGUUGGGUGUCUGUCCAUUCCACGAUGAAAUCCGCCAAUGCUUGAGACUUGAUGUCUUUGCGAGGUGCAUAGGUGAGGGUCUCACCCAUGAGCUCGACUAAUCACUUGGCGAUCCUCCCGGUGGCCUCUCGGUUAUGGAUGAUCUCGCCUAGGGGGAAGGACAAGACUACCGUCAUCGGAUGACCGAGAAAAUAAUGCUGCAACUUGCGUCGGGCGAGGAUCAUAGCAUAAAUCAAUUUUUGGAUCUAGGGGUAUCAUACCUUUGUCUCCGAGAGUACCUCACUGAUGAAGUAGACCGGCCGCUGAACUAGUAGCGCAUGCCCCUACUCCGGCCUUUCAACCACCAUAGCCGUGCUAAUGACCUAGGUUGUUGCCGCGAUGUACAGGAGCAAAGGUUCUGCCAGUCGAGGAGGCACCAAGAUCGAAGCGGUGGUCAGCAUCUUUUUUAGUUUUUCGAGGGCUUCCUCAGCCUUGAUAGUCUAGGCAAAGUGUUCGGCCUUCUUCAGGAGCCAGUACAAUGACAGUGCCUUUUCUCCCGGCCUCAAAAUGAAGCGGCUCAGUGCCGCUAGGUAGCCUGUAACAUUUUGUACGCCCUUGAUGUCUUGAAUUGGUCCCAUCUUGGCGAAGGCCGAGGCUUUCUCGGGGUUGGCCUCGAUGCCGCGCUGGUAGACUAUGUACCCUAAAAGCAUGCCUCGAGGCACGCCAAAGACACACUUCUCGUAGUUGAGCUUGAUCUUAUUCAUGCACAGACAACUAAAGGCGAUCUCGAGGUCCUAAAUUAGGUCGGCCUGUUUCUUUGACUUGACCACAAUGUGGUCAACGUAUGCCUCGACCGUCGACCCUAUAUGCUCCCAAAAAACAUUGAGCAUGCACCGUUGGUAUGUUGCCCCGACAUUCCAGAGCCCAAAGGUCAUAGUCACGUAGCAAUACAUUCCGAAAGGUGUGAUGAAAGAAGUCGCGAGCUGGUUAGACUCUUUCAUCUUUAUUUGGUGGUAGCCGGAAUAAACUUCAAGGAACGAAAGGGUCUCACAUCCCGCAGUAGAGUCAAUGAUUUGAUCAAUGCGUGGUAAAGGAAAAAGAACUUUCGAACAUGCUUUAUUUAAACUGCUGUAAUCGACACACAUCCUCAUUUUCCCAUUCUUUUUCUUAUCUAAUACAGGGUUUGCUAACCAGUCGUGAUGGUGAACCUCCUUGAUGAAUCCGGCAGUCAAAAGCUUGUGGAUCUCCUCACCAAUGAUCUUGCGCUUCUCCUCGUCGAAGCGGCGCAGGCAUUGCUUCACUGGCUUGGAACUGGCUCGAAUCUCCAAGGAGUGCUCGGCGACUUCCCUCGGAAUGCCAGGCAUGUCUGAGGGACUCCAUGCAAACAUGUCAGUGUUUGCACAGAGAAAGUCGAGGAGCACGGCUUCCUAUUUGGGGUCGAGGUUGGCGCUGAUCGUCAGCACCUUGUCAUUGGAGCCGUUGGGGUCGAGUGGGAUUUUCUUCGUGCCCUCUGCUGGCUCAAAACUACCCGUGUGGCGUUUAGGCUCUGGAGCCUCUACGGCGAGGGCUUCGAAACUCAAGGCGAGCUCGGUGGAGCUCUCGACAGCUUCCUCGUACUCGACGCACUCUACAUCGCAUUCGUACAUGUGCUGGUAGGAGGAGCUGACGGUGAUGACCCCCUUGGGCCCGGGCAUCUUCAGCUUUAGGUAAGUGUAGUUGGGGAUUGCCAUGAACUUGGUGUAACCCGGGCAUCCAAUGAUGGCACGGUAAGUGCCUCAAAAACCCACCACUUUGAAAGUGAGGGUUUCCUUCCUAAAAUUGGCCGUCGUGCCAAAACAGACCGGUAGGUCGAUUCGACCUACCGACAAUGCCUUCUUCCCUGGCACAACGCCAUGGAAACCGCCGGCGUUGGGUUGGAGCUGUGCUCUCUCGAUGACUAGGAGGUCGAGGGUCUCGAGGUAGAUGAAGUUGAGGCUGCUGCCUCUGUCCACCAAUACUUUAUAGAGCCGGGUGUUGACGAUGAUGGGGUCGACGACGAGUGGGUAUACGCCGGGAGCGACAACCUUGUCGGGGUGGUCGUCACGGUCAAAGGUGAUGGGGGUGCUCGACCAGCUGAGGUACUGUGGCACUGCCAUCCUUGCCGCAAAGACCUCGCGGCGCUCCCUCUUAUGCUGCCUCGAGGUGAGCUGCGUCGAGGGUUUGCCGUAGAUCAUGUAGCAAUCGAGGACGGCGAGGAACCCUUCAUCUUCUUUGUUUCUAUUCUUGUCGUCGCUUUUAUCCUUCCUUUGGUCAUCCUUGUUCAGUCUCAGGCUGUCGAAGUACUUUUUCAACAUGCGACAAUCUUCGAGCUUGUGAUUGGCCCCUCCCUUGUGGUAAGGGCAGGGCUCCUUGAGCAUCUUGAUGAAGAUGGCCCCCUCUGGGGGGCCUGGAGGCUUCUUGCGCUCAACAGUGGUGACGAAAUCAUCAUCGAGAGACUCCCGCUUGAUCGACCGUGUUUUAUUCUUCUUCUUGUUUUUCUUGGGCCCUCUGCUAGGGCCCUCGUCAUCGUCUGUUGGCGCUUUCCACUUGUCACUCUUGUGGUUGAAGAAAGCACCGACCACCUCUUCGCCAGCGGUGUAGUUUGCUACUACGUCCAUCAGCUCGUCGACGGUCUACGGUCGAUUUCGACCUAAUUCUCGCACCAGAUCCUUGCACGUGGUGCCUGAGAGAAAGGCCAAAAUUACGUUGUUGUUGGGGGUGUGCGGGAGCUCAGUACGCUGCUUCGAGAAGCGACGAGCAUACUCUAGGAGAGAUUCUCCUGAUUUCUGCUUGCAUUUGCUAAGGUCCCAUGAGUUGCUGGGGCGGAUGUAAGUCCCCUUGAAGUUCCCUUUGAACACCCAGACCAGGUCAGUCCAGUCAUGGAUAUGGUUGGCAGGGAGCUCCUCGAGCCACCUACGAGCGGUGUCGGAGAGGAAGAGUGGUAGCCGCUGGAUGAUGGCUCGAUCGUCUCCUCGAGCGCCUCCCAACUGGCAUGCCAGCCAGAAGUCCUCCAGCCACAAUUCUGACUUAGUUUUGCCAUUGUACUUGGCGAUGUUGGUUGGGGGUCGAAUUGGGCUGGGCAGCGGCGUGCUGCGGAUUGCCCUGCUGAAGACUCGAGGGCCCGGCGGCUCUGGAGCCAUUCGGUCCUCAUCGCUAUCGUAACGUCCACCGCAGUAAGCGCUGUAGCCACGUUCCUCAGCGUCCCCAUGUCGGCGGUGGUGGUGCUCGUUGAUGUCAUGUCGAGCGUCGUGCUGAACUCGAUUGUCGACGAGGCGCUCCUGGACGGACACCAUUUUCUUACAUUGAGGGGGAGGCCCCUGAUGAACGGACACCUCCCUCUCGUUCUGGGCUGGCUUGACGCGUUUUUCUGUGGCCGCCCCUCGACGCUGAGAAGCUGAGCUUUCAGCUUGUUGUGCUGCCGCAACAUGGAGCAGACCCUGUAUCUCGUCUCAAAUGCAUUGCGCUUGGGAGUUUGAAGGCUUAGGCAUGUUACAUAGCAGCAUGGUUGCUGCCACGAUGUUCUGGCCGGCUCGAGGGAAGCGGCUGACGAGUGGCUCUGGCUCCUCGUCCCUCACAAUCUGUUGAUACACCUCUCGAGCACGACCAUGCGUGCCCCCGCCGUGCGGGUGCGGUUGGUCUCGCUCGGGAGCCCGCUCGAGUUGGCUGAGGCGCUCACGAUCCUCAUCAAGCUUGGCCUUGAGCUCUCGUAGCUAUGCAAGUUGCGUGGUCUUGUCGUCCUGAGGCGGGGGUUCCACCUGCCCGUCACUCUCAGGUGUCCUAGGAUCUUCCCUCGUUAUGGGGGCUCGACCACUGGCAGCGGCGUCCUAUGUAUCGUCCGCGGUAGCCACGGCCCUGUCGAGGUUGAAGCACUCCCUUGUACGGUCGUAGCUGUCGGAUUCAGAGUUGGGGUCUGGCUCGGCGGUGAAGCAUCCGUGCCCCUCCUCUGCCAACUGCUGUCUGAGCGAGGUGAUGGUGUACCGCCUGUUGACGGUCCUUAAGUAUCAAAUAUAAUCAUCAAAUAAACAAAGAAAAGGACCCAAAUGAAAUUAACAUCCAGACUUAGGGUUUUAUCUGACAGAAUUCCACGAGUUUUGGUGUUUGUCUAUUUCUACAGGGGUUUAUCAAGAAUUAUGGAAGAAAGGCCCACGCGUCGGGUUUACAUAGAGAUAUUAACGUGCCGCACAAUUAUCUUACAUAUAGAAGAGUCCAAAAGCCACGGGAACGAACGGGAGACUGGACGGGCUCGGGGGCAGGGCGCCCGCCCUGGCCUCGAGGCCAAUCAGAGCCAACUUCGCGGAUCAUGCGCCACCGACCUAAAGGAUCAAGGAAAACAGUGCGAUUAAUGUCGGUUUGAUCCUACGGCCCACAUUCACUUGGAAGGACUAUAUAAGCAGACUCCCUGGCCCCUGGAGGAGAGGAGCUCAGACCCCUAAUUCAUUAUUCAUCUUGGGAGAAGAAGCCUCUGAUCAAGCCCUACAGCCACCACAUCAAUUAUAUCUCUAGAUUAGCAUAGCUACAUAUGAUUAGAACUAGAAGGAGUCAAUCUUCGAUUGGUUUCCGGAUCUGUCAAGAGGAUUCUUGGUAAUUCUCUAUUGUUCUUCAAUUGUUCAUCUUUGUUCUUGAAUAUUAUGAAUAUGACUUUGUUCUACUUCAAUAUGUUGAUUAUGACUUUGCUCUACUUGUUUAUAUUCGCAAUUAUAUUGUUCUUAGUUUAUCAUAGUUAUAUACUUGGCUUAGUUAGAUUGAAAUUAUAUACAUGUUUAGGAUCGUAUCGCAUUUAUCCAUGUGUACAGUGGGUAAAUGAUAAGUAUUGUGUAGGCGUGGUGCCUAUACCGUAUUUAUCUGUGAUUGUACCCUAUAUGCCAGAUCGCGGGGUAGUUCGUGCUAGUGACAGCUCCAUUGAUUCUUAUAUAGUCCACCUCUCAUGUAUAGGGCUGGCAGAGCAACAUUAUUACAGGGGAGUGAUUGCCAUGUUUCUCAUAUUCCUUGAUAAUAUCAAUAUGAAUGGGCCUAGUCCUAUCUCACAAUGAUUGCCAAAUAUAAUUGCACUAACUAUGAUAUGCUAGACUGUAUAGUUGAGAAUAAAUUAGGAAAUAUUCUUGUAGUUUGUCCUAAUUCCAUGCUAAUGACUUGCUAGAAUAUCUAAUUGAGGUGCUCAUCAUAUUUAUUAUGUGGCUAAGUUAUGCUGAUCAGAUUAAUUAUAUUUGUCACCUUUAUACUUUAUAUAUUUUUAUGUGACAUUUAUCCCUGUAUGAAAGAGAAGGAUAAAUGCUCUCAAUUAUACAUGCAAUGAUAGAUACUCAAUUCUAUAUUCCAUUCUAUAAUCAACAUUGAUGUUUAGCAAUCCCUUCCCAGUGGUAAAAAUAUAAAUAACGAUACCUAGAAUACUUCCCAGUUAAAAUGCUACAUCGGUAUUAAUCUGUGCGCUUGUAGAUCUCAUUUAUUAUUUAUUUAGAAGAGCAACACUUCCUAGAGAUUUGUAGCACAUUCACCAUGUUAGGAGUCCCCAGAGAUGCUAUACUACUUCGCCUCUUCCCAUUCUCAUUGUUGGGGAGAGCGAAGCAGUGGUUCUACACUAUAAAGGAGAAGAAUACUACGUGGGCACUCUGCUCUACGAACUUUUUGGCUAAGUUCUUUCCCAUGGGCAAGACCAAUGCUCUCCGUGGGAAGAUUACAAGUUUUCAGCAACAACAUGAUGAAUCCGUUCCAGAAGCAUGGGAGCGCUUCCAAGACUACAUCCUAAAAUGUUCCCAUCAUGGAAUGGAGAGCUGGCUACUGAUGCAAACAUUUUAUCAUGGAGCAUUCCUAUCACUUACCAUAUCACAAGCCACAGCUCUUGUGGAGAAGAUGGCGUCCAACCAAGGCUGGAAUGAAGAAAGGAUCCAGACACACAAGAGAGGUGGAGGUAUGCAUCAGCUCAAGGAGGUAGACAUGCUGUCUGCAUAGCUAGACCUACUCAUGAAGAAGCUCGAUGAUAGAGCUGGAGAUAAGAAAGAAGUCAUGCACAUCUACGACUCUAACAUGACUUGUGAGGAGUGUGAAUAUACUGAACACUCAGGCAAUCACUGCCCUAAGAUGCUUGAGGAUGUAAACUACAUCAACAAUAACAACAACAACUACUACAACCGUCCUCAACAAAAUCAAGGAUGGAAUCAGCAGAGGCCUAACUACUCAGGUAAUUAUUAAGGUAAGAAUUCUUAUAAUAAUAAUAAUUUUCCACCUCUAAGAGAGUUAGUGUCUAAUCAAGGAAAGCUAAUGGAAAACCUUUCUAAGAAGUUGGCAUCUAAUGAUAAAAUGCUAGAAAAUAUAAAUAAUAGAAUGGAUAAUUUCUCUACUGCCAUCAAGAAUCAAAUUAGCUUUAAUAAAAUGAUUGAAUCUCAGUUAAAUCAAAUAGCUGGAAUCUGCAAAUCUUGUAGACAUGUUUGAUGCAGGUAACUACUAGAGUAACCCCGUCACUGAAAUUACUACUGACCUUCUGCCGGUCAAGAGAGGCGAUCCAGGAUGCCCCGUCAUCCCGAUCUCCAUCGGCAUGGUGGACUUCCCAGAAGCACUCUGUGACUUUGGCUCUAGCGUCAACAUUAUGCCUAGGGUACUCUAUGAAAAAUUCUUUACAUAUCCUUUAUUAGAAACAACCAUGUGUUUGCAGCUUGCAGAUCGAACACUAAGUUUCCCAAAGGGAAUAUUGAAGAACCACUGUGUCCGAGUUGGUACCUUAUACGCCCCAGUAGACUUCGUGGUGAUUGUUGAUGGUUCUUAAGUAUCAAUUUUAAUUAUCAAAUGAACAAGGGAAAGGACCAAUAUGCAAACAACACCUAGAAUUAGGGUUUGAUCUGACAGAAUUCCGCGAGUUUUGUUGUUUAUCUGUUUCUACAGGGGGUUACCAGGAAAUAAGGAAGAAAGGCACACAUGUCUAGAUUACAUAGAGAUAUUAUCGCACAGCACAAUUUUCUACCAUCUAGAAGACUCCAGAAGCCACCGGAACGAACAGGAAGGCAAUCGAGCCCGGGGGCAAGGCGGCCGCCCAGGUGUUGUAACCAAACACGUCCAACUUCGCGGAUCACGCUCCACCGACCUAAAGGAUCUAGGAUAACCAUUCAAUCAAUGUCGGUUUGAUCCAACGGCCCACGUUUACCUGAGGGGACUAUAUAAGCAGACCCCCUGGCCCCUGGAGGAGAGACAAGUUCAUCAUAGAGUUGAGAGGAGCCCUCGAAGGAAUACCUCUCCUCUAAAUAGACUUAGGGCUUAGCAUCCAAUGUGAGUAGAAUUAUAUCUUCUAGUUUCUACUAGAUUGUGAGAGAUAGAGUGGAGGUGUAGAUCGGAGGAAGCCCGGCCUGUCGGUGUCUACUCUGAGUUUGUACCUGCUGGAUCAAGUUCUCCUAACCCGAAGCUUGCUCCUAGGAUUCUUCAGUAUUUUGACUUCUAAAUUCUAGUAAGUUCUUGUUUUAUUGUUCUUUGGUUUAUGAGUUUACUUUAAUCUCUUCGCGUAGAGUUUAGAGUAAUCAUCUCUAGCAUAGACGUGGUGUUUGAGCUAGGAUACUCAUAGAUAUUCCCUGACUAGCUGGACCGUGGUAGUAGCGAGGAACAUGACAUUUCUGAGUUACCUUUGCAGACCAUAUCUCUUUAGCAUGAAGGAUAGGGUUUAUAGGUGCGGGUUGAACAUCCUCUGUGGUGUCUAGAUUCCAUAGGCUUCCCCAAUAGAAUAGUAGAUCAUCCUUACCAAGGUUAGAACGAGACUACAGUUGCAGUCUUUUCUAUAUAUCACUCACAUCGAGAAACAUUCUUUGUAGCCUAAAGGUUAGUAGUAAUAGACCGGGUUAGUCAGAUGCACUCUUUCUCCUAGUGGUAAAUAAAAUACGAUACUCUGGAUAACCUCCCGGGUGAAGUGCUCACCAAUAUCCGUGCGCUUGCAGAUUAAUUCCUUAUUGUGUUCCCAAAUAUGAACAGUGAUAGAGACCGAUAAUGAUGAGAGGGCACCCGUCAUCUUAGGGCGGCCAUUCCUGAACACCUCGGGAGCUGUCAUCUACGCUAGUGCAGCCAAGAUCAGUUUCUAUAUCAAGGGAAGGAAGGAGACAUUUUCCUUCAAGAACAUGACUACACAAAUCCCAGAGCAAUCCCGACAUGAACCAAGGAAGAGGACCAACAGGAGGAACAGGAACAAGCAAGUGUGGACCGAGUGAGCUAAGAUGGUCACUGCAAUUCAAGGAGGUCAAGAUCAUCAACUUAAGUCACCGUUUCUGACCAAGAAGGACGACCUAGGUAUGCCAAGCAUCUAUUGCUCCAGCAAUGGAUACAACUUCUACAAGACAUUUUGCGACACCGGAUGGGGCGUCAACAUAAUGGCUGCAGUCAACUAUCGGCUCUUGUUCGGAACCAUGCCCUUAAAACCAACAUACAUUCAGCUCCAGAUGGCAGAUCAGACAUUCCGAAAGGUUGAAGGUAUAGCAAUUGAUGUCCCUGUCAAAAUAGACGAUCAUUUUGUCCAUACAGACUUUCAGGUUAUUGACAUGGGAGAUGAUGAGUACGAUCCACCCAUCAACCUUGGGAGACCUUUCCUCAGUACUGUUAAAGCAAUCAUCUACAUUGGAACCGGAGAUGUCCACAUGCACUUCCCCUCAGAGAAGGUACGCCGCUAUUUUACUGACCCUAACUAUAUAGUUGAAGAUUCUAAGCAGGUCAGGACAAGAAGAAGACGACGUAACCGCAACCAGAGGAGGGAAAUCAUCAAGGCCGGAUGGGCAGACUAUUGUUGACGGUCCUUAAUGCUCACAUUUAACCAUCAACUAAUCAUAGAAAAGGAUCUAAAUGCAACUAACACAUAGACUUAGGGUUUUAUCUGAUAGAAUUCCACGAGUUUUGGUGUUUGUCUAUUUCUGCAGGGGGUUAUCAGGAAAUACGGAAGAAAGGCCCACACGUCGGGUUUACAUAGAGAUAUUAACGUGCUGCGCAAUUUUCUACCAUCUAGAAGACUCCAGAAGCCACGGGAACGAAGCGGAGGCCAAGAGGGCUCAGGCACAGGGCGCCCGCCCUAGUCCCUUGGGCGCCCGCCCACUUCCAGAGACCAAUUCGGACACGUUUCGCGGAUUAUGCUCCACCGACCUAAAGGAUCAAGGAAAACCGUGUGAUUAAUGUCAGUUUGAUCCGACGGCCUAGAUUCACUUGAAGGGACUAUAAAACCAGACCCCCUGGCCCCUGGAGAUCAUACCUCUUCUACAGAAUCAAAGCUAGGGUUCCAAUUCUUCAUCCAAGUAGAGAGGAUCCCUCUAGUUCUUCUAGUUCUACCUCUAGUUCAUCUAGAUCUAGUUCUAGUUCAUCUAGUUCUAGUUCUAGUUCCUCUAGUUCUAGUUCUAGUUAGUUCUAGUUGUAAUUUAGAAAAUAGGGAGAGAGAAGAGGAGAGCGAAGGAGGAGCCGGAUCUGUCGGAUCUUCCUCAAUAUUAUACUUUUGCAGCAUCUGGUUCGUUCUUCAUCGUUCUCCAGGUUCUUCAAUUCAUAAUUCCUGAGUUCUCUAAUUACUUUUAUUUACAUUCAAGUUAUUUAUUGGAUUCCCGCUUGCAUCAAGUGCUCUAAUCUUUGAAACAUUAGAGUAGUAAUUAAUAGAUUAGACGUGGCGUUUAGUCUUGCAAUUACCUAGAAUUGCACCCAAUCCUGCGGAUUGUUGUGGUAGCCUUAGGGUAGUGACAGCCCUAACGGUCGACGUAUUCCACCUCGUUCGGAUCGGUGUUUGUAGGACCGUAGUCGGAGCUUCCUAGCCCCCUUCUCAUCUCUUUCUGUGGUUAGUGUUCUGAUGUCCCGAAAUAGAUAAUCUUGAAGUAAUUCUUGAUUCUUAGAUCAACUAGAGAACUCUCAGGAAACUUCCUCUCUUCCCAACAAAAAUAAUUAUAUAGUUAUCCUUGGGCGAUCUUGAUCCUUAAUUAGUAGACUCACGUUCCCUGUGGAAAAUCGAUACUCUGGAAUACUCCCGGGUGAAAGCUACAUCGGUAUCCGUGCGCUUGCGGAUUUUUCUGUUUGCGUUUAAAAUACCCAACAAGCUUUCUGGCGCCGUUGCCGGGGAACGGUAGCUGUGCUAGUUUCGAACCAAGUCGUCCGUGUAUCCUUUUUCUUUUCCUUUUUACCACACUCACCUUAUCAUUUUUACCAUACCACAUGGAUUUCACUCUAAGCAUUAAUGAGCAUGGAAUUUAUUUCAUAGCCACUUCAUUUACUCCAUGCUCGUAUGCAACAUCUUCACAAUCCAUUGGUCUCUCCAACAUCACCACAUUCGAGAUCUCCAACCCCCUCUUCCUUUCUAUUUGUAAAAACUUUAAAAGGGCGGUUGUCGAUGCAUAUGUCUAUAUUAAAUAUUGCAGAUCUCGUUGAGUUGAUCUUGAUAUAGGUCAAAGUUGGAGGGGAAACCACUUCACUGACAUAAAUCGAUGGUUUCCCAAGGACAAGCUUAGUGUCCUAAAACAAGCACUGAUCAGAUUGUAACAUGAGCUUUUAAUUAUUUGCAACAUUGCCUUGUGUUUUGAGCAUAUAAGGAUAAUUGUAAAAAAAUUCCUUCGGGUAUUCUUGUCACUAACCUUUCUAGGAUUGGAGCAAGAAGAUCGGAUGAAUGACAAGCACAAGGUAUGUCUAGCCAAUCAUCAUACAACAUUGAAUUAAAUCCAUCCAAACUUGAAUUUUGCAAAAUUCAAGCUUGGGGGAGUACUUUACAUAAAAACAUCCUUUGCCAUAUUGCUAUGUUGGUUGUCCCUACCUUUGAGACAUGCUCAAUUUGUUCAAUACUAAUCACACUACUUCAUCUCCACUUGAGUAGAUUUCUAUAAAUGCUCUCAUGCUACCUUUAUUUGCUUUAGUAUAUGUUUAGGUUUGGAGUAGUUUUAUUUAUCUCUUAAUUAAGCAUGGUGCUUACUUAGGAAUGAUGAUCUUACUUUCAAGGGAUUUUAAAUUAAGCAUGGUGCUUAGGUUAAAAUGCCCUCCUAAAUCAAAUUAGACAUGUUGUCUAGGUUGAUCUUUGAGCCGAUAGUAUCCUAGAGUAGAUAUUGGAUAUUUUGUUGGACUAACCCCUGUAGGAAAACUUUCAAUAUCGACCUGUGAAGUCCUAAGAUAAGCUCACAUUGGAGACAAAGAAAGAGACGCAUGAAGUUUAACAAUUUACACAAGGAAGGCAUAGCUCACAAGAGAUGAUCCAUAGAGGGUGCCACAAACACGACGCACAACCGCUAAGAAGAGGCGCCGCUGGAAGCACCGACUACGCCAUCCAACGAAUCCCAGGACGACUGAGAAAACGGAGAGGCCUGUUUGGAGGACUUAAAAACACCGAACGCCUUGCCAAGAGGUAAACUUGGUAGUUAUCCUUUUCCUUUCAAUUAUUUAAAAUAGUUUGCUUAGUUAAUCAUGUUCAUAUUAUCCUAAAAAGAAAAUAAAAAUGUUGAAAAACAAUAAGCCCCAUGUGAGUAUACGAGUGGCAUAAAACCCAUAAGUACAUUCACCGUGGUGGCAUAAAAAUAAAAUAAAUAAUUUUUUAUGCCCUAUAAAAUGAUAAUAUAAAAUAGAGAGUAACAUUUAUUGUGGAGGCUCAACAUGCUAAAGGCUAGAUAUUUAUGCUAACACUUAACUAGUUCCACAAGCUUUGUUGCCUAUUUGAGCUCCACAGAAUUCAAGAAUCAAGAAGACUAGCACAUGGAGGACAUUCUAAUCGCUGUCAGGGUGCUGCCGACUUUCAAAUACACCUCUGCCACCUGCUAGCUACAUGAGAAGAAAUUACGUGAAAAUUCAGCUUGGGGGAGAGCACCCCCAUUUAUCCCGCUAAGUAUUUCGAUCUAUCUACAUUUAUACUUACACUAUAUUAAAAUAUAAAUAUACAUAACUAUGAAAAACAAAAUAAAGAUUUUAUGUUUAUAUAUAUAUCUUUUGCUUGGUAUGCUUAAUAAAUAAAUAAAGUGGCUAUGCUAAACUGAAUCUUAAUAAUAAAACUCUAGCAUGGAUAUGAUGAAUAGUUGCUAUGCCUAAUUUUCAAAUUUGAAGUUCUCUCUAGUUUAGACAUAACUGUUAUAAUUUAAAGCUUGCUCUAAACCUGAACUUGUGGAAAGAGAACUUGAUCUAAAAGUCUAAGAUGUUAACUGAUAUGAUAUGGGAAGGUUGAGCUACUCUUUAUCUGUUCCUAGAGAUGCUAGAAUUUUGGAGAAUUUUAUCUUUGAAAAUCUUUAAAAUAACACAUGAUGAGGUCCUGUAUGAUAAGAGUUUAAAUUCCUACCACAGCGAUAUAUACAUGCUUGCUAGACUUUGAGCCACAUAUUUACUUUUUACUGCUUAUGAGCAUUGAGUGUGGUCAAGCUGUGUAGACCCUUAGGAGCUUGUCAUAUGGUUAAAUCAAGAUUCACUUGCACGUUCACUCACACAUGCUGCUUCUACUCCGGAAGUACGCAUCCACAUAUAUCCACCGAUUUCCAUCUCCAGAACCACCCAAAAGUAUUCUACUCCUAAUUCGAGAGAGAAUAGCCAAAAACAUUUAUGUUUUCCCCUGUGAAAUAAAUGCUCAAGUUAUCUUGGUUACUACCACUUGCUACAUUAUUUCAAGAGAUGAGUGCUUUAAAAAAACGAUACGAGGAAAUAAAAAGGGGCAAGUGCCCGAAACCUCGAAAGAAAAGAAAAAGUGAGACGAGAGAUAAAAAUGGACAAGUGUCCAACACUAGAAUUAGAGGUACAAAUACCCACCUGAGUGGAAAGAAAAAGAAAACAUAGAGCAUCUCAUUCUCCUCAAAAAGUUUCAAAAGAGCAAGAAAGGUAUGCAUCCCCUCAAAAGAGCAACAAGUAGAAUUAGACUUUCACCAUUGUUAUCACCAUCAUCACCAUACACCAUUCAUUCGUCACACAUGCACAUCUUGAUUUUACUUAUUGAAUUGUUUCUCUAGAUCCAUGGUUUGACUAUACAAUGAAUGUCUUGUAAGUAUGUAUAUUUUAUCUCCCACCUAUGAGAUCCAGGUAUCAAAGCCUUAUUAGAGUAGGGUGAUAGAGAAGGCAAUGUCACUAUGCUUCAUACUACAAAUACAACAUAUUUUGAGAGAAGGCAUAUACCAUCACUGCCUCGGUAAGGAUCCAGAAAUACCACAAAAGACUCUGAGUUAUAGCUGAUCAAGAAUAAGAGACAUGGCACUUGACUAGACCGUUCUAUCUUUUAACUGCUCAAGACAGAAGUAAUGGUUACAAGUCCCAUGGUGAAGGGUAAAAAAAGUAAGUUUUAAGUCUUGACAGUUUACUCUAACUCAGAGAAGAGAUCUCAUUUGAAAGCAUGUGCACCGUCAAUUUUUAAAGGCAUUACAACAAGUUCUCAUCCAUCACUGAGAUUAUCCUUGCUCAGGGAUGAGCAAGAGGUAAGCUUGGGGGAGUUUGUUGAUGGUCCUUAAGUAUCAAAUAUAAUCAUCAAAUAAACAAAGAAAAGGAUCCAAAUGAAAUCAACAUCUAGACUUUGGGUUUUAUCUGACAGAAUUCCACGAGUUUUGGUGUUUGUCUAUUUCUACAGGGGGUUAUCAAGAAUUAUGGAAGAAAGGCCCACACGUCGGGUUUACAUAGAGAUAUUAACGUGCCCCAAAAUUAUCUUACAUCUAGAAGAGUACAGAAGCCACGGGAACGAACGGGACCGAACGGGCUUGGGGGCAGGGCGCCCACCCUCCCCCCUUGGGCGCCCACCCUGGCCUCGGGGCCAAUCAGAGCCAACUUCGCGGAUCAUGCUCCACCGACCUAAAGGAUCAAGGAAUACCGUGCGAUUAAUGUCGGUUUGAUCCGACGGCCCACAUUCACUUGGAAGGACUAUAUAAGCAGACCCCCUGGCCCCAAUAGGAGAGGAGCUCAGACCCCUAGUUCAAUAUUCAUCUUGGGAGAAGAAGCCUCUGAUCAAGCCCUAGAGCCACCACAUCAAUUAGAUCUCUAGAUUAGCAUAGCUACAUAGGAUUAGAACUAGAAGGAGUCAAUCUUUGUUUCCGAUCUGUCAAGAGGAUUCUUGGUAAUUCUCUAUUGUUCUUCAAUUGUUCAUCUUUGUUCUUCAAUAUUAUGAAUAUGACUUUGUUCUACUUCAAUAUGUUGAUUAUGACUUUGCUCUACUUGUUUAUAUUCGCAAUUAUAUUGUUCUUAGUUUAUCAUAGUUAUAUACUUGGCUUAGUUAGAUUGGAAUAUUAUACAUGUUUAGGAUCGUAAAGCAUUUAUCCAUGUGUACAGUGAGUAAAUGAUAAGUAUUGUGUAGGCAUGGUGCCUAUACCAUAUUUAUCUGUGAUUGUACCCCAUAUGCCAGAUCGCGGGGUAGUUCGUGGUAGUGACAACUCCAUUGAUUCUUAUAUUGUCCCCCUCUCGUGUAUAGGGCUCGAAGAGCAACAUUAUUACAGGGGAGUGAUUGCGAUGUUUCUCAUAUUCCUUGAUAAUAUCACUAUGCAUGGGCGUAGUCCUGUCUCACAAUGAUUGCCAAGUAUAAUUGCACUAACUAUGAUAUGCUAGAUUGUAUAGUUGAGAAUAACUUAGGAAAUAUUCUUGUAGUUCGUCCUAAUUCCAUGCUAAUGACUUGUUAGAAUAUCUAAUUGAGGUGCUUAUCAUAUUUAUUAUGUGUCUAAGUUGUGCUGAUAAGAUUAAUUAUCUUUGUCACCAUUUAUACUUUAUAUAUCUUUUAUGUGACAUUUAUCCCUGUAUGAAAGAGAAGGAUAAAUGCUCUCAAUUAUACAUGCAAUGAUAGAUACUCAAUUCUAUAUUCCAUUCUAUAAUCAACAUUGAUGUUUAGCAAUCCCUUCCCAGUGGUAAAAAUAUAAAUAACGAUACCUAGAAUACUUUCCAGUUAAAAUGCUACAUCGGUAUUAAUCUGUGCGCUUGCAGAUCUCAUUUAUUAUUUAUUUAGAAGAGCAAUUGCAUAUUUCAAUACCGUGUCUCUCAUGUCAUGCUGGGGAUGACAACUUGGCUUAAGUGGUAUGAGGGAUAGGUUUGGCAUUUUUUGCGCUGUUAUCAGAAUUAGAAAACUAAGUCUACUUUUGGUAGUGACGUUAAGAAUGCCCAACACCGCCCAGGUCCUAGGCGUCGAGGCCCGCAUAUCCGAGGAAAAUCCAACUGCCUGGCCACUUGCUGAGCUUGCUGGCGUGUCCCUGCGUCGCGCGGGAGGACCAGUGGUCGCUCCACGCACGUCCCGGUGCCCGGGCAUAUUGCCCUAGCGAGCGACGUCACAGCAUUGUCCAAACCGAACAGGUACGUCCGCCUGGCGGCGAACAAACCGUGUGGUAGCAGUGCGGACGGAGGUGAAGGUGCGCGAGGCACACUGCUUCCCGAUGCCAUCGCGUGGCUGGCCAUCGUGACUGUGGCCUCGGCGCGUGGGGCUGUCGGCUCUUGCACCGUUGCCUGCUCUACAUGAGGUGAUGAUCGUGCAGUGGCGGUGGGGCGGUGGCGAUGCUGGCCACGCCUCUUCUUGGGCGGGGAAGCAUGGUGGCGAGGCCCUCUCGGCCCUUUGAUCAAGAGUAAGAUCAUAUCGAAGCUGAAGCCAGUGGACAUGAUCUCAAGGCUCCCAAACCAAAUCACCGUGGAGCAUUGGAUCAGCGAGACGUGAGUGGCCAUCUAGAAAGUGAGGGGAAAUCGGUGGUAACACGUAGGACCCCUACCUAGCACACUAACUGUCGGUGUUUUGCCCCUGGGGGUGACACCAACGAGUGAAUUUGUGUGUGUGCUUCCCCUUUCUGGAUGGUGAUGUAAGAAUAACAUAGAGAUUUAUCUUGGUUCGGGCAAGAGAAGGCCCUACGUCCAGUGGGGGAGGAGAUUUUGUAUUAUUUUGCACCUAAGUGCUUGUACAGGGGCGAAUACAAAUGGAUGUAUGUGAGGAUUCUAAGUCCUAGCCGAUGGUGGUUUAUGAUCGUAUCUCACGGGUUGUGUGUUGGAUGUCCUCCCCUCGUAUGCCGCCCUCAGUGUCCCCUUUUAUAGUUCCAAGGGGAGACCUAGGUUACACGGUGUAGGCAUUAAAAUAAGGCUCGAUAGGGGUAUGGGGCGCUUACCUACUCAAGGCCUCCGUACCGGCGUGGCCUCGAGCUGUCUUGUUACGGAGUACUUUGUUACAGAGUACCAGCUCCUGUACAUCGUCUUGGAUUGGUCUAGGCAUGAGCACGCCUGUACGUCAUGGCAGUGGUCACAUUCGGGGCGGUUGAAGCGCUGACUUCUAUCGUCUGACCCUUUCCGGGGAAGGAACGUUUCCGCUUGAGGGUCGGGUAGCAUGAGCGGCUUUGCUGAGUGGAGCGCUGACUUUGGGCGUCUCGAGGGGUGCCACGAUGGGAUAUUAUGCCUUCAGCCCUAUACCGAGUCGUACCUUUAAAAAUCCUAGGGGAUAAAUCUGAAAAAGGUGAGAUUUGAUGGGUGCUUGUUCCCCCAUCACGUUUCCCUUGACUGUCGGUUAGGUGGGAGCAUGAUAGACGCAUUAAAUGCCCUGACUUCUGUAACCGCGACAGGCGGCGGGGGGGGGGGGGGCGCUUUUGUGCUCGAGGUCCAUUGAUUCGCUUGAGCCACUCCUGUAUUCGACGGUUGUUAGUUAUCGAGCCCCUAUCAAUUCAUAGGACACCGUUUCUGUGUUUGAGGCCACGGUCGACAUCGAGCCCUGGCGAUUAUGUAUUUAUGUCAGAGCGUCGAGUUAGAGUCUUGAUUUGCUUAUGAAUCCUCUCGUUAUGAGUGUUGGUUGGGAUACCCCUUAUUGGUAUCCUCAACAACAAGUUUGCUUGUAUAUGCAUGAUCCUCGGGAGUCGCACUUUGCUCUCAUCAAACGCAUUCUGUGGUACAUCAAAGGCACUAUUGAGUAUGGACUUGCUAUCUCCCGUAGCCGGUCACAUGAGUUAGUUGUGUUACUCUGAUGCGGAUUGGGCCGGCUGCCCAGACACCCGUCGCUCAAUUAUUGAGCUAGAAGUAGUGAAAUUGUUCACUCCAACAGUUUUCACCAUGGUGUAGUUCAGCGUAAAAGUAGCCAAGAAGUGUUUUUUGAUUGAGAUUGAAGAUGGUGAUAAUAUGAGUGAUUAUAUUGUUGGCAGGAAGGAUAAGGGAUACAUGAUGUACUUUGUCAAAUGUGAAUUUUGUUAUGAAGGCAGUCUAAAGGGAAUUUCUUGUUCUUGUUAUAAGUUACAUUCGAUUGGAACCCCUUGCUCACAAAUCUUUUCUGUGUUGGGCCAUCGGCAUGAAGACAAGCUUCCAGACGAGUGUGUUUUGAAAAGGUGGACAAUGGGGGCAAAGAAUGCAUUUCCUCUGAAAAGGAACAACACCAUGAGCUACGCAAUAUCAUUCACGCUGCAUCCUUCGCAUCAUCUUUCUCACCUGAAUCAUAUGAGUGGCUGAAAAGCGCGUUCUAGAGGAUGAAGCUGCUAUGAACUUGCCAAAUGGAGGAGAUAAUAGAAGCAAGAGGUAUGGUCCGGUGCUAUAUGUUUGUGUCGUAGCCUCUGGUAUUUAACUAUUCUGAGUAUUUCUUUAUCAGAACGAAUGGUCUUGUGUAUCCCUUGGUUAACUACAAUCUAAUAUUGCAUUUGUAAGUGUCACUGUAACUGAGCUAAAACUAUUGCCAUAGUAUGUGGACUUGUUCUCUGAAACCCUAAAGUUAUGCACUAAGCCAUAUAACUUUUUUUUUGACAAGGUGAAGGUGAAGCUAAUUUGGAUCUUAUUUAUUGAACUGGUGACACUGCAGAAACUAACUAGUUUUCUAGGAGCCUCGAUUGUGCUAGAGUUUUUGCCACUACUAGUCCUGACUUGCCACUACUUGUCUUUAUAGGUACGCAGGUGAACAACUUAUGAUUUUCCAUCAUCUUUCGAAAUUGACAUGCUGUUAUUUCUAUGAAUUCCUCUACUGCUUGCAUUGGUUGUUGUCUGGUAAAAAAAUCCUGAACAUUGGUGGGCUCCUCCAUCUAUGUUUCAUUGUUAGACUAUGAACAAGCUACUGAUGGUUCUUGUCUUGAUGUGCUCCUGAAUGCCAAUCAGAUGCUGGCUUGCUAUUUAUUUUUCAUUAUGAAUUUAGUAGCGAAUCUAUUGGUAAACGAGUUCAACGGACCAAGAAUCCAGGAAAACAACAGACCAGCCCUUAUAGGCCUUUUUAGAGCUACGUGUUGUCCAUUCGGUAGGCUAUAUUUGAUCUUUAGUUUGUCUAGAUGGCUAUGUUGGAGUAAAUAGGAAUAGUACCACAUUGUGUAUCCACAUAGGGUGUUAGUCCUAUGUACCCUAUAUAAUCAGCCGAUGAGGCCCAAUGCAAUAUAUAAAAUAUUCCACCAAUUUUAUUCUCCUUCAUGGUAUCAUUCGCCUAGGUUUAGAUCCUAACCCUAGCCGCUUCCGCACUGCGCGCCCCCGGGGAGAGGUGAAUCUCCGUCAGGGGCAGCGCCCCUGUUUAGGUGCCUGAUCUUAUUGUUCCGGUUGCCUUCAUCGUCGCCCGCACAGCAGAUCGGGAUCUCCCCUACAUCAUCACCGUGCUGCCGCCGUGGCCUCGUCCCCAGACUCUUCAUUGGCUAUCGCCGCCAAAACCUUCCUGAUCUUCAUCGCAUGGAGGCAGAUGGUGGCGCCGUGGUUGUCGAGCGGAUCUGCCCAUCUCCACUUUGUCGAUCCGUGUUGGCGCCUUUGACCCCACGUGUUCGUGACUCAUCGUGCGCCUUGCGCCGCCCGAUCGGGUCGCACUGCCGCCGUCUUGUCGUCUUGCUGGGUACACCCGAUCUCCUGCUGUUGUAUCUUUUUGGUUGGCCCGAUCACUGAUCAGGAUUGAAUGGCCCACCGCCUGUCGACCUCACGCGUUCUACUCCGGCAUCGGCAUCGACUACAUCGACACCAUCUCUGAGUACUACGCGCAUCUUCUCUGAGCAAUAGCACUGCUACUAUGUUUCCUUAUUGGGCCGCAGCACCGUCACAUGAGUCUCUGCUUCGUUGUUGCAUCUACAUCGCCGUCACCUGUGCAUCGAUGACUUGCGUCAUCCCUACUGUGCCAUCUCUCUGCACAAGGUCUUCGUCCUGCUGAUUGGGUCUUUGUCAUCGAGCUGCCACUACCCGCGUCGUCACUGAGACCUACUCACCAACGUGUCUUCUCCCGCAUUGCUUCUUCUUCAUCUAGCACAACCACUCAGUUGGGGCUCUCUCUCUUGUACGCUUGGUAUUGACAACACCGACGCGUGCUUUCAUCCCCGACACGUUGCUGGAUCUAGCAAAUCCAGCUGCGCCUCGGUGCUUAGGCGUCUUGACUGCAUCGACUUCAGCAUCGACCCUCCCGUUCCUACUCCAUCUGCCUUGAAUGCGUCGUCACCCUUCUUCUACGACGGUCUUGAUUGCAUCGACUUCAACAUCGCCCCCUCCCACGAUAACUACUCGAUGCAUCUCCAUAAUUACCAUGGUGCCCCUUGUGUGCCUGCAGCUCCAUCGACAUGCAACCCAACCACAACUACAUCGACCUCGGCCAUCUUCAGCAUGGCUUCUUCGACCACGGCUAUUGUGCCCUUAUGCUCGGCUACCUCGACAUUGGCAGAAAGGGCUACUGCAUUGCAUGAGGACUCAUCGGCUUGUUUUCCAGCCAUAGCAUACGCCGCGCCUCGACUAUUAUGACUGCGGGGGGAUGUUACUUAUUAGCUUCUUCUACAGUCUUAUCGUCUGUAGUGCUCCCACUGUGAUUGUGUUGACGGUGGUUAACGUCUACCUUCAUUAGAACUUUAAACCCAAAAGAAAAGACGAAAACACACUAGUCUAUGGUUUUAACUUACAAUUUCCACGAGUUUUGCAUAUUCUGUAUUUUCUAGGGUUUAUUUUAGAAAAGCUAAAAAGAGGGAUUCAAGUGCAAAAUAAACACGAAACUUAUCUGCCACAGAAAUAUCACAAACGGGACGUGGGAAGGAUCCAGAAGACACUGGAAGCAACCGGGGGCCAUGACCCUGCUAGGUGGGGCCGACUGGCCACCCCUAGCCGGCCGGCCCCUUGUUGCUAGGGUUUGCCGCCCCCUUCUAGAAUGUUCCUCCACCGCCUCUCCUCAAGCAUCUCGGCCCUUGGUUAGGUCGGUUUGACCCUACGACAUACGUGCAUCCCACCAGACUAUAAAUACAUGGGUAGACCGCCCAGAGAGAAUAAAAUUCAUUCCUCCUGCUUCAUUUGUCAAGAGUAGUCAGAAGUUAGGGUUUCCAAAGAUUAGAAGUAGAGCUCUAGUUCUUCAAGUUCUUAGUAUAGGCGUCUAGCAAGAUUCAUAUAGAGAUCCGGUGCUCCGCUCGGGAUUCUAGAUCUGUCUUCUAGAAAUUGGUAAUAUUAUCUUGUAUUUCAGUAUGACUUUGCUCUACAUUAAUAUAUUGCUAUUUAUUCUGUUCUUAGUUUAUUCUAGUUGCAUAUCAGAUAUAGAUGUGGUUUAUGAUGAUUAUCGUUAUAUGAUCGUAAAGCGUCUGAUUCAGUACUCGAGUGAGUUAGGUGGUGCGCAUUAUGCAGACGUGGUGUCUAGAAAAAUUAUGUACCUACGGAGGCACCCUGAUGUGCCGAGUCAUGUGGUAGUCCACGCAGGUGACAGUUGUGUUGGUUCCUCUGUAGUCAACCCCCAUAUGUAGUACUAGCCGAGCACGGUCGCGAAGGAGGUGACCCUUGUGUCUUAAUAUCCUCAUUAGUUGAUGCUCCUUAUGAUGUUUUCUGAGUUUAUCACGCUAUAGAUAAAGAUGUGUAGCAUGGCGUAGGCUGUAGACUUUAUAUUAGUAAUUACAUAGGUUUUCUUUUCUCUAACCGAAUCUCGAGAUUGCUUUACUACAUUAGUGAGUCUCUAUUUUCUAUCUCAGAAAUACCAUUUACCUCGUUUACUCAAUUAUCAUUUAUCAUUUAUCAUACUGUUGACUAGUUAUCACUAAAGCAAUGUGCAACUGGCUAUGAUACAUUUACAUAAUUAUAAUUUCUUUAAUCCUUAUAAGAUUACAUAAGCCUAAUGAAAAGAAUGCUGCUUUAUCCUUUUGGCAUAAAAUAAAUCAACAAAACUCGGAAUACUUCCUGGGUGAAAUGCUACAACGGGAGAAUUAUCUGUGCGCUUGCGGAUAUAUUCAAUUUAGUCAUUGCAUGUAGAUUAUUUUUAUUCUUUGUUUUUUUACAUCAUGUUAGGGAUGGCAACUUAAUAUGAAAUGAUGUGAAAAAUACUAACAAGCAUUUCUGGCGCCGUUGUCGGGGAUGACAAUUUUAUUUAUUAGGAUAACUUUAAAAGGAAGAGGGAGAGGGCGCGUCCGAGUGGGCCGAGCUGGAGCUGGGCCAGAUUCCGGUGAGGGUGAGCUCUUCUUUGUUGUUUUUAUAUAUAUAUAUUCUUUUAUUUCAAAGCCUAUUCUAAAGAGAUUUGAAUUCUUUUAAAUUUUAAACAAAAACACACAGCACAAAAUUAAAUAUGCUCCAGCAUGAAUGCAUAAACAUGUUUCUAUCCAUAUGUUGGAUUUUAAUUUCAACAAAUUUAUUUAUUUAUUAAUUUAAAUACUCACAGAAAUACUUAAAUAAAUCAAAUUAAGUCCUAUUAAUUGAAAAUCAAAUUUCGGGUGUUACAAUAAUUCCAGAUCAUAUGAAUGAUAUGUAAACUGCAUCUUUGCUGGUGUAUAUGUGAUUCUGUAUAGUUCUAAGUAAUGCCUUGGGGCUUUUGUUUUAUUUACUGCAAAAGGCUAUUUUUUGAUUUCUGCUCAGCAUAACUUUGCUUACUCAUUUUUCUUACUAUUUUUUCUUUAUACUUAAUUCUGGAGUCUUCCUUUGCACUUCUAAUUUACCUUUAUCAAUUGCCAGUACAUUUGUCCUAUGUACUUGACAGCAUUAAUAGUUCAAUGCCACUGAAGAAAGCAACACAGUUAGUGAUUAACUGAUGUUGUAUCAUGGUGAUUAUGUAUCUUUAUAUCAUCAUAUAUGUGCUGUUCUGACUGGUUAAAUAAGGUUGUCACUAUCUCUGUGCAGCAUGUUGAAUGGGUUCAAAAAUUACAGCUGUUAGAACCUGAAGAGCGUGAUUAGCUGCACGCGUUGAUUUAACAGCUAAGAUCUAUGGUCUUCAUAAAGCAGAGCAGUAUAUUACAUGUUUGUUAUAGGCUUUAGUCAGCGACUCAAUACUUGUUAUUUAUGCCAUAAUUUGUACUUGUUCCUUGUGAAAUUUAUGUAUUUGUGGCUUCUAGAUGUAAUAAUACAACCAUUUUGUACUUAUUUCUGCAAAUAUUAUAUUUUAGCAGUAAUUUGCUUUUUUAUGAUUUGGUGAUAUUUAUACAUGAGUAAGUCAGCAUAUUAAUUUGUCAAUCCCUCUCAUUUACAAAAAAAUCCUUGUGGGCCAUGCUAAACCUUGAAGGACUAAUCACUAGGCCCAGUGGCACUUUGCGGCAAGAGCACAUCUGCCCACAGAGGCCUGCAAAGCCUGCAAAUUAGAUUUGCGGCAAGGUGCGGCGGCUUGCAGGUGUCUGUAGACGGGCCGACUUGCAUGGUGAGCCCUGGCAGCCGGCGCCGCCGCAGCACGGACUCAGUGAUAAUGGAGAAUAGAGAGAGACGAGAGAGUGGCUUGUCUGGAUCUGAGAAAGACAUGUGAGAUGUGACAAACUAUAUUAUUUCAAUUCAAUCAAUCACCCCUAUACUAGUUAGAAAUUAUUUUUUUAGUAUAUGUUUACCAUUCUACCCUUAAUUAUAUAAACAAGUCCCGAAAAUAGAAUUAUUCUAGUGGGUUCCUCCCACCAAUUUUAGUAUGCACUUAGUGCAUAUGGCCCUACCAUUUACUAUGCACUUGGUGCCUCUUCGAUUGGUUCCUUUUGGUUCCUCUACCUUUUUAGCUAUCGGAUAGGCUCUCGUGAGCUGUCUAUUUUCUGACAACCAUAUUAAAAAUUCACCUCUUCGAUUGGUUUCUCUUGGUUUCUUUGCCUUUUUAGCUGUCGGAUCGGCUCUCAUGAGCCGUCUAUUUUUUGAUAACCUUGUAAAAAUUCUUACAUUAUUUAUGCAUCCCAGGUUUGAUCAUGGCAAGUUUGCACACACGUGUUGUCUGUGGUGGACUCCUUGACAAGAGAAGGAAAAUCUAAAGCUUGAUAAAAAGGCAUGUGAAUCACAGAAUACAAAAAUGGAACAUGUACUAAUUAAUAGGCAGCAUAAAGCACUGAGACAUAGUUUUGAAACUGAUGAAAAUGAAGAGCAAAUAGAACUCACUAUUGAAUGUGGACAAACUAUUUGAAACCAUGAAGAAAAUAUGUGUACAUGUCCUGCCUUGUACCCUCAUUAUUCAUAGUACUAUAACCAAAGAAAAUUAUGAUGAAGAACUAAGAGGAGCACCAAAGGGAAUCAACAAUGCAAGGGGGCAAAAGAAAAAAGUCAGAACCAGCAGGAACAUUUUACUGCUCGCGUUAGUAAGUAUCAAGAGCACAUCUGAGAAGAAAAAUGUUUGAAAGAUUAUUUACAUAUGUAAUAAGCUUGUUUCCCAAUAAAAAAGGAAGUUAGCAAACAAGAUAGCUUGUUUCCCAACAACAAUUGUCUUAAUUACUUGCCUUCUACAGUUAUCUAUGUCAGUUAUUUUUCACUUGUGCUAAUCACCGGCAGACAUGUAGCACCCGGUUUUAAGAACAAAACCAACGCAAUUUGAACGAGUCAAAACGGAAUUAAGAUGAAUUUUUUAUGAGUAAAACAAAUCCAGUGGCAAUUUGGUAAUUUUCUGAAAACGUAUUUUCGAAUAAAACCAGCACGGAGUACGUUUUUAAGCUGUGAAAGCGUAUUUUGAAUCUGAGCAGACGACAAUACGCUUUCGGAGUUAGGAAGCGUAUUUUGGAAAUCAGCAAAGGACUGCGGGUUGACUCUUUAAAAAGCACGGGGGGUUUUCUGCAAAAUUAUUGUCCGAAAGGGUAUCUUCUGAUUUGGGCCGUCGGAUUGCUCUUGGACGGCUGAGAUUAGAUUGGAGUGGGGACUGGGGUGUUGGCCGGCCGGAGUUGGAGGUGUCUGCGGCGGCGCCAUGGCCAGACCUCGCCGGAGUUCGGCGUUUGGUCGAUUUAGGGCACUAGAAAGCGAACCGAAAGCACCGGGGCGUAGUGGAGCUCAAGGCGAACUCACCUAGGGCAAGUACGAUGUCGGGGAGAGGCUCGGGUGCGCUUGCGACGGAGGAAGGUGGACGGCGGUUCCUGCAAGGGGUUCGGCGAGGAUUGGGAAAGCACAGAGAGCACGAAAUCGCGAAAGGAGAGCUCCGGCGACUUCGCAAGAGCAGCGGGAAGAUCGGCAAGUCGCUCACAACCAGGAGAAGGCGAAGCAGCGGCGGAUUGGCUUCGACCCGGAUCUCGUCGGCGGUGUUCGGCGAGAACAAGGCGACGGUCGGCUCUGUGAUUUGGUAGGGGACUUGGCGAGGGUCGGGGUGAGUAUUUAAAGGGGGAAACGUGCGGAGCAAGGAGUUCGGGAGGGAGAUUAUGCGUGGCCGGUGCGAUCUCACGGCGGAGUACGGCUCCGUCACGAGGUAUGAGGAAGAUCUGACCGGUGGGCCCCACCUGUCGGUGACUCAGGGCGCGGGACCGCUCUGUCAGUGAAAGAAGGGAGGGAAGAAAGGCGCUGGCGCUGGGCUGCUGCGCAGUGGGCCGGAAGCUGGGCCGCGCAGAGAAGAAAGAAGGAGGGGGGGGGGGAACAGGCCGCGGCCUUCUAUGCGCGCUGGGCCGAGAAGAAGAAGGAGGGGGGAAGCUCUGGGCCUUCGGGCUGAUUUCUAGGGAGAGAGAGGAGAGAAAAAUAAAUACUUUUCCGAUUUUAUUUUCAAUCCUUUGCUUAAUUAGAUUUCAAGAAAAUUUGAAAACCUUUUGAAAUUCAAAACAACCACUCACACAAAAUAAAGUGCAGCAACAUGAAUGCUCAGACAAGUUGCUAACUCCUAUAGUAAAUUUUUGUUUAAAGAAAAUAUUAUUUUUUCUAUAUUUCAUGCGCACGAAAAUACACAAUUUAACAAAUUAUCCUAUUUUGGAAAAUUGCAAAUUUUGGGGUGUUACAAUUCUACCCGUCUUAAAGUGAAUCUCGUCCUCGAGACUCGGUUGGUGCUUUCUCAAACUAAUGCGGAUAUGAUUUUCUUAGAUCCUCUUCUCUUUUACAAACAGCCUCUUCUUCGGUGCACUGAUUCCACUGGAGUUUGUACAUCCUGAAAAUCCAACUCCUGGUAACCCUUUCUGUUGUUUCCAAAAUUCUCACUGGGUACUCUUUGUAUGUGAAAUCCAAUUUAUCAGUCAAUUCUUCUAACGACAUCUGCUCUUAUGGCACAUGCAAACACUUCUUAAGUGGAGGCACAUGGAAGACAUCAUACACUCCUUCUAGACUUUCAGGUAGCUCUACUUGGUAAGCCACUUCGUUUCAUAUUUCUUACAUCUUGAGAGGCCCGAUAUACCUUGGUGCCAACUUUCCUUUCAUAUUAAACCUCCACUCAAUUCUCAUAUGUGGCACUUCCAAAAACACAUAGUUUCCCACUUCAAAACCAAUUCUCUUCUGAGGUGCCAGCAUAACUCUUAUGUAGAGACUGUGCCACCCUCAGAUUAUCUCUGACCACUCUCAUUUGCUGUUCUGCAUCACUUAGAACUUCUAGCCCAAACAUUGGUGUUCUCCCGUUUGAUUCCAAAUCAACAGGGUUCUACACUUACAUCCAUACCAGCUUUCAAAAGGCUCCCACUGAAGGCUCUUCUACUCACUUUUAUUCUAAGAAAACUUCGCAUACGGUAAACUCUUUGCACCAUACCGUAAUACACAAGCUCACAACAUAUCUUCUAAGUAAUCUUUGUAGUUCCUGUGGUUCCCAAAUGAGUAAUUAGAGCUCAUUUGGCAGUACCAGUGACAUCACUCUAGUUCAACACUCAACUCCUCAAACCUUGGUGUUAUUUGAACUCCUCUAGCACACUUUUUAUGCUUUGAGCAUUCUCAAAGGCUUUUUCUUAUUCCAGUGAUAUCACUUUUCCCAGUCAUAACUCUUGACUCACUCAAAUCCAUCAAUGAUGUGACCAGCCCAAAUCCAUCUUCCUAAGGAUGCCCUUUAGAUUCCUACAUUCUACAUAGAUAUCACUCUUAUAUCCAAGAAGAUAGUAUCUCCAUGCUCCACUAUGGAUACCUCCACAUCAUGUGCCAAGUGGUCUAACUCACUUAGUUGACUUAUGCAUAAGCCCUGACAUUUAUUGUUUAGAGCACAUCUAAAGUCUUGAGGGGAUAGAACAACUCUAUUUGUCAAUCUUUAUAACACCUUCAGUGAACCUCUGAUAGAAUUUUAUCAUUCCAAGUCAAUCUCUUAUUCACUCUUAUGUCAAGAUCACAUUGGACCCAGCAAACCUAUGAUAGCCUCUUGCCAUAUCUAUAAAACUCUAAGUCUCAUUCAUUUUCCUUUGAUGGUUUCUGUAACACCCUAGGUGUUUGUCACUUGCUAAGUACUAGGUUUGAGCUCAAACAUGACAAGUUCAAUGGUAAUAAAGAGGUCAAAGUCAAUCUAUGAAAGUAAACCCCAACUUGGGCUUGGUGGAUGCAACCUUGCUUGCAUAUAUGCCUUUUUAAAAGGUAUGCUUUGAUGAUGCUAAUGGAACCUUUUCCAUGUGUCUUAUAUCCAUCCCAAUCUAUGUUGGUCUCUGGAAAAGUUUGGUGAAGUUUGGAAUCAAGAAGUCACAUGAAAUGAUAAGUUAUAUCCUUGUUGGAAUGACUCUAUUAAGGAAAUGGAUUCAUGGGUCACCAACCAAACCUUGCAAACUUACUCAUAUGACUCUAGAUGAAUUAUACAACAAAAGUCAUGAAGGGUUCAUGUUGAGCUUAUGUCAAGAAAAUGCUUCAAUUGGUCUAAAAUCCUAUUUGGAGCUUUAUCAGGAUACUGCAUUGACCAAAGUGAAAGUUUGACUUCGGUUGGAGUUAUGAGUAUUGGCCCUAAAUAAAAGUUGUAGUUUUCCUUCUGUAGAAGAAACUUUAUUCAAGGGUCAAGAACCAAAUCAGCCUGCAAAUAGUUCAAACAGAGGCUCAAAGUUCGAAUCAGCUGCUGCUUUUUAGCCCGGAGAAAUAAUUCCAAGUCCCGGAAAGUGACAGCAGCAAGUUAGCUUUUUUGUGACAUUUUAGCAUCCAAAUUCAUAUAUAGUAACUCAAUUAGAUUCCUUAAUAUGAGUUGGAGUACUCUUCUUGAUAAAACCAAUGGAUCAAGUGUUAUCAAAUUUGGAGCUCAUUUGGAUAUCUAAAAGUAGCUCCCAAAACAGCAAAAAGUUAUUUUAUCGCUAAACGGACAUCGACCCGUUGGCAUGCCGUGUUCUCGUGUUUUUGUUAAGCAACUAAAGUUGGUCAAAGAAUAAAAGUGGUGGACAAUUACUUGGAGAAGGUCAUGUAAAAAGUUGCAUCAAGUUUGACAUGGUUUGGAUCAUCAAUUCUUUGUUUUGCUAAUCACCGUCAAUACGUUGACACUCAUCACUUGGCAUCUAAUUAUCUCUUAUUCUGUUGGUCUAAUGACCUUGGUCCCUUAAUCAAAGUUGGAGAGCAGGCCGAGGUGAGCAAACUUCCUUUUUGGCCCAAGGUCCAAUUCGGCCAGGAACAAGCCCAAAAUCGCCUCCCACCUUGCCUACUCCGACGCGCGCCACGUGUUCGAUGAAAUGCCUGCGCGGUCGCCAUGCACCAGAGCGCGCCCCACCAUUGCUGCACCUCUGCUGCUGCUCCAUUUCGCGUUUGGGACAGCCAGAAGGGCUCACCACUCCCUCAAUCACUCGCCUCCACAUCCUCCUCCACUCCCUGCUCGCCAUCCUCGCCCUCACAGCUUGUUUCUGAGUGUGUGCUCCGCCAUGGUCAUGGAACAAGCAGAGCUCUAGCUCCUGCUGCUGCUGGCUGCAGCCGGCCAAGGCCAGGGCCGGGCGUGGCCAUGGCUAGCCGAGGCCAGGCCGCAGGCUGCCUCCUGCUGCCACCGGCCGCUCUCAGGUGGAUCCCGAAGCCGGACGACAACGACCAUGUCCUCUGCUCCCGUAACAAGAAGAAGGCAGGGACCUCGGGUUAGAAUAAGAAACAACCCAGGGUUCCAGAUGCGAAGCCAAGACUCAUAUGAAUAGUGUUACUGGGCUGUGGCGCGAUUCUUGAAAAAGCUAGGGUUCCCGGUGCAAGAUCUAUUUCUUGUAUGAACUUUGCAAAUGCAUAGUAAUUCACAGAAAAGUCGUAAAAUAGCAAAUGUGGACUUUUUGGAAUCCUUGUGAAAUUCUCUAUGCAGUAGAUCUAUAAUAUGGCAUGGUUUAGUUUGAAGUUUUAGUCGUAAAAAUAGAUUUAUUCAGUUAGGUUUUAAUUCCUUGUUAUAUUUGUCUUUUUCAUAACUGCUGUGUUAUUGCCCAAACAAAUGUGAAAAUAUUAUGACAUGCUUUUCAUAUGAUAUUUGAUGACUGGUAAAAGUUUCAUGAAUUUAGGAACAAUAUAUUAAGAGUUACAAAAAUAACAAUUACCCUGUGUUCCUUUGCUCCUAUUCUGAGUGGAUCUGCAUGUUUGUAUUGUUUGGCUCAGUUCAGUUGUGAAUCAUGCCUUAAUGAAAAUAUAUAAGUUUUAGUACUUUUCAUGAGCUUUCCAAAAAGAUAAAUAGCACAAUUUUUGGUUGAGCACAUGUUGAGUUAUAGUGGUUUACAUUACUGUUCCAGUUUCUGUCUAAACCCAGAACAGAAUUGCAUUGUUUGUAAUGUAAGACCUUGUUAGUGGUAUAUUUAGCUCUAGAUGUUUAUAACAAAGUUGUUCACAAUUUCGUAAGCUUUCUAGAAAGUACACAUUCAUAAAUUAUGGACAUAUGAAUUUCAAGUUAUAGCUGUUUAAUGUAGCAUGGCAGAUUCUGUCUAUGUUUUGGACAGAGAUGCCUUCAUGGGAUUAAUUGACCUUGAUAACUGUGGAAUCAUAUUUAGAUGAUAAUAAGAAAGUUGUAGGCAACUUUAUAAUAUUUCCACAAAUAUAAUAAUUAUGUUUGCUGGAGGUCUACAACUCCAGUUAUGCUGCUUUGAAUUGUCUAUCAGUUUUCUGUUUGUAAAUGUACCUCUACUGUUUGGACAGCAUGAGCAGUUUUAUUUAUGCAACUAAUUCCAUGAUAUAAAUGAUGUUUGCUGUGAAACUUGUAUAUAGAAAAGAUGUAGAUAAUUUACUAGUAUAUAUUGUGGUAAAGUUUCAUAUCAUUUGGCUAAGUGGUUUAUGAGUUACAGUAGUAUGAAGUUCAUCCUUUGAAAUGCUUGUUCUCUGGAAAUUCCGGGACCAGAUUCUAUGGUUAUGCAUGUUUGACUUGGUUAACUUGUUAAUCAUACUGAGACGAUUAAAUAUGAAUUGUAGAUAAUUUUAUAUUCUUUCCAGAAUGUCCUAUUGCAUAGUUUUUGGAGUUGUGUAACUCCAGUUGUGAUUUAAUUACUGAGUUGUUGCAUGUAUGUCCAGAAUUGCUGAAAUACAUGAAUGCUUGAUUGCUUUACUUUGUGUGAUCUAAGUAUGAUUCAUGUCUUUAAUGGUGAUUUAAGUAAUACACUUGUAAACUUGUUAAACUUGUGUCAUGAUUGAUAUAUUUGCUCUAUAUAAUUGGUUGUGUGAUGUUAGCUAAAUAACUUUAGAUGCCUGUGUCUUGCAUACUUUUAUGUCAUGCAUGUUGUGUUAUUAUUCUUUAUAUUCAUGCACUUGCAUCUUGCAUCUCAUCUAGGUGCGCUAGAUGAAUCACGUGAAGGUCUUGGUGUGGGAACAAACCCGAAGACGGUGUUGGAUGGACCCACCCCGAAGGUGGAAGGACUAAGCAAGCGUUGUGACCUUAGAUGUCACCAAGACGGAGCAACUAACUGAACUGACUCAGUGUUGAUCCCAGGCAAGCCCCGGAGCAUUAUAAGUCUCCCACUACUUUUGAAUGCAAUUGAGAAUAUAUGUUAUAUAUGUACUGUUUCAUUAAGUAUAGGAGUUGGGUGAAACCCUUGCUGCAUAUAACACUCCUUGUCCAGCAAAUAUACCUAUAACCCUAUGUAGAUUCAGGGUCAAAUAUAAAUGCUUAGCUAUGCUUAGACCGGUAGAAGCCAGGUGAUGUCCUGUCACCUGAGCAAGAUAGGCGGACACCUGAAAAGAUUGGCUAUAUAUGCUAUCAUGGAAAUAACCAAGUGAUGAGGAUGAAUAAUUGGAGACCGGGCGGGACGAUGAUAGAGAAGCAACAAGGCAUGGAGGUCUUGGGUGCCUACCUAUCCCCGCCUGUGUCGAUUAAGGACCGAUCGUUGACGGCCCUCUUGUCAUGUUGAACGCAUGCCCCACACUUAGCUGGAAGGAUAAGUCGUUCCGACCGCGAAGCCUGAACACUAUCCGGGCCGGGAAUCGAGCCGCCAUGCGCUGUAUUGGUGAUGGUUGAGGAGAACGACGAGGGCGCGGCGCGCAACCUUGGUAUACCUUGGAUACCUCGGUCGCCGGAACGGUCCUCGGGUACUGGCGGUGCCUGCCGAACCCGCGAAUUGGUCCUGGAUAGUGUAAUACGGUGACCUGUAGCUCACUUGAUCAGUGAGCGUGGUUUGUGUGGGGAAUAACUCGCCAGCUGGUCAGAAAUCGAUUCGAAUCGCCAUCGCUCCUGGAUAGUGAGCACUUGACUUGAGCUUCGUCAUCGUAGUAAUGUUUAUGGAACACUUGGAUGGUUAUGGUAUGAUGAUGAUGUUGGAAAUGCCACAUCAAAUAUGGGUACUAUGGUUGUAUCUUAAUCAAGUGAUUGCUUUAGUACAGGUGCUAAUCUAGAUGAUAGGUUAAUGAUUAUUAACUUGAGCUAAAUACCUGAGAGGUUACUUAGUCGCAACUUAAGCUUUUUAUGCAAAAAGUGUUGUCAAGCUAGCUCCACCAAUAAAGCCUUGCAUACUCCUUGGUGUCAUAUUAUUCCUGGUUUAUGACGGGUAAGUCUAGCUGAGUACCUUCUCGUACUCAGGGUUUAUUCCCACUUGUUGCAGGUUGUGAUGUAUCAUGACUACUGCAAGAGUUGGACGACUCCUACCAUAUUAGAGGAGUAAGAUCAUGGGCAUGAUCCUUCUUAGUUACCUCAUCUAUGUUGCUUUUGUUGGAGUUGACCUGGAUACUGGCAUGUAUUUGAAAUAAGGGCAAUAUUAGUUUCAAAUUACUUUGCUUCCGCUACUUUUCAACUUAAGUUGUAAUAACUAUCUUGAACUCUGAUGUAUAUCAAACUACUUGUGAAAUGGAUGUAACAUGUGACUUGUUAUGUUGAAUCACUACGAUCUUGGCUUGUAAGAUGGUUGGUUUGAAAUCCCUCGUGAUUUCACGGACUACCGGGUUUAUGAGAGUUCGAUUACGUUAAAGCAACUGCUUUGGCGGGAGUUUUUCGUAGUUGAUCUCUUGUAAAUUGGGUGGUUCUGUUACACUGGAUACCUCUCGAAAGAUCGGGUUUNNNNNNNNNNNNNNNNNNNNNNNNNNNNNNNNNNNNNNNNNNNNNNNNNNNNNNNNNNNNNNNNNNNNNNNNNNNNNNNNNNNNNNNNNNNNNNNNNNNNUUCAUUUGAAUGGUAAUGUAUGGAUCAUUUCUUCCUCUACGCCUCGGUAAGUGUGAGUUGUGAGAGCAUGAUCGGAUACACCGCCGAUCUAGGGAAGUGCUUUUGGUACUGGAUCAUGUGCACAUUUUACAUGUGCUUAUGAAAAGGUAUCGCAUGAUGGGUGAUUCCGUCCUUAGAGGCGAUGCCGUCACUAGGACGAUGAUGUGGGUAGUAGCACUACACAUACGGGUAUCGGAUACACCGCCGAUCUAGGGAAGUGCUUUUGGUACUGGAUCAUGUGCACAUUUUACAUGUGCUUAUGAAAAGGUAUCGCAUGAUGGGUGAUUCCGUCCUUAGAGGCGAUGCCGUCACUAGGACGAUGAUGUGGGUAGUAGCACUACACAUACGGGUAUGGGAUACACGUGUGUGGAGCGCAUAGCUUUUAAAUCUUGUACUGCAUGUUUCAUACUGUGGGUGGGCUGAAAUGAAUUUUCUGCAGGUACACUAACCACGGAUGCGUAAAUUGAAUAUUACGACUAGCUAUAUGACGAGAGUGUACGUGUUAUGCCACCGACAUAGAACGUGAUUGCCACCUUAGGCUGGCAAUUUUGUGAGGACGAAUAGGACGAAGCAUGCAUCAUCAUGAUUGUUGCCUUAUGUAUAACUAUGCUUAUCUCACCCUUGUUCCAGUAAUAAAUAACUUGUGAAUCAAUGUGUGUCAUCUUGCUUGUGUGGAGUUAGAUGAAAUGUUUUGCUCCAUGUUGCUUGAAUGGCUAUAAUUGAAAAUAAGGUGUGAUUAGCUUUGUUUUGCCCGUGUUGUGGUUGAUCUGUGCAUCCUGUCAGUAUGAUGCACAUCUCUAAGAUGACUAGUCUUUUAAGCAUAAGUUAAAAAUUUGUUUUCACAACUGGAGAACAAAUAUGCACCUUUCUAGUAAAAGAAAGUAAAAGAUAAAAACACCUUACCAUCAUGUUAUGUAUGUUCAGGUGUACUAGUGUUGCUUUAGAUGACUGCUUGUUAUCUGCAAAACUUUGUGCUUAGUAAUGAUUGUUGGAGAUAGUGUGAUUCAUGUUCUCACAUGUUUGCUUAAAACCUUGAUACAUGAGUGGAUGUGUUGUUAACUAGGUAGUGUCAUAGUUGUUACCUUUUUGUCCUUAGUAAGCAUGCGAGUGUUGAAGAGCCUUAUCUUAGAAUAACACUCAUGUCACUUUAAUCUCAUGGUUAUCUCCAAGUAGAUUCCAAUGACAAAGAGCUUGAGUUUGUGCAUGGUUGUUAGCUCUUGAAUGUUGUGUCUCCAUCCCCUAAUCUGUGUAUUGACUCAAUCUUUCAAAUCUCAAUCGUUUUAUCUCCAACUCUCUUGAGUCUCUGGGUGUUUAUCCGUCUUAAUAUCAUGUGAUCUAUGUUCUCUAGUACUAUGUUUUAAAUCACCUCCUUGUGGACCUCUAAUCUCAUGGCUACCUUUGUUUGCUAUCCCUCUUAUGCAUGGUGCUCGCUGCUAUACAACCCAACUUUUGCCAUGGGAGAUUUCUUUUGGAUUGUAUGUUCGGUAAUGGUGUCUUGGUUAACGAUUGAUGGUGCCGCGACGAAACCGAGAGCCCCUUGUGGCGGCCGACACAUGGUUGUGCUGCUCGUCACGCGCUGGUAUCGUUGUUGCUAGCCAUGAUCCAUUAUAGAACUACACCCAGGUGUCAUCUCAUCAUGAGUUUGUCCUUAAUUAUCUAUCUAGAUUUGAUCAGAAGAUCCUUACUUCACGUGCAAGUAAGAGAACUUCCUAUGAAGUUACAAAGAGGAUAACCUUUGAAGAACAGGUCACUGACAUAAACAUUAACAGACUGCAAGAGAUGGUAGACAAGUGACACUAUUUAACUAUUCCUGCAAUGAUGAUGGUCAUUUAUUGAGCAACAUUGGUCAUCCAUGCCGAAUCAAAGGACACACAACACUUAAUGUUGGACAAGUUAUCUGUUGAACAAGCAUCGAUCAUCACCAUUAUGCUUAUGAUCUAGUUUUCCUAAGUCUUGAUCUUUAUGUGCAUCGUGGUGAUACGACUAAAGUCAACCAUCUUUAUCAUGAAUCCUUAUCUCCUGGCUUUGAAGGUGACCAAUUGUUAAGCGUCAGCCACAAUUGUUGUAGUUAAGUGUGGAGCUUUGGAAAUUUUAGUGCUGAGAGCCAAUUGAUUGGUUGCUAGUAACAAAGCUAAUCUCAAGCAAGGAAACGAUGGAUUGAUAGCCAUGAAGGAUAUAUUUCAUCAACUAGUGAAUUAAACUGUGGAGUUGAGAGAUGUCUUGUCAGUCAGGAAUGCUGCCGUUUUAGCACCGAACAAGUUUAGUAUGUAAAUGUUCUGCCUACACAAAUGGUACCUCUUUGAGCUGAAUUUUGGUCAGAGGUUAGAAGACUCAUGGAUCUGUAUUUCUACCAAAUUUCAUGGGGAUAUGAGUGAUAAUUGGUGAAAUAUGAACCAAAACCCAAAAGGGGUAGAAAUCUACAAUCUCAGUUUUGAUAUGGAUCAUCCUUUGCGUAGAAAGUGGUGUUUGUCUUGGUUCCAUGGAUUACCUUGUGGGCAAUGUCUUGUUGUAUAGAUAGUGCUUAUAUGAUGAAACAAGAUUCUUUGUACCCAUUUGUGCCAGUGUGAGCCAGAAACUUUUGGAAUGGUGUCAAUCAAUAGAUUUUCAAUAUCAGAGCUACCGACUGAUCCUAAAAAGGAAGCCAUAAAGGGAAAAGUAGUUCCACUAGAUUGGUUUUGCUAUGGAACAAGUCAACCUAACUCUUAUGCAACUGCAUCAAGAAGAAAGGUCAUGCUUAACCUACUUGGUGGUAAAUUAUUUCUUUAGUUGGUUGAACACUUGCAACAGUUGGAGACCUAUGGACCCCACUAUCAUCCUUUGUCAGUAGUGGUUAUCCAUUCUUACAUGCCUUGGUUACCUUCUAUGUGUUACCCAAGAAGUUACAUCUGAUUCAACCCAGAUAACUUUUGUUGUUUGGAUACAAGAAUCCCUUAAAGUAAAUGAUCAUGGAAGGCGUGGAACCAACAAAGUCAGCUAUCACAUUCACCGUUCUCUUAACCAGGUGGUAAGUACAAUGUUGUCAUUAGAGAAAGGGAACUGCAAGUGUGGGAAGUUAUAAUUCAACCAUUUUGGUAGAGGACUGCUUUUCAAAUCUUGUGAAUGAGCCUGGAAUCACUAUAAUGCGCAACCCUUAGAAGCUUGUGAAGUGGUGUGAAGUUCGUAUGGCUUGCAUUAGUUUCACUAAAGAAGCUAAUGGUACAAGUAGCUCCUUAGGCUCUAAACAACCACAAACAAAGUACAUGGAACAGUUUGUCUUGGAUUCCUCUCAAAGUAACAAUACUUCAUUAAAGUCAAACAAAAAGGGAGAUUCUUCAAAUAAAGGUUUACUAUGAAGGGCAAGUAUCAUAAAAUGUUUGGACCAAGUUUGCUUCUUUGGUGUUCCAAGCAAAAUAUCCCAAUGUUAUCGCUGAUAUUGGGAGAUGGAUGACAUUGUUUUCUUCCCUUGAAAGUCUUUUGCACCGAAUCUCGGGACGAGAUUCUUUUAAAGGGGGAAGGCUGUAACACCCUAGGUGUUUGUCACUUGCUAAGUACUAGGUUUGAGCUCAAACAUGACAAGUUCAAUGGUAAUAAAGAGGUCAAAGUCAAUCUAUGAAAGUAAACCCCAACUUGGGCUUGGUGGAUGCAACCUUGCUUGCAUAUAUGCCUUUUUAAAAGGUAUGCUUUGAUGAUGCUAAUGGAACCUUUUCCAUGUGUCUUAUAUCCAUCCCAAUCUAUGUUGGUCUCUGGAAAAGUUUGGUGAAGUUUGGAAUCAAGAAGUCACAUGAAAUGAUAAGUUAUAUCCUUGUUGGAAUGACUCUAUUAAGGAAAUGGAUUCAUGGGUCACCAACCAAACCUUGCAAACUUACUCAUAUGACUCUAGAUGAAUUAUACAACAAAAGUCAUGAAGGGUUCAUGUUGAGCUUAUGUCAAGAAAAUGCUUCAAUUGGUCUAAAAUCCUAUUUGGAGCUUUAUCAGGAUACUGCAUUGACCAAAGUGAAAGUUUGACUUCGGUUGGAGUUAUGAGGAUUGGCCCUAAAUAAAAGUUGUAGUUUUCCUUCUGUAGAAGAAACUUUAUUCAAGGGUCAAGAACCAAAUCAGCCUGCAAAUAGUUCAAACAGAGGCUCAAAGUUCGAAUCAGCUGCUGCUUUUUAGCCCGGAGAAAUAAUUCUAAGUCCCGGAAAGUGACAGUAGCAAGUUAGCUUUUUUGUGACAUUUUAGCAUCCAAAUUCAUAUAGUAACUCAAUUAGAUUCCUUAAUAUGAGUUGGAGUACUCUUCUUGAUAAAACCAAUGGAUCAAGUGUUAUCAAAUUUGGAGCUCAUUUGGAUAUCUAAAAGUAGCUCCGAAAACAGCAAAAAGUUAUUUUAUCGCUAAACGGACAUCGACCCGUUGGCAUGCCGUGUUCUCGUGUUUUUAUUAAGCAACUAAAGUUGGUCCAAGAAUAAAAGUGGUGGACAAUUACUUGGAGAAGGUCAUGUAAAAAGUUGCAUCAAGUUUGACAUGGUUUGGAUCAUCAAUUCUUUGUUUUGCUAAUCACCGUCAAUACGUUGACACUCAUCACUUGGCAUCUAAUUAUCUCUUAUUCUGUUGGUCUAAUGACCUUGAUCCCUUAAUCAAAGUUGGAGAGCAGGCCGAGGUGACCAAACUUCCUUUUUGGCCUAAGGUCCAAUUCGGCCAGGAACAAGCCCAAAAUCGCCUCCCACCUUGCCUACUCCGACGCGCGCCACGUGUUCGAUGAAAUGCCUGCGUGGUCGCCAUGCACCAGAGCGCGCCCCACCAUUGCUGCACCUCUGCUGCUGCUCCAUUUCGCGUUUGGGACAGCCAGAAGGGCUCACCACUCCCUCACUCACUCGCCUCCACAUCCUCCUCCACUCCCUGCUCGCCAUCCUCGCCCUCACAGCUUGUUUCUGAGUGUGUGCUCCGCCAUGGUCAUGGAACAAGCAGAGCUCGAGCUCCUGCUGCUGCUGGCUGCAGCCAGCCAAGGCCAGGGCCGGGCGGGGCCAUGGCUAGCCGAGGCCAGGCCGCCGGCUGCCUCCUGCUGCCACCGGCCGCUCUCAGGUGGAUCCCGAAGCCGGACGACAACGGCCAUGUCCUCUGCUCCCGUAACAAGAAGAAGGCAGGGACCUCGGGUUAGAAUAAGAAACAACCCAGGUUCCAGAUGCGAAGCCAAGACUCAUAUGAAUAGUGUUACUGGGCUGUGGCGCGAUUCUUGAAAAAGCUAGGGUUCCCGGUGCAAGAUCUGUUUUCCUUUUCUUUGUUUUUGCAGAUUUCUUGUAUGAACUUUGCAAAUGCAUAGUAAUUCACAGAAAAGUCGUAAAAUAGCAAAUGUGGACUUUUUGGAAUCCUUGUGAAAUGCUCUAUGCAGUAGAUCUAUAAUAUGGCAUGGUUUGGUUUGAAGUUUUAGUCGUAAAAAUAGAUUUAUUCAGUUAGGUUUUAAUUCCUUGUUAUAUUUGUCUUUUUCAUAACUGCUGUGUUAUUGACCAAACAAAUGUGAAAAUAUUAUGACAUGCUUUUCAUAUGAUAUUUGAUGACUUGUAAAAGUUUCAUGAAUUUAGGAACAAUAUAUUAAGAGUUACAAAAAUAACAAGUACCCUGUGUUCCUUUGCUCCUAUUCUGAGUGGAUCUGUAUGUUUGUAUUGUUUGGCUCAGUUCAGCUGUGAAUCAUGCCUUAAUGAAAAUUUAUAAGUUUUAGUACUUUUCAUGAGCUUUCCAAAAAGAUAAAUAGUACAAUUUUUGGUUGAGCACAUGUUGAGUUAUAGUGGUUUAAAGUACUGUUCGAGUUUCUGUCUAAACCCAGACAGAAUUGCAUUGUUUGUAAUGUAAGACCUUGUUAGUGGUAUAUUUAGCUCUAGAUGUUUAUAACAAAGUUGUUCAAAAUUUCGUAAGCUUUCUAGAAAGUACACAAUCAUAAAUUAUGGACAUAUGAACUUCAAGUUAUAGCUGUUUAAUGUAGCAUGGCAGAUUCUGUCUAUGUUUUGGACAGAGAUGCCUUCAUGGGAUUAAUUGACCUUGAUAACUGUGGAAUCAUAUUUAGAUGAUAAUAAGAAAGUUGUAGGCAACUUUAUAAUCUUUCCACAAAUAUAAUAAUUAUGUUUGCUGGAGGUCUACAACUCCAGUUAUGCUGCUUUGAAUUGUCUAUCAGUUUUCUGUUUGUAAAUGUGCCUCUACUGUUUGGACAGCAUGAGCAGUUUUAUUUAUGCAACUAAUUCCAUGAUAUAAAUGAUGUUUGCUGUGAAACUUGUAUAUAGAAAAGAUGUAGAUAAUUUACUAGUAUAUAUUGUGGUAAAGUUUCAUAUCAUUUGGCUAAGUGGUUUAUGAGUUACAGUAGUAUGAAGUUCAUCCUUUGAAAUGCUUGUUCUCUGGAAAUUCCGGGACCAGAUUCUAUGGUUAUGCAUGUUUGACUUGGUUAACUUGUUAAUCAUACUGAGAUGAUUAAAUAUGAAUUGUAGAUAAUUUUAUAUUCUUUCCAGAAUGUCCUAUUGCAUAGUUUUUGGAGUUGUGUAACUCCAGUUGUGAUUUAAUUACUGAGUUGUUGCAUGUAUGUCCAGAAUUGCUGAAAUACAUGAAUGCUUGAUUGCUUUACUUUGUGUGAUCUAAGUAUGAUUCAUGUCUUUAAUGGUGAUUUAAGUAAUACACUUGUAAACUUGUUAAACUUGUGUCAUGAUUGAUAUAUUUGCUCUAUAUAAUUGGUUGUGUGAUGUUAGCUAAAUAACUUUAGAUGCCUGUGUCUUGCAUACUUUUAUGUCAUGCAUGUUGUGUUAUUAUUCUUUAUAUUCAUGCACUUGCAUCUUGCAUCUCAUCUAGGUGCGCUAGAUGAAUCACGUGAAGGUCUUGGUGUGGGAACAAACCCGAAGACGGUGUUGGAUGGACCCACCCCGAAGGUGGAAGGACUAAGCAAGCGUUGUGACCUUAGAUGUCACCAAGACGGAGCAACUAACUGAACUGACUCAGUGUUGAUCCCAGGCAAGCCCCGGAGCAUUAUAAGUCUCCCACUACUUUUGAAUGCAAUUGAGAAUAUAUGUUAUAUAUGUACUGUUUCAUUAAGUAUAGGAGUUGGGUGAAACCCUUGCUGCAUAUAACACUCCUUGUCCAGCAAAUAUACCUAUAACCCUAUGUAGAUUCAGGGUCGAAUAUAAAUGCUUAGCUAUGCUUAGACCGGUAGAAGCCAGGUGAAGUCCUGUCACCUGAGCAAGAUAGGCGGACACCUGAAAAGAUUGGCUAUAUAUGCUAUCAUGGAAAUAACCAAGUGAUGAGGAUGAAUAAUUGGAGACCGGGCGGGACGAUGAUAGAGAAGCAACAAGGCAUGGAGGUCUUGGGUGCCUACCUAUCCCCGCCUGUGUCGAUUAAGGACCGAUCGUUGACGGCCCUCUUGUCAUGUUGAACGCAUGCCCCACACUUAGCUGGAAGGAUAAGUCGUUCCGACCGCGAAGCCUGAACACUAUCCGGGCCGGGAGUCGAGCCGCCAUGCGCUGUAUUGGUGAUGGUUGAGGAGAACGACGAGGGCGCGGCGCGCAACCUUGGUAUACCUUGGAUACCUCGGUCGCCGGAACGGUCCUCGGGUACUGGCGGUGCCUGCCGAACCCGCGAAUUGGUCCUGGAUAGUGUAAUACGGUGACCUGUAGCUCACUUGAUCAGUGAGCGUGGUUUGUGUGGGGAAUAACUCGCCAGCUGGUCAGAAAUCGAUUCGAAUCGCCAUCGCUCCUGGAUAGUGAGCACUUGACUUGAGCUUCGUCAUCGUAGUAAUGUUUAUGGAACACUUGGAUGGUUAUGGUAUGAUGAUGAUGUUGGAAAUGCCACAUCAAAUAUGGGUACUAUGGUUGUAUCUUAAUCAAGUGAUUGCUUUAGUACAGGUGCUAAUCUAGAUGAUAGGUUAAUGAUUAUUAACUUGAGCUAAAUACCUGAGAGGUUACUUAGUCGCAACUUAAGCUUUUUAUGCAAAAAGUGUUGUCAAGCUAGCUCCACCAAUAAAGCCUUGCAUACUCCUUGGUGUCAUAUUAUUCCUGGUUUAUGACGGGUAAGUCUAGCUGAGUACCUUCUCGUACUCAGGGUUUAUUCCCACUUGUUGCAGGUUGUGAUGUAUCAUGACUACUGCAAGAGUUGGACGACUCCUACCAUAUUAGAGGAGUAAGAUCAUGGGCAUGAUCCUUCUUAGUUACCUCAUCUAUGUUGCUUUUGUUGGAGUUGACCUGGAUACUGGCAUGUAUUUGAAAUAGGGGCAAUAUUAGUUUCAAAUUACUUUGCUUCCGCUACUUUUCAACUCAAGUUGUAAUAACUACCUUGAACUCCGAUGUAUAUCAAACUACUUGUGAAAUGGAUGUAACAUGUGACUUGUUAUGUUGAAUCACUACGAUCUUGGCUUGUAAGAUGGUUGGUUUGAAAUCCCUCGUGAUUUCACGGACUACCGGGUUUAUGAGAGUUCGAUUACGUUAAAGCAACUGCUUUGGUGGGAGUUUUUCGUAGUUGAUCUCUUGUAAAUUGGGCGAUUCUGUUACAGCUUCCAACUCAUGCAUCUUUAACCUUCUUAAGUCCAUCAUUAAAGAUGACAUCUCUUUAGGUGAGAACUUUCAUCAACUAGAACAUACUGGUCGUGCUCUCUUUAGCAAAGAAAUCUUUUGAGUCUCCAUAGCAUCAACAGUAGACAUAGCAUAUCCACUUCCUAGGUUGUCAAGUGACCAAUUUCACUAACUUGAGCCAGAACAGAUGAUUAUAAUCAUGGGAUAUUUCCAGAGGCAACUUCUUACUUCAUGGUAAAUUGAAAGGGCAUUAAUCUAUCAUAUCAAGGUACUACCCCGCUUAAGAUGAGAUAGGUCGGGGGACAGUUUGGACUAGCUCUCACAUUCCGUCUUAGUUGCUACACAUCAUAUAGUCUUUUAAAUUCACUGUACCAAGUCUCAUGAUCUGGAGUUGUUUUCAUUCACUAAGUUCCAACUAUUGGUACCUCUAUCUUCACUCUCACAUCCCAUGUAUAACUUUGUAGCCUUUGGUGUCACCUGAUUCUCCUAAGCACCACUUCCAAGCUACGAGUACCAGCAAUGACCUGUAUCUCCAUCCAUAUUAUCACACUUCAAUGGAACAAUUUCUUGUAUCAAAACCCAAAUUUUCCAAACACUUGAGGUCCUUACCGAUGAUCCAACACUUCUCCUUGUAACUCCUUUGAUAAGACUACCCCCCUUAGAAAAGGUAUACUAGGGGCUUAAUUGGGUAGUUUAGUCCAUCUUUCAAGUGGGUUUCUUAUCAUCAGAUCUUCUAAUACCGAAGAGAAACUCAUGUGCACUGAUAUGUACAAGAAAUCUGAUAUUCCACACGAUAUGAGGACACCAGCGCAGCAAAAUAGGCAUAACUCCUUUUCUGUCAAUCCAAUAAGAUCUUAGCUUAUACCGUUAGAAACCUUAUCAAAUUCCCUGCAACUUACAUAUAGAAGGCUUCCUUAGUUUCUGUCAUUAACCUAGGUAAAACAGCCAUACAUGAUAUCCAUCCCGACAAUGUCUCAGCAUCGGUGCAGCAAAUUGCAGAAGUCAUAUCUCGAGUUACUUAGAUCACAUGAGGACAAGCCUUACAUGAUUGAAAAGCUUAUGAAGUCCUCCGCAACUUCUGUAUACCUCACUUUUCCAGAUUCUGAUGUUAAGUUGGCUGAAAAUAGGAAUUAACUAGAACUGUCCAGAUUUUGAACUGUGCAGCAACAGCAACUUACAGAUGUCAUAACUCAAGUUCUAUUAAUCCGAUAAAGUUGCAGCUUGCAUCGUUGGAAAGCUUAUCAAAAGCCCUAAAACUUUAUUAUAGAACCUUUUCCCAAUUUCCUGAGUUACAUUUAUCCAAAACAGUAGGCAACUGAAACUGGUCCUGAUUCCUGACAGCUCAACUAUACCAUCUUGUGAUUUUCGUAAUUCCUAAACCACAACAGCUAUGGGGGUGAUUUUUGCGGUCAGAGAAGGAUCUUGAAGUCUACUAUCACCCAGAAUUUUCACAUGAUUUUAUGGUCCUCCGAGAUUAGGGAUUUGAGCUGAAGAAGAUAAGUUGCUCCCAAAAGACAAGGACAAGGAAACAAGAGAAACUAAAACCCAACUAUUUAUUUCACUAGUCCUUAUACCUUAGACCUAUAAACUAAAUGAAAUUGUAGAGAAACCACAAGAUCAUUGCACUCAAUACAAAAAUCCAACUCAAACAUAAGCACUAAGACAAACCAACCAACAUUAAAGGUUCACAAAGCACACAUAUUGACUCAACUUUUACUACUAUCGUUUAUUACAAAGGGGGACUUCCUACUUCUUAAACACGGUGUGACUGCAGCGGCAUCCAGGGUAGCAUCUCUUGCAUGGAGUUAAGCGAGGUAUGUCCUCCACCUCAUUGAUCUUAGGUAAUCCACCACGACUUCUCCACUCAUCAAUCUCAUCAAGGGCUUCCUCAUAGUGUUGCCUUACUUCUGCCAAUUCCAGUUGACUGUCUUCUAGCUUUUGAUGCAUGACUCGGAUAGUCAAAGCCAUCUCCUUUAGUUGUUCAUUCUGCUCCAAGUAGAGGUCAGCCAUCACACAUUACAAAGUGCCUGGUGGACGACGAGGAAGAUAUUUCUGUUUCUCAUUCUUCCUCCCUCUGUAGUGCUUUCCAUGAUGUGCCAGAAGAGCUUGAUGGGCAGCAUCAGAUAUGCUAGCAUGCUUACUGAAACGGUCACUGAGAGACGAGUGAAUAGAUUCCACCACGCGUGAACCAGUAAACUCAUUCCACCUUGUGAUGUGUGCUUCCGUGCUCCAAUGGCUCUCAUACUUAGGAUGAGUCCACUUAGUGCACUUAUAUUCCACCUUGGCUUGCUGUUCAGGAUAGUGGUCUUGUAGUAUACGCACAAGCCGAGGGUGAAAGAAAUCUUCGCCACUAAAGGAUGUGGUAAAGUACUCCUUCCACCAACAAGUAUGUCUGGAUGGGACAGGGCGAACUUCUUCAUACUCUGGUUCCGUUAAUCCAUAGAUACCCCGUGUUAAGCAUGGUCUUCCAGAGUUGCUGCGAGCAAUCUUCUCGUUACGAACCAUCUAUGGAAUUAGACCAAGAGGGAGUUAGAAUAGAAGCAAUACUUUUAGAAUAGAAUUAGAUGAUAGAAGCAUAAGAAUUUUAGCAAAUAGCAAGGGUGAGAUAAUAAGCAUGAAUGUAGUGAAGCAAAGAUGGCUAAAACGACCAUUACUAUCUAGGCUUGCGUCCUACAGUGAGCAUUGCUCUGAUACCACUUUGUAGCACCCGGUUUUAAGAACAAAAUCAACGCAAUUUGAACGAGUCAAAACGGAAUUAAGAUGAAUUUUUUAUGAGUAAAACAAAUCCAGUGGCAAUUUGGAAAUUUGCUGAAAACGUAUUUUCGAAUAAAACCAGCACGGAGUACGUUUUUAAGCUGUGAAAGCGUAUUUUGAAUCUGAGCAGACAGGAAUACGCUUUCGGAGUUAGGAAGCGUAUUCUGGAAAUCCGCAAAGGGCUGUGGGUUGACUCUUUAAAAAGCACGGGGGGUUUUCUGCAAAAUUAUCAGCCGAAAGGGUAUCUUCUGAUUUGGGCUGUCGGAUUGCUCUUGGACGGCUGAGAUUAGAUUGGAGUGGGGACUGGGGUGUUGGCCGGCCGGAGUUGGAGGUGUCUGCGGCGGCGCCAUGGCCAGACCUCGCCGGAGUUCGGCGUUUGGUCGAUUUAGGGCACUAGAAAGCGAACCGAAAGCACCGGGGCGUAGUGGAGCUCAAGGCGAACUCACCUAGGGCAAGUACGAUGUCGGGGAGAGGCUCGGGUGCGCUUGCGACGGAGGAAGGCGGACGGCGGUUCCUGUAAGGGGUUCGGCGAGGAUUAGGAAAGCACAGAGAGCACGAAAUCGCGAAAGGAGAGCUCCGGCGACUUCGCAAGAGCAGCGGGAAGAUCGGCAAGUCGCUCACGGUGACAAACACGCGAAGCAGCGGCGGAUUGGCUUCGACCCGGAUCUCGUCGGUGGUUUUCGGCGAGAACAAGGCGACGGUCGGCUCUGUGAUUUGGUAGGGGACUUGGCGAGGGUCGGGGUGAGUAUUUAAAGGGGCAAACAUGCAGAGCAAGGAGUUCGGGAGGGAGAUUACGCGUGGCCGGUGCGAUCUCACGGCGGAGUCCGGCUCCGUCACGAGGUAGGAGGAAGAUCUGACCGGUAGGCCCCACCUGUCGGUGACUCAGGGCGCGGGACCGCUCUGUCAGUGGAAGAAGGGAGGGAAGAAAGGCGCUGGCGCUGGGCUGCUGCGCAGUGGGCCGGAAGCUGGGCCGCGCAGAGAAGAAAGAAGGAGGGGGGGGGGAAACAGGCCGCGGCCUUCUAUGCGCGCUGGGCCGAGAAGAAGAAGGAGGGGGGAAGCUCUGGGCCUUCGGGCUGAUUUCCAGGGAGAGAGAGGAGAGAAAAAUAAAUACUUUUCCAAUUUUAUUUUCAAUCCUUUGCUUAAUUAGAUUUCAAGAAAAUUUGAAAACCUUUUGAAAUUCAAAACAACCACUCACACAAAAUAAAGUGCAACAGCAUGAAUGCUCAGACAAGUUGCUAACUCCUAUAGUAAAUUUUUGUUUAAAGAAAAAAUUAUUUUUCCUAUAUUUCAUGGGCACGAAAAUACACAAUUUAACAAUUUAUCCUAUUUUGGAAAAUUGCAAAUUUUGGGGUGUUACAAGACAACCAGGCUUUUCACCGUUAUAUCUUUUGAGCAACUGCUGUGAGUUGCAUUUCAAGUCCACGACUCGGAAUCUGUGUUCUCCCUGGCUUUGCCACAGCCCCUCUUUUCUUAAAUUAUGGUUUCUCUCAUUUUUUUUGUUAAGUAGGCAUCCCUUGAUUUUGCUAAAAAAGUGAAUUAAACUCAACUUAAAAGUACAUGGUGGGUUUUACAUGCAUUUGUUUCUCAUGAAAGCAAAUUUACUGUAUGUUGCUGAGCAUCUCAUGAUUGCAAACACAAUGACUGGAUAGUGCAGUUGAUUUUCCUUUUACUAAAUGUCUAGAUGCCGUUUUCAAUAGAUUAAGAAAUUGAGCCUCUGUUGACUAUUCUUCAGUAGCUUAGUAUUUUGGAGAUGUAGAAAUUGGGUCACUAUGGACAAAUUUUUGAUAAUUUGUUAUUUGGAAGAGAACACUAAAGCUAACCUGUGUUGAGGAUUUGGUUAUAUUGAUUAGAUUCGUUGAGUCUUCUGAAAAGUUGAACUCGUUUCCGAAUCAGCCAAAAGAGGCUUUACCUGCAAAAUUACAGAAAGAACAAGGGAUGCAGGAAAAAUUAAGAUCUAUGGUUUCGUAAGUUAAAAAGAGUAAAUGCAACACGUUGUACCUGUUCUUUAAUCUACUAGUGUAGGACGCGCGCCAUCGCGCGCAUGUGCAGUAGUCAUAUGUAAAAUUUUGAGUAUGAAGAAACUGUGGUGACUAACCAAGUAUAUAUAGAUAUAUAAUAUAUAUUACACAUGUUGAAGUCUGUAAAUAGUCGACAACGCUGCAUACACAUCCUUUACAUGCUUAGAGACAUAUUACAUGUGCAGACAGUGGUCCAUGGGAAUACAAAGCAAAAGAGAGAUAUAAUCCAGUGGCAGACGGAAGAGGGAGUUAACCUGCAGAAUGGAAGCAGAGGACCAUAAACUUAUAUAGCACACAGGUCUGAUAUAAUGUAGACAAGAGGUAAAUUUGGGGGCAGACACACCAGAUAGGUUCAUAGGUAUCGUAGCAGCAGUAAUGAAUAAUGAUUUGAUGGGACAUGCUUGAAAUGAAUAAGUUUGGUUUCUAUAGGGAGGUUAAUCUAUUUUCUCCCAGGACUAUUUGAUACAAUAAUAAUAAUCUUAAAAAAUGAGGCAAAAAUGCAGGUAUUGGACUUAAGAAUUUAAGCAUAUUGGCAUUUUAGUGUUAGGGAUUAUGUAAAGUAGAAGGGCAAACAUAUUCUAUAUCAUGCCAUUUGUCACAAACAUCCUAUGUUUGAGUACUGUGAUAUAAUGUUUGAAGGACUACCAAUCCACAUCUUGUUUACCAGAAUAGAAAUAGGAGGAAGGUGUAUCUAUUAAUUGUUUUUGGAUAGGUCAUCAAAGGUAGAGUGCAAAUCCAAUCAUACCUUACUUACUAGAAGAGUAUUUCUCAGGAACCUGUAGCAAAAUAGAAAAUGGUCAGGACAGUCAAACUUUUUUACCUUAAGAAAUGGUCGUAAAAAAACAAUAUAUAAGAAAAUUUUGCAUAACCUUUUAUUAAUAAAACAAAUGAUGGAAUGAGAUGUCAAGAAAUAGCAAUCAGAUAGUGGGUAAAUGAAGAUGGCUGCUGAAUUAGUAAUACAACAAUGGGGCUUUAAAGGGAAUAAGUUGUGUAGCUCUGCAUUCAGUUAAUGUAAUAUAGCAUGGGACAUGAAUUAGCAAUUUCAGAGCUAUGGUUGGUAUGUACACAUGUAAACGGUAGAUAAUUGGGAAAUUAUCAGUGAUCAAUAUAGUAAGUGCUGUCGCUGAAAAAUGCAGCAGUAAACAAGGAAAUCUGGAAAUUGCAUUAUAGAUGUGUGUGGGCUCUAUAUAAGGCAAUGUAGAAGGGUAGUGUAUAUAAGUGGAGGUGUAAAUGAUUUCAGACAUUUUAGUAUUCAAACUUCAGUUGCUUUACAGGGACUCAGCAGUGACAUGAUUGCAUGAGCAGGAUUCAAUAUGUAGGCAGUUAUUCGUAAAAUUUUUGGGCAUUACAAUGAAUGAAAUAUUUUUGACAUCAACCUGGACACAAGGGACUUCAAUUAAAAUUGUUGCUGACACAUAAGUAUUAUUCUCUAAAUGAUGAGUCCGGCUAACUAAAAUCCUACUUUCAAAAUGGCGUAUACCAUUGUACACCAAUCAAAGGACAUAAUAUUCCUUCUUUGGAAAAUAUGAGCCUCCAUAUCCAGACUCUAGGGCUCUCUAUAGAUAUAUAUAGCUUAAAUCCACCACAUGGCUGUGCACAAAAUUUCCAAAUAAUCAAAACCUAUUUUAAUGAUUUCAGCUCAGUUUAAAUUGUUGUAGCAGGGGAAAAACACACAAUAAAUAAAUAGGUACCAGCAAAACGUGUAGUCAUACUGAUCAAACGUCCUGGUUGCUGUAGCGAUAGGACAAGUGCUAGAUCACAUCCAUGAGCACAAAAGCGAUGCACAGAUCACAGAUGCAUUAAUUCAAAUAGCAGGUAGAUGAACCGGAGCACAGCUAGUCAAGUGAACCCUCUUCAAUAGCUGGAUCCCUUGGUGCAGCCGCCGGGUGCAGGCAGAGCAAGAAGCCCUGGCACCACGAGGAACCUCUACGCGCUCUGGGAUAGGGGGGAGUUGGCAGGGAAAGGGAGAGGGAGAGAGUAAGGCAGAUGUACGCACCUAGGGUUUCAUGGAGCACAGGAGAAUAUGCCCGGCAGGGUGAUGUCGCAUUGAGGGCAGCGCCACUGGCGACCAUCGAGAGGGCCUACUCGAGCACGUCGUGGCCGGAGACGACAGCCGUUGGGGCCCCGCAGCAGGGGAUGGCGAGCCUCUGCACCAGCGCAGCACCCGGCGAGGGCAGCCGUCGCCAUCACCGCACCCCUGCGGUGUGAGGGACGAGGGGCGUGGAGGAGGAGGAGGGCGGGCGCCGGCGCGCCAAGGGCCGGUGGUUAGCCAGAUCAGCUCGCGCCGUCGUUCUUCCUCGGAAGAAAGGGGGGAUCGAGAGGAGGGCGGCGGCGGCGCGGGGAGGGGGCGAGCUCGCGACUUCGCGAGAAGCGUGAGUUGUUUUUUUUUGCUGCUGGAAGAUUGCGGAGGCUGGUUUUGGAAUUGGGGAGAAAAAAAAUUAGGGUUUCAAUGUAUACAUGGGCUAGGCCCAAAUUUCUUGCGCCAACUGACCGGCAAGCUACGCGGGCUUUCACUGUUGGCCUUUGGAAAUAAACUUUUCUACAGGCGGGUAAAAAUAUAAAAAAAUAGUUAUAGGGAAGGUCCAUUGGAUAAUCGCCCGCCCGACCUGUCUCCGCCGAUGUCGGAAGUCGUGCUUUUUUCGCGUAAAAUCUCAUGCUUUGCGGCCAGUGUGAUUCGAAUCUGAGACCUUGCCCUUGAGUGUAGCCUCCUCUACCACUCCACCUAUCACUCACUUGUGUCUAUAUUAGAGUUUAGUUUCCCACAUAUUAUCCUAAACCGAGCAUAUAUUGAUUAUUUGAGGCCCUAAACGGAUUCCAAUGGAAAAGUUGUCAACUAUAAAGUUUUAUAACUUUUCAAGAUCUACAACUUUUAUAUUGGUAGUUUCUCCAUCCGAGGCCAUUUACAAAAUUUAAAUUUCAAAUUUGAGAAAUUCAAACAUAGUUUUCGAUGACAAGAUGAUUUUAAAUGAAAAAAUUAUCAACUAUAAAGUUUCAUAACUUUUUGAGAUCUACAACUUUCAUUUUGAUGGUUUUUUCAAACGAUGUCAUUUGAAAAACUCAAAAAUUCAAUUUGAAAUUAUUUUUAUAGGCGAAUUUCUUAAGGUUUAGGGUUUAGGGUUUUAGGGUUUGGGGUUACUUAGGAGAACCGCCUGUAGAGAUACAUGAUUUUUAUAGGCGGUUUUGUUAGGAAAACCGCCUGUGAAAAUUGAUUUUCACAGGAGGUUUUUGAGUUGGGACCGCUAAUUUAUUUUUACCGGCGUUCUUUAAUUAAAACCGCCUAUAAAAAUUAAAUUCCACCUCCAGCUUAGAGCUUCUUUGUACUAGUGUUUCUAAAAGAGAAAGCUGAGCGCGGGCAGGCGAGCGAGGGUCGGGCCCAUUAUUUUUCACGUCAGAGAGAUGGACAGUGUAGCUUGUUUUAGCGUCAGAUAGUUAGACUCUGAAUAUAAGUACCUACAGCGUCAUACAAUAGCACGCUAAAUUCAGAUUUAGCAUCAGAUGAUCUCUGGGCAAUGUUUAGCAUCAGAACAUCUAACUGCAAAAAAAGAUUUUGCCUCAGAUGUCUGACACUAUAAAAGCGUUGUGGUGUAGUGGGAGUAGUUAUGCUUAUAUCAACCAAGCCUAAUAUCCUGCAUCCAAAUAUGUAAGAUGUGUACAGCAGGAUACAACAACAUAAGGCUCAUAAGAGACCAGAGUAAAAACAUGGAAGCAAAGUAAUAUGAGCCAAACACAUGACAUAAAUGAUACCAUCAUAAAGCAUAAGUCAUGUCUCACAACCAAAACAUAAAGUAUCUCACAAGCAAAGUAUCUCACAAAAUGCAUAAAGUAAACAUGAUGCAUGAAGAGUAGCACACAAAAGAAUCAAAAGCCCACUCACUAGCUCCUAACAUACUCUCCCUCACCCCCUUUGGUAUCAAAUGCCAAAAUCCUAAGAAGCUGCAGGCAGAGGUGGAGUGGAGGAGUCACAUGGCACUACCUCAAACUGAGUUGCAUCGUCAUCUAUGCCAUCUCCGGUGGACUGAGAAGAAGCCGUCUGACCCUCUAAAAGUGCAUGAGCUAGUGAAGUAGUCUGGGUCGGCUCAGUGUGCUUUUUAGCUACCUGUGUUGCUGCCUGAGUCUCAAGUCCUAUGGAAGAAGCUGGCACAGACUCAGUGGCUGUCGAUGAGGUCUCUAGAACAGUAGAGGAAGGAGCAAGCUACUUAGACGAAGCCACAGACGACGAAAGACACUCCGUAGUGGUGACUGGCAGGGUAAAAGCUGCAGGAGCCUGCUGUGGAGAUGGAGUUGGCAUGCCAAUCAGAGCACUGUAUGAAAAUGACAAGUCCUGCCCCACUGAAGAAUCUAGAACCAAUUGAGAGGCGGAGGCGGACUGCAGAGUGGAGCCUAAGUGCAGAGGAGUAAACUGAGGCGUCUGCUCAAAGCUAGAAGAAAUAGCACCCUAAGACACCAGGUGCUGUGGAGUGGUGAACUUCUAGCUGAGAGUAGGAAGUAGGAGAGGUUGCUGUGACUUACUCUGAAGCCCGCUGGGCUGUACACCUAGAGUCGGUGGCCUGACUAGGGAUAUGCUUGGAAGCUGCACCUCUGGUAGAGUAAUCCCUGUCGCUGCCAUGAGUGCUACCAUCAGAGCUGUCUGCUAGGCUUGGAACGCUAGGUGCUGCUCUUGGAAAGAGAGUAGUGUUGACGGUGCUUAAGUACCAAAUAUAAUCAUCAAGUAAAUAAAGAAAAGAAUCCAAAUGCAACAAACACACAGACUUACGGUUUUAUCUGAUAGAAUUCCACGAGUUUUGGCGUUUGUCUAUUUCUGCAGGUGGUUAUCAGGGAAUAUGGAGGAAAGGCACACAUGUCGGGUUUACAUAGAGAUAUUAACGGGCUGCACAAUUUUAUAUCAUCUAGAAGAGUCCAGAAGCCACGGAAACGAACGGGCCCGGGGGCAGGGCACCCGCCCUCCCCCCUUGGUCGCCCGCCCUGGUACAAGCACCAAUCACAGAAUGGAGUUCACCAUUACAAAGAUCUCGUCGAGCUGAUCGAAAUGCAUAUAUUAUUUGCUAUACUUGGAGUUCCGAAUCAAGAGAUAUUAAUAAAAGAAGGACUCCACAUAAAAGAGCUGCGGGAUUAAUUGGGCCCAAAUCAGAUUUUCGUCCAUUAAGGCCUAUGUGCCUUUUAAUGAGAUAUGGUGGAAAGUUUAGUACCACAUCGCCUGCUGAACCAAAAAGGCACAAAAGGAGGAGGCUAUAUAAGUAAGGCCCCUGGCCCCUGGAGGAGAACACAUCAUUAUAGAGUUGAGAGGUGCCCUAGAAGGAUAAUCUUUUCUCUAUAUAGAAUUAGGGCUUAGCAUCCAAUGUGAGAUUAGAAUUAGUUCCCCUAAGUUUUUCUAGAUUGAGAGAGAUAGAGUGGAGGUGUAGAUCGGAGGAAGCCUGGCCUGUCGGUGUCUACUCCGAGGUUGUACCUGCGGGAUCAAGUCUCCUAACCCGAGGCUUGCUCCUAGGAUUCUUGAGUAUUUCGACUUCUAAAUUCUAGGAAGUUUUUGUUCUUAUUGUUCUUUGGUUUAUGAGUUUACUUUAAUCUCUUCCGAUUGAGUUUAGAGUAAUCAUUGCUAGUGUAAACGUGGUGUUUGGGCUAGGGUACUCAUAGAUAUCCCCUGACUAGCUGGACCGUGGUAGUAGCGAGGAACGUGACAUUUUUGAGCUACCUUUGUAGCGCACAUCCCGUUAGCAGGAUCGAUAGGGUUUAUAGAUGCGGGUCGAACAUCCUUUGUGUUGUCUAGAUUCCGUGAGCCUCCCCAAUAGAAUAGUAGAUCAUCCUUACCAAGGUUAGAAUGAGAGUACGGAUGUAGGCUUCUCUAUACAUCGCUCACGUCGAAUCACAUUGUUUGUAGCCUAAAGGGUAGUAGCAAUAGAUUUGGUUAGCCAGAUGCACGAUUUCUCCCAGUGGUAAAAAUAUAAAUACGAUACUCUGGAUAACCUCCCGGGUGAAGUGCUCACCGAUAUCCGUACGCUUGCGGAUCAUUUCCUGAUGGCGUUACCAAAUAUCAACAAGAAUUUCUGGUGCCGUUGCCGGGGAGAAAGAUGGUUUGCUGAGAUAACUUUAGUCUUGCUAUUAUCUUGUAUUAUAAUUUUAUACUUUUAUCAUUUUAUCUUUUUAUUUUUUCCAUCUUUAUGGAUAACUCAAAUUCCACACCUAUUAUUGAUUUUUUUGCACCUUCUGAGACCAGCCAUAGACCAUGGGAGUCAACAAGUCCUUUCUUUUCCCCUAAUUAUGAUCUAUGUCCGGAGUUGAUUGCAAUAGGUCAAAACCAACCCUUUUCUAUGGCCGAGGUCCUAUCUUGUAAUCAAGAAGAUAAUGAACUUUUAGCUACACCCAAAGAAUCUUUUAAUCUUUCUAUAAAUUAUGGUUUAGACCUAGCCCUACAAGACCAUGUUUUUCCUUGAUAUUUUCACAUUGGUCUUAAUCAUAUAACCUUUGGUAGAGUUUUUCUUUCCUUAUCUGUUAGUAAAGCAAGGUAUGUCUUCAUUCGUGGACAUCCUUCUUGCACUAGUCUUCAUAGAAAAAUUCUAGAGAUAGAGAAGGAAUCAUCUCCCAGACGAGGAAAGGAAGUUUCAAUAGCCGAUUUCUAAACAUUUCUAUCCCAUGAUUCGGCUAUCCAACCCAAACUUGUAGUGCUCCAAAAUCAUCUAAGGGAAAAAGAAAUUCUACCUUUGGAAAAUCAUUUUGGGAUGAGCUUAAACUUCCUGCUUCAUAAGAGACCUUUGAGUGCAAAUAGUCUGAACCUUCCUAAGAAAGGAUCUCUUAGAAAGCAUCUCAAAUCCAAUCCCUUUGAUGGACAACUAGAAAGACUCAAGGAUGGCAUCUUAAGUGAUGCAAUAGAAGGAGAGCGAAGCCAUUUAGAAGACAAUCUCAUCUUCUCCCCUUCUACACCCACUUUUGAUGACUCAUUUGAACCUAUCUUUAAACCCAUCCUUAAGCCUAAUAAUUUCUACUAUGCUCUUUCUCUUGAACCUCCCGAUGAUCCUAUGAAUCUCUCUAGACAACCCAUGCAUAAAAGUCACCAAGACCACAAGGAGGAUUGAGAAGAGCAACAUCAAUGGCUAGAGGGCAUUAAAAAUCCUUAUGCUAUCACCAUUGAAUGGAUUGAUAAAACAAAGUUGAGAGACAAUCCUAGAAGAAUCUUAAGCAUUCAUGAAUAAUCAUCCUUGGAGUUUGAGAAUGAGAGAAACAACAGUGAGCAUGGAAGUUAUUUCAUAAAUACCUCACCAAGUCCUUGCUCAUAUAAAACAUCUCACCAAUCAAUUGGUCUCCAAACCCCUCUUCCUUUCUAUUUAUAAAAACAUUAAAAGGGCGGUUGUCGAUGCAUAUGUCUAUAAUAAAUAUUGCAGAUCUCGUUAUAGGUCAGUGUUGGAGGGUAAACCACUUCACCAACAUAAUUUGAUGGUUUCCCAAGGACAAGCUUAGUGGCCUAAAACAAGCACUUAUCAGAUUGUAACAUGAACUUUUAAUUACUUGAAACAUUACCUUGUGUAUUGAGCAUAUAAGGAUAAUUGUAAAAAUAUUCCUUUGGGUAUUCUUGUCACUAACCUUUCCAGGAUUAGAGUAAGAAGAUCGGAUGAAUGACAAGCACAAGGUACGUCCAACCAAUCAUCGUGAAACAUUGAAUUAAAUUCAUCCAAUCCUAAAUUUUGCAAAAUUCAAGCUUGGGGGAAAUACCUUACAUAAAAACAUCAUUUUCCAUGUUGCUAUGUUGGUUGUCCUUACCUUUGAGACAUGCUCAAUUUGUUAAAUACUAAUCACACUACUUCAUCUCCACUUAAGUAGAUCUCUAUAAAAGCCAUCACGCUACCUUUGUUUAUCCUAGUAAGUGUUAGUUUGGAAGUACUGCACAUACUUCUAUUGGCUUUUAAAUUAAGCAUGGUGCUUAGGUUAAACAGCCUUCCUUCAUCUGAUUAGACAUGGAGUCUAGUUUGGUUAUGAACUAAAAACUGCUUGUGUAGACAUUGGUAUAUUUUGUCGGACUAACCCCUACAGAAAAACUUUCAAUAUCAAUUUAGGAAGUCCUCAGGUAAACUCACAUCGGAGAAUAAGAGAGAGACAUAUGAAGUUUAAUAAUUUGCACAAGAAGGACAUAGCUCAUUAAUCAUAGAGAGAUGAUACAUGGAAGGAGACAAAGUACAUAAACAAGAAACACAACCACUACGAAUGGGAAGCUUCCACAAGGUCAGAUGGUACCAUCACUCUUCAAUUAAGGUAACAUCCUAAGAUAUGUGACUAUCACUUUUAUAAGCUUCUCCUUGGUUCUAGCGUUCACAUAAAUAAAGAGACAAACAUGUAUGAUUUAUAACUCUAAAUUAACCAACCUAACUGAUUCAGCAUGUUUAGUCCUUUAAUCUUUGUUCUUAGUACUACCUUCGUGAUCCCACACUCCUAAUCAUAUAAGAUAAAAUGUUGCACAUUCAAUCUUUGGAACAUAUUAAAAAAACAUAAAUAUAGAUAGAUUACCUUUCCAUUAGGACGAGCGAUCUGAUCUGACAAAUGUUUUAAAUGCUACACUCAUGUUCUUAUUAUCCAUCAACUUUGUCUUGCUCACUAUGACUAAGGUUAGAGAAGAACAAAUACACUUUUGGUUCUGUUGGUGUUUUCCACCAACAGGGCCCAUACACUUGAUCUCUGCCAUGUCUUUAUGAGCAGGUAUACUUUGAGGAAAACCUGAAGAAGUUUUACAACUCCCAGAUUCCACCAAGUGAAGGGCUUGGAUCUACGAGCACAAAUACACUGAGCAGGAUGCUGCCAAUGCCGCACCUCGAACUGCUAGACAAACGAAGAAUAUGGGUGACACCGUAUCAAGAAAUGCAGAUGUCAAGGUCCACACCUAAUCAAAUGAUGCACCUAAAGGAUGAACACGGAUGACCCUGGUGUUCCAAGCAUCGAGUGCACAAUCAACGAAUACUCUUUUCAGAAGACACUCUACGACACCGGAUCUGACGUCAACAUAAUGGCCGAAGUCACUUAUCAGCUCCUCCAUGGAACCAUGCCCUUACAACCAACAUACAUUCAGCUCCAGAUAAUUUUCAGGUCAUUGACAUGGGAGAAGAUGAGUAUGAUCCACCAAUCAUCCUUGGAAGACCGUUCCUCAAAACUAUCAAAGCUAUCAUCUAUAUUGGAACCGGAGAAGUCCACAUGCACUUCCCAUCUGAGAAGGUACGCCACUACUUUAAUGAUUCUAACUAUAUAGUUGAAGAUUCUAAGCAGAUCAGGAUGAGAAGAAGGCGACACAACCGAAACCAGAGGAGGCAAAUCAUCAAGAACGGAUGGGCAGACUACAAAGGAGAUGUAAUAAGGUCCAAAGAUAUACAUCUUGAACAUGAUUGUCCAGAGGAGACCGUAGCACCGAAUCAGGUGUGGAUAGAGAAGAGAGUUGUACUAGAAGAGGAGGCGCCGCCGGAAUCCUAGGACGACUGAAAACACAUGGAGUCCCGUUCGGAGGACUUAAAAACGCCAAACGCCGUGCCAAGAGGUAAACUUGGUAGUUGUCAUUUCCCUUCAAAUUAUCUAUUUUCCUUAAAUAGCUUGUUUAGUUAAUCGGGUUCAUACUAUCUUGAAAAGAAAAUAAAAAUGUUAAAAAACAGUAAGCCCCAUGUGAGUAUACGAGUGGCAUAAAACCCAUAAGUACAUUCACUGUGGUGGCAUAAAUAAAUAUAUUUUCUGCUCUAUAAAAAUGAAAAUAAGAUUGUGAUCCUACCAAAGAGAGUAACAUUUAUUGAGGAGACUCAACAUGAUAAAGGCAAGAUAUUUAUACUAACACUUAACCAGUUCCACAAAGCUUUGUUGUCUAUUUGAGCUCCACAGAAUUCAAGGAUCAAAGAAGACUAGCCGGUGGAGGACAUAGUAAUCGCUGUCAGGGUGCUGCCGACAUUCAAAUAUACCUCCGUCACCUGCUAGCUACAUCAGAAGAAAUAACGUCAAAAUCCAGCUUGGGGGAGAGCACCCCCAUUUAUCCAGCUAAGUGUUUCUACUCGCGUUUAUACUUUACUAAAAUAAUAAAAAUAUGCAUAAUCACGAAAACCCAAAUAAAGAUUUUUGUGCUUAUAUAUAUAUAUAUAUCUUUGCUUAGUUUGCUAAAUAAAUAAAUAAAUGAAGUUUGCUAGGAACCCUCAUGAUAAGCUCUCACAUAAAAAUGAUGAAUAGUUGCUCUGCCAUGACUAGUUCUGAAAAUUGAAAUCUCUCUCAAGUUUGGGCAUUAUUGUUAUAAUUUAAACCUGCACUAAACCCGAACUUGUGGGAAGAGUACUUGAUCUAAAGUCUAAGUCGUUAAUGGAUAUGAUAUAGAAAGGUUGAGCUGUUGUUUAUCUGUUCCUAAAGAUGCUAGAAGUCUGGAGAAUUUUAUCUUUAAAAAUCUUUAAAAUAACACAUGAUGAGUUUCUGUAUGAUGAGAGUUUAAAUUCCUUCCAUAGUCAUAUAUACAUGCUUUUUAGACUAUGAACCAUAUAUUUACUUUUUACUACUUAUGAGCAUUGAGUGUGGUCAAGUUGUGUAGACCCUUAGGAGCUUGUCAUGCGGUUAAAAUCAAGAUUCACUUGCACGUUCACUCACACAUGCUGCUUCUACUCCGGAAGUACGCAUCCACAUAUAUCCACUUAUUUCAAUCUCCAGAGCCACCCAAAAGUAUUCUACUCCUAAUUCGGGAGAGAAUAUAGCCAAAAACAUUAUCAUAUCCCUGUUAUUCCUCGUGAAAUAAAUGUUCGAGUUAUUUUGGUUACUACCACUUGCCACAUUAUUCCAGGAGGGUGAGUGCUCUAAAAAUGAAAAAUACGAGGAAAUAAAAAGGGGUAAGUGCCCGGAACCUCGAAGAGAAGAAAAAGUGAGACGAGAGGUAAAAAUGGACAAGUGUCCGACAGUAGAAUUAGGGGUACAAGGUACCCACCUGAGAGAAAAGAAAAAAGAAAAUAUAGAGCAUCUCAUUCUCCUCAAAAAGCUUCAAAGUACAAGAAAGGUAUGUAUCCCCUUAAAAGAGCAAAAGUAGAAUUAGAUUUUCACCAUUGUUAUCACCAUCAUCACCAUACACCAUUCACUCACCACACAUGCACAUCUUGAUUUGAAUUAUUGAAUUGUUCUUCUGGAUCCAUGGUUUGACUAUGCAAUAAAUGUCUUGUAAGUAUGUAUUAUCUAUCUCCCACCUAUGAGCUCCAGAUAUCAAAACCUUAAUAGAGUAGGGUGAGAGAGAAGGCAAUAUUACUAUGCCUCAUACAUAAAAAAUAUCACAUACUUUGAGAGAAGGCAUAUACCAUUACUGCCUUGGUAAGGAUCCAGAAAUACCACAAAAGAGAGAUUUGAGAGAGACAUACAAGGAAUCUCUGAGUUUUAUUUGAAAAUCUACAAAAACUCUAGAACUAUAGUUAAUCAAAGAAUAAGAGACAUGGCGCUUGACUAGACUGUUCUAUCUUUUAACUACUCAAGACACAAGUGACGGUUGCAAGCCCCAUGGUAAAAGGUAAAAUGAGUAAGUUUUAAGUCUUAACAGUUUACUCUAACUCAGAGAUGAGAUCUUGCUUGAACGCAUGUAUACUUUUAAGGCAUGAAACCACUGCAGAAACUGUUGAGUCCAUCCUUGCUCAGGGACGAGCAAGAGGUAAGCUUGGGGGAGUCGUUGAUGGUCCUUAAGUACCAAAUAUAGUCAUCAAAUAAAUAAAGAAAAGGAUCCAAAUGCAACCAACACCCAGACUUAGGGUUUUAUCUGACAAAAUUCUACGAGUUUUGGUGUUUGUCUAUUUCUACAGGGGGUUAUCAGGAAAUAUGGAGGAAAGGCCCACAUGUUGGGAUUUCAUAGAGAUAUUAACGUGCCGCGCAAUUUUCUAUCAUCUAGAAGAGUCCAGAAGCCACGGGAACGAACGGGAGGCUGAACGGGCCCGGGGCCAGGGCGCCCGCCCUGUUACAAGUACCAAUCAUAUAAUGGAGUACACCAUUACAAAGAUCUUGUCGAGUUGAUCGAAAUGCAUAUAUUAUUUGCCAUAUUUCAAGUACAAAAUCAAGAGAUAUUAAUAAAAGAAUGACUCCACAUAAAAGAGCUGCAGGAUUAAUUGGGCCCAAAUCAGAUUUUGGUCCACUAAGGCCUAUGUGCAUUUUAAUGAGAUAUGGUGGAAAGUUUAGUACCACAUCGCCUGCUGAACCAAAAAGGCACAAAAGGAGCAGGCUAUAUAAGCAAGGCCCCUGGCCCCUGAAGGAGAACACAUCAUUAUAGAGUUGAGAGGUGCCCUCGAAGGAUAACAUUUCCUAUAUAUAGAAUUAGGGCUUAGCAUCUAAUGUGAAAUUAGAAUUAGUUCUUCUAUGUUCUUCUAGAUUGAGAGAGAUAGAGUGGAGGUGUAGAUCGGAGGAAGCUCGGCCUGUCGGUGUCUACUCCGAGGUUGUACCUGUGGGAUCAAGUCUCCUAACCCGAGGCUUGCUCCUAGGAUUCUUGAGUAUUUCGACUUCUAAAUUCUAGUCAGUUUUUGUUCUUAUUAUUCUUUGGUUUAUGAGUUUACUUUAAUCUCUUCCGAUUGAGUUUAGAGUAAUCAUUGCUAGCGUAAAUGUGGUGUUUGGGCUAGGGUACUCAUAGAUAUCCCCUGACUAGCUGGACUGUGGUAGUAGUGAGGAACGUGACAUUUCCAAGCUACCUUUGUAGCGCACAUCCCGUUAGCAGGAUCGAUAGGGUUUAUAGAUGUGGGUUGAACAUCCUUUGUGGUGUCUAGAUUCCGUGAGCCUCCCCAAUAGAACAGUAGAUCAUCCUUACCAAGGUUAGAAUGAGAGUACGGUUGUAGUCUUCUCUAUACAUCGCUCACGUCGAAUCACAUUGUUUGUAGCCUAAAGGGUAGUAGCAAUAGAUUUGGUUAGCCAGAUGCACGCUUUCUCCCAGUGGUAAAAAUAUAAAUACGAUACUCUAGAUAACCUCCCGAGUGAAGUGCUCACCGAUAUCCGUGCGCUUGCAGAUCAUUUCGUGAUGGCGUUACCAAAUAUGAACAAGUAGCUGUCUCUGAAGCUCAUCCUACCUGGCCUACGUGGUUGCAUUGACAGCAGCCUACUCUGUGUCACGCCGUGCUUGCUCCUCAGCUGCCCUCUGCUGGUCUGCUGUCAUGCCCACAAGAAUAGCAAGAAGGGCUGGGUCAGUAGCAGAAGAGGAACCUCUAGCCUCGUGGUUGUGCUGCCUCUGAGGAAGAUCUGGGAUGGGGAGCUGAUAAUCAUCAUCAAAACUGUCAAUGGCAAAGUCAAACUCCUCCUCGGCCUCUGUAUCAGCUACUGAACCUAUAGCAACGUCCUACUCCUCUGUCUCUGGGACUGCUCCUGAACUGCGAGUGGCUCUGGGAGAAGCUAGUGGAGCUCUGCCACAUGGUGCCGGAGGGGGUGCUGGAGCUCAGAGGUCCACGUGAGUCCUCAUCAUCUACCUAGGGUCAUAGUGUGGGAACACUGUCACUGUCUCACUCAGCUCCCUCUAAAUGUGAGGUGGUAGUGGGUCUGCCCUAGCACAAUGAAUCAGAUAGGUGAUCCAGUGUGCACAUGGCAGCUGACGACAGCCCCCUGAAACCCUCAGCUAUAGUGUCCUCAAUCUCUCACAUGAUGAGAUCUCAGAUGUCAAACUCAUGCUGAGCUACUAGAUGUGCAAUCAACCACUGUUGUAUCCUAGUGAAUCGAUCACGGUAGCCAGGCCUCAAAAGAAGGGUCUUCCUCAUCACAAAGUCCAAGAAUCGAGCUAGACGAGUGAGACCCCCGACAAAGCGGGUUGACCCCUGUUGGGUAUUCUUAACGUCUGUUGGGUAUUUUAAACGCAAACAGAAAAAAUCCGCAAGCGCACGGAUACCGAUGUAGCUUUCACCCGGGAGUAUUCCAGAGUAUCGAUUUUCCACAGAGAACGUGAGUGUACUAAUUAAGAUCCAAGAUCGCCCAAGGAUAACUAUAUAAUUGUUUUUGGUGGGAAGAGAGGGAGUUUCCUGAGAGUUCUCUAGUUGAUCUAAGAAUCAAGAAUUACUUCAAGAUUAUCUAUUUCGGGACAUCAGAACACUAACCACAGAAAGAGAUGAGAAGGGGGACAGGAAGCUCUGACUACGGUCCUACAAACACCGAUCCGAACGAGGUGGAAUACGUCGACCGUUAGGGCUGUCACUACCCUAGGGCUACCACAACAAUCCGCAGGAUUGGGUGCAAUUCCAGGUAAUUGCAAGACUAAACACCAUGUCUAAUCUAUUAAUUACUACUCUAAUGUUGCAAAGAUUAGAGCACUUGAUGCAAGCGGGAAUCCAGUAAAUAACUUGAAUGUAAAUAAAAGUAAUUAAAGAACUCAGGAAUUAUGAAUUGAAGAACCUGGAGAAUGACGAAGAACGAACCAGUUGCUGCAAAAGUACAAUGUUGAGGAAGAUCCGACAGAUCCGGCUCCUCCUCCGCUCUCCUCUUCUCUCUCCCUAUUUUCUAGAUUACAACUAGAACUAACUAGAACUAGAACUAGAAGAACUAGAACUAGAACUAGAUGAACUAGAACUAGAUCUAGAUGAACUAGAGGUAGAACUAGAAGAACUAGAGGGAUCCUCUGUACUUGGAUGAAGAAUUGAAACCCUAGCUUUGAUGAUGUAGAAGAGGUAUGAUCUCCAGGGGCCAGGGGGUCUGGUUUUAUAGUCCCUUCAUGUGAAUAUGGGCCGUUGGAUCAAACCGACAUUAAUCGCACGGUUUUCCUUGAUCCUUUAGGUCGGUGGAGCGUUGUCCCGAAAGAGAGUCCUGAUUGGGCACUGUAGCUGGGCGGGCGCCCUGCCUCCGAGCCCGAUUGCCUUCCCGUUCGGUCCAGUGGCUUCUGGAGUCUUCUAGAUGAUAGAAAAUUGUGCGGCACGUUAAUAUCUCUAUGUAAACCCAACGUGUGGGCCUUUCUUCCGCAUUCCCUGAUAACCCCCUGCAGAAAUAGACAAACACCAAAACUCGUGGAAUUCUGUCAGAUAAAACCCUAAGUUUAGGUGUUGGUUCCAUUUAGAUCCUUUUCCAUGAUUGGUUGACGGUUAAAUGUGAGCAUUAAGGACCGUCAACAAGCUCCCCCAAGCUUAACCUUUGCUCGUCCCUGAGCAAAGAUGAACUCAAGAGUUUCUGCAGUGGUUAAGAUUUCAUCUCUGGGUUAGGGUAAACUGUUAAGAUUUAAACUUACUCAUAUUACCUUCCACCAUGGGGCUUGCAACCGUCACUUGUGUCUUGAGCAGUUAAAAGAUAGAACGGUCUAGUCAAGCGCCAUGUCUCUUGUUCUUCGAUUAACUAUAGCUCUGGAGUUUUUUGCAGAUUUUCAAAUAAAACUCAAAGAUUCCUUGUAUAACUCUCUCUAGUCUCUCUUUUGUGGUAUUUCUGGAUCCUUACCAAGGCAGUAAUGGUGUAUGCCUUCUCUCAAAGUAUGUGGUAUUUGUGGUAUAAGGCAUAGUGGCAUUGCCUUCUCUCUCACCCUACUCUAAUAAGGUUUUGAUAUCUGGAGCUCAUAGGUGGGAGAUAGCUAAUACAUACUUACAAGACAUUUAUUGCAUAGCCAAACCAUGGAUCCAGAAGAACAAGUCAAUAAGUCAAAUCAAGAUGUGCAUGUGUAGCGAAUGAAUGGUGUAUGGUAAUGAUGGUGAUAACAAUGGUGAAAGUCUAAUUCUACUUGUGCUCUUUUGAGGGGAUACAUACCUUUCUUGCACUUUUGAAACUUUUGGGGAGAAUGAGAUGCUCUAUAUUUUCUUUUUCUUUCCUCUCAGGUGGGUAUCUUGUACCCCUAAUUCUACUGUUGGACACUUGUCCAUUUUUACCUCUCGUCUUACUUUCUCUUUUCUUUCGAGGUUCCGGGCACUUGCCCCUUUUUAUUUCCUCGUAUUCACUUUUUUUUAGAGCACUCAUCUCAUGAGAUAAUAUAGCAAGUGGUAGUAACCAAGAUAACUUGAACAUUUAUUUCACGGGAAAUAACAGGGAUAGGAUAAUGUUUUUGGCUAUUCUCUCAUAGAUAGGAGUAGAAUAAUUUUGAAUGAAUCUGGAGAUGAAAAUGGGUGGAUAUAUGUGGAUGCGUACUUCCGGAGUAGAAGCAGCAUGUAUGAGUGAACGUGCAAGUAAAUCUUGAUUUAACCACAUGACAAGCUCCUAAGGGUCUACACAGCUUGACCACACUCAAUGCUCAUAAGCAGUAAAAAGUAAAUGUGUGGCCCAAAGUCUAGCAAGCAUGUAUAUAUGGCUGUGGUAGGAAUUUAAACUCUCAUCAUAC
rnacentral:lncRNA from 1 species